rnacentral:lncRNA from 1 species
UUCUUUGCAAAGUGCACUUCCAAGUAUCAAAGUGAACGAUAAACGGUGUCCUUUUGGAGAUCCUGUUGCUCUCUUCGAAUUUUAAAUAUCAUGGAUUAGGCUAUGCUUUAGAAAUGCUUUGUACGUUUUUGUUGGAGUUGGGCUUUGUGAACAUCAAAUGCAAGAUGGUUGUUGGUUGCUGGUCACUCUUUUAAGUCCUACGUUCGACCUUAAUGGAUGGCUCUUAACUUUAUAUGUGUGGUUUUUCUUUAUUGUCGGUUUAAUGUGUAUUCCUGGGCUUAGCACCAGAUAAAUGUGUGGGGUUACCCAAUGCUUGGAGUCGGUCCCAGUUCUGUAUUAACCGCGGUUGAUCUGCAAUGAGCUACUCUGUCUCUUCCUUGUUAUCGUCUGAACAUAGUCGCCUUGAAACUAAGCCAGUUCUUGCUAUUUGAUGGUCAUCUCCAUGUACAGGAACAGAUGAGCAACAUUGAUUUUGAAUGCUUGAGGGUCAGUGGACAUAAACACUGAAUCAUUUGAAGCUGGGUGGUCUGGGAGGACUUGGAUGGAUCAUUUGAAUUUAAAUUGUUUGGUCAAAAUAUAGCACCGACAUCCUUGGUGUAAGAGACCUGUUUUGGCGCCACAGGCUCUCGCGAUUGUUGUCAUCUCAUCGAUGGGUAUGGAGGAGGGAGGAAGAGAGGGAGAGGCGGGGCGGCUAUGGAGAUCGGAACGUGGUGGAGGCUGAUAUCAGUUGUGUCGUUGCAUUAAGGAGUGGUAUCUAGAUGAGCUAGGCCCCCUUUAACCCUGCCCAGCGCAUAGCCUAAUCAGGGCCGAACUCAAUUCCAUCCGAAGAACUACAUUCGAGUGCGCUGAAUUAAGCCACCACUAUGACCACCACCCUACGAUGUUAUGCUGCCGAAUCUCAUCCGUAUGUCUAGAGAAACGCCUAUUUUGCUUCUUGAAUUUUGCUAUCUGCUAGAUACGACAUGAUUUAUAAAUUAGCAUCGGUAUCAUUUUUUAAUAGUUGUUCUAUUGUCGAGUAAGACGUUUGGAUCGGUGUGAGGAGAUGAAAAGAAAAAGCCCCAAAGUAACUUUCAGUUUCGUAGAAGCAAAAUGGUAGGUACUGCUAAAUUGCAUUUCAAUGUUUGUACUGCACUUUCCAUGUAAAUGAGAAACAUUUCUUCGCCUUGCAAAUAAAAUGAACUUGCCAAGUUGCACGGACAAACUCGGGCGACCUCCUUCCCAAAGUUCUCUUAAUAAGAAAUUGGAAAAGAUCGGAAGAGAUGAAACUGACUCAUGAAUCUCAUGUUUAGUGAAUGAGAAGUCCAAUAGCCUUUUAUUCAAAAGAAAGGUCGACAUGCCAAAUUAAAUGACUUGAGCUUAUGAGGACACUCAAAAUUUGGAUGAAUUAUGCUGACAUGUCGAAGUAACUAAGAAUACAAAGACAAGAAGUCAUCCGUGACACUAAAGGCAAAUGGGUGAACUCAAAUGCCCAUAACGGUGAAACUACUCGCAAAUGCAGGAUGAAACCAAUGUAAUGGAGAUCACGUCCGAGCUUGGACACCUAAUUUUCUCUCCCUCUGGGAAGCCUUAUUUUCAUGAGGAUCUUCUGUCAAUGACCUAAAUUUGAAGGAAAAGGAGUUCAAUAGUAUCUCAGCCUGGAGGUCUCCACUGAUUUAAUUAAGGCAGUUGGCCGUUAUUAGCCAGCAGUUCGAAUUUUAGACCUUCAAUGCUUGCUUCUCAGCAGCAAGAGCUUCAGCCUUGAUGGGGGGCUCCCACAAAAUUGUAGUUUCAGUAAGUAAUGAGGUCAUGACGUAUGGGUUCUUGUUUGAGGCAGGACACCUAUCUUCCAAGUAACCUGUAUGUCAUUUUAAGCCGUUAACUAACUAAGCAAGGAAGGUGAACUUUGUACAUUUAAUCGAUAUUUAGAAAGAGUUAAGCAUUUUAGAAAGUUUUUGAUGCCCUAAAAGAACCAAGAUGUCCAAAGUCCUUACUUCAGCUUAGGAAGCAAGACUGUGGGAAUGCUUUAUGAUUGUUAAAAAGUCAAAAUUCCUUGUGCAUAGUUGCAAUCAUGGAAUCGACUGAGACCAGAAAGGAUAAAGAAUACUUAUAUGUAUUAUUUUUUCGUGGUAGUGUUUCUGGAAUCAUUUGAUAAAGUUGAGCAUCUCCAAAUGAUUUUCAGAUAGAGCACAAAAGGGAACUUGUAUGGUCAUUGUUAUGGUACCUUUUCCUUCCUUCUCAUUGUCAUGGCCCACACAGAUUGAGCAACCACAAUUGGCAACUCCCUGCAUAACAAUACAAGUAAUUCAGGCAUCACAAUGAAAUAUGAGUUCAUUAGUAGGGCAAUCUUUAAAUUUGACUAGUAGUUGAUAUGCUUCUUCUGAGCAUUACCGAAGACAAUGUGUUGGUGUUGAUUGUUUCAUGCUUUCCCAUCAAUCUUCUCCAUAGGCGCUAAUGUGCUCCUCAUGGCGAAGUGAGAGAUUCAGAAUUGCCUUCUUUAUCGCUUCAAAGCCUCCUUCUUCUCUCAUGCUUUUUGUAUUGCAGAAAAGUCGAAGAACACACUCUUAAAGGUCAUUCAUUGAACAAAAAUUCUUAACCAAGUCCAUGUUAUUUCCAUGGUGCGAACCUGUUAGUAUGGCAUCUUGCACCGUUGCAGUCACCCUGAGAAGGAAGAGAAUGCUUUUAUCAAUUUUGGGGUAUAAUAAUGCGUAAAUGGUGAUAGUAAAGUCAGCUACCUCUAUUGGCUUUGGAUCUUACAUGAGGACAACACAAGCUUGCUCGGUUAUUCACUGUUGUAUAAAAAAAAUAAACAAUCAAGUACUUAAAUACCUCAGAACAUGUCUAUAUGCACUUAUAAGGCCCCUAAAUGAAGACAAAACCUUGCAUCACAAUACAAUUUUUUUGUCAUCAACUCAAAGCCUAUUAUUUAUCAAUAUACAGGGAAAUUCGUUGGGAAAAAAUUUCUCACCUGGGAACCUCGAUAUCCUCCGAUAGGCCAACCGAAUGGCCAUUGAACAUUUAUCUGCAAUAGGGUGUUUUCUUGUUCAAUCCAAUACAUAAUGUGAACAUUUAGCCCAAAAAUAUGAACUUGUCCAUUUCAAAACUUUCUAAUUCACGAUAUAUAACUCAUGUUUUUGGAUCUCCCACCAUGAAAUGCCAUUGAUUACCUUUGGUUUACUGAAUUUCAGCAACCUUGACGUGCUUGGUCGCUGGGAUCGGCUUACCAGUUGGUGUAUAUGAAUUGGAAAUAACCUGAAGACAAACAAUAAUACUCUGUAAACCAAUUGAAACGCCCUUUCUCGUUUCAUCAACCUGUUCAGAUGAUCUAACUGGUGGUCAAUGAGUUCUUUGUGAUCCUCAUUUGGCAUUGUGUCCUCAGUGCCAAAAUUCACACCAUUUUUGUCUAGCCUGAAAAAUAAAGCAGUGUAAGAAAUAGACAUAUCUACUGAAACAAAAGCAAUAUGAGCUUAAUCUCAUGGAAGAUAGUUCAAACAACGAGCUCUAUCUAUAUGACUUGGCCUUCUGGUAUGCAUGAGAGUUUAGUUUUGAAAAGAUAAAAAGAAUAGAAUGAGUACUUCAAAGAAAGGGGUCUCUUUAGCAAGUGCCAUCGCCGAAAAGUUGAAAACCGCUUUUUGGAGACUAGUUUCAAGAAGGACGGCUUACAUUUUGAAGCAUAAAUAGUGAGACUCAAUUUCCCUAAGGACACUACCACAAAUUUCCUUUAAAAGAUAAACUAAAAGCAGUGGCAUAACUAUGCUUCGCAUUUCGGAACCAUUUCAAGGUUAUUUUGAAGCCUCAUUCCCAAAAGCGAGCUUGCGAACAAGCAAAAAACCGAAGGCAGUUACAGAGUUGAAGGAAGUAGACUGCAAAGCGCCACAGUUUAAGAGAUUAACGAAAUUCCAACCCAGCAAGGAUCAAUCAUCAAACAUGCUAUUAUGAUAUUUCCUUAGAUCUAAUGGAUGAUCAACUCGUGAAUAUUGACAGUGCACCUAAUUCUUUCCUCUUGCAAUCAGAAGGCAAUCACAUCGAAGUACUUUUUUCUCUCACAAACUUCGCACAAUCGCUGCAAAUUGCCCUCGCCAACGGCUUUGGCGAAAAUAUCCAUCAGAUAUCAACAUGGCAAAGCAAGACUACCAAACACAACAAUCAUCAGUAUGGCCAAUUGAAGUCACAGGAACAAGAAAAAUCUAAGAUGAGAGUGGAUACAAGAGAAACCAAUUCCACACGAGGUCCACAACAUAAGACUUCACACAAUUGUCAACCAAUCAAAAUGUGCAGGACAACCUUGGUGAGAUCAAAAUGGAGAAGUCACAAAUACGACCUCUUUUAAUUUCAAAACAUUAACUCGAUUGCUUAAGGCGGUGCUCAAGAUUGGCAAAAGGAUUGUACCUGAGAACCCCUGCAGAAUGGGUGAACAGCAAAUCGACAGCGUCGAUUGUGGUCAAAUGCUAAAAGAUCACCUUCGCUGUCCUCCCCUCGAGCAGAAAUAUACCCUUGCGAAAUCAAUCGCUGGAUGAGACGGAGUAUGAAUUUUUCCUCAUUUUUUCUCGCACUCUUCGGAAUGAAGCGAUGCGCCCAAAGCUUUAUGCGAUUUUUUUCAUGUCCCUCCCCAAAUCAAAUCGAGUAUGGAAACACGAUAUCCGAAAAUUAAAAAUGCAAAAAUCUGGGAAACAAGGUCCCCACAUACCUUCAGUGAAGAAAAUUAGGGCUAGAUUCGUCUUCCAAUGUUUAUGUUUGGGAUAUGAGCGAUCUUGUCCCAGUGCUCGCCUGCUUGUCUUUCACACCUCUUCUCCAAUUCUCUGCAAUUGUAGAUUCGUAGGUGAGUAAGGGAUGUGAGCCUUCGCAUUGUUUCAGGGAAUGAUGUCAACGAGGAGCAUCCGCUGCCGAUGUCGAGACGUUGAAGUGAUUGAAGGGCCUCGAUCUGCUCUGGUAUAGCCUUCAAAUUGCGGCAACCGCAAAUUGCGAGACGCUCGAGAUUGCGGGCUUGUAGAAGCCACUGCGGGAGAGAUGUUAGUUUGGGAAGCUCAGAGAUUGUCACGGAGCGAAGACUGUGAAGGCAUCCAUGGAAAUCCAAGAUGUUGCCGCUUUCGUCUUUGGAUAUAUCUAGCUCCUCACAAUCCCAGAUACAGAGAUCCACGAGGCUCGAUAGAUGUCGCAUACCUUGCCAGAGGGAAGUCAACUGAUGACAUUGCCAGAUCAAAAGAGAUUCAAGGGAAGUGAGACUUUGGAAACCCUCCUCAAGCAAACAUUCUGGAAACUUUGUAUAUCGGAUCACUAGUCUCUUCAACUUAUUAAGGCCAAGCAUCAUCUGAUUUAUCAACAACGCUCCGUUGGCUUUAUUCAGAACUAACUCCUCAAGAUGAGGAGUUAGUGGCAUGGUUUUUAAUUUUUCACAGCCAAUGAUCUCCAAUUCCAAUAGACUAGGAAAUGAUGCCGGUGAAGGGGAUGAUUGGUCCGACUCGAUAUAUUCCAAUUCAGGCAGAUCCUCAAUAUAUAAAGACUUGAGGCGAGGUAGUCGGUCCAGUGGGGGGAGACAUUCACAUCUUUCACAAGCACCGAACGAUACGUCAACUAAAUGUGGCAAGAAAGAUACAAGGCUAUCCAUCAUCCACUUGGGGAAACUCUCACCUUUAUAUUUCCAGAUCUUCAACCUUUGCAGAUUUGAGGGCGGCUUCAGUCUAUCAAAUAGCACUUCAUCUAUUACUACAUCAUCAAUAUUGAAAUUGCCCCAACUAAGUACCAAAGAUUCCAGAGAAUGCUUCCCCAUCAAUAUCUCAUCCUCACAUUUGACUUCCGUAUUUGUUACGUAUCCCAAAUUUUCAAUUGAAAGUUGUCCUCGGAUGUUAUUAAGCCCCUUUAGCUCCCCAAGUCCGCAAUAAUUCUUAGCACGAGCUUUAUCUUUGGGCAAAAUGAAGUUCGUUAGCCUUUGCAAAGAACUCAAUUUCCCUAUUCCACGUGGCAAAUAACUAAGUUUCGAACAACCAUCUAUGUCCAGAUUUCGAAGGCUGACUAACUUCCUUAUAUCACUUGGCAAUUCUUCAAGGACAUAACAAGAGUGAAGAUUAAGUGUUUGCAAGCUUUGCAAUCUUGUAAUGGAGUUAGGAAGCCUUUUGAGUGUUUCACUGUAAGAGAAAUUGAGAUAUGUGAGAUACUUCAACUCACAAAUGGACCUUGGCACCUUCUCGACCUUUGUGGUAUGCAGAUCCAAGAUGCGCAACCUCUUGAAAUUUUGAAUUAAUUGGCGUAGGUCUACUUCACUUGUUAGAUUUCUUCCCCAACCUCCAAUAGUACCCAAAAAAGUUCUCAAUACACUUGGUUUCAAGCGUGAGAUUGGAAGUUCACCCAUCAAAUUGAAAGUUGAACCAAAGGAUAUAUGACGAGUUCUUUCAUUUAUUUGAUUUGUGUCAUCCCUUGCCACCCAACACCUAUUCCCUGCAAUUAAGCAGGCUAGGUCAUGCAUCAAAUCAUGCAUCUUGCAAGUUUCCUCCUUUGUGUAUGGAUCUUUUUUAAAAUCUUGGAAGAAGUUGCUCCAACAUAGAUCCAUGAAAUAUUCAUGAGCAAUGUCUUCUAAAAGCUUACCUGAAUUUGAUGGCUGGAUAAAUCCUUCUGCCAUCCAAAGAUCAACUAAAGCAUGCUUCUUUAUCUCAUAAUCUUUGGGAAACAAUGAACAAAUGGCGAAACAUUGUUUUAAAUGUGAAGGAAGAUGGUCAUAACUUAGCUUGAGAAUAGAUAUUAUUGGGUCUUCCGUUCGAGACACUUUUGGGAGCUCAACAUCUUUGAAACGUAACCAUUCAUCUUCAGUUUCCUUUUGGAAUAGUAAACCCCCAAUAGUUCGAAUGACCAAUGGAACCCCAAAGCACUUUCUAACUAUCUCUUCACCAAUAGUUCGCAUGUCGAGAUCUUGUAUGCCUCCUUCUUUUUGAACAGCCAUUCGCAUUAACAAAUCAAGAGAAUUACUUUCAGAUAAGCCCUCAAGAAGAAGAGGCAGAGCAGGGGAGGUGAUCUUUGCAACCAAAGGAAGGCGUGUAGUUAUAAGGAUCUUGCUUCCUUUAGCACCUCCCAUCAAUAAUGAUUUCAAGUCGGACCAUGUUUCUAAAUUUGCAUCCCACAAAUCAUCCAAAACUAAGAGAUAUCUCUUUCUAUCAAUUAUUGUCCUUAGUUUAAUUUGCAACCUAUCCAUCACAUUGUAGCUCGGUUCUUUCUCCUCCACACAAACUAUGAUAUUUUUCACUAUUUUUUUAAUGUCGAAGUCAUUAGAGACACAAACCCACAUUUUCAAGUCAAAAUGUUUACUGACCAUCUUAUCAUUAUAUACAAUUUUAGCAAGAGCUGUUUUUCCAAGCCCACCAAUACCAACUAUUGGAAGGAUAGAAACGUCUUCUUUCACAUCCAAAUCCAGUAAGAAUUUCAUGACGUUCUUUUUAUCAUUAUCUCUUCCAAUAAUGUCUUCCUCACGUAUAAACGAAUGCGUCUCCUCUCUCUUCCUCCGCCCUCUCUUUGCUUGCGAAUUCAUAGGUAGCUUGUCCAAGAGGACUUUAUUAUCAGCCUUAAUAGCUACCAAUCUCUCCCUCACUUCUCUUAUUUUUCUACUCAUCUUCAGUCCAAAAGCAAGCUGGUUUGAACUUGAGAAAAAUGUCCUUAUCACCUUGAUCAUCUGAUUGUCACCCCUCAGUUCUUGUCGCAUAGCUUCUAUAUCAAAUUCUUCAAGCACAUCUUGCAAGUCAUAGAAAGCCUCUUUUAGUUUCUCCACCAAAUCUUUGAUUUGGGAACUCUGCUGGGGUUGCUCUUCUGCAUCCUUCAGCACAGCAUGAAGCAUGGUGGCGGUGCUCCUGAGCAUCUGAAGUUCACGCUUGACAGCUCCUAACUUUCCAACCUUUUCCAGUGCUUGAGUAAUCCGAUCGGCAAGGAUGCUUGCACCAAUGCUAAUGACAGCUUCUGCCAUAUCUGUUCUCUCUCUCUCUCUCUCUUUCUCUCUCUCUCUCUCUCUCUCUCUCUCUCUCUCUCUAUGGGGAUGAGAAGAUAUUAGUCCUGUCGUUUCAAGGCUAGAGUCUUCUUAGAUGAUGUAUUAGAAAAACAAAAGGACAAGUUUGAAAAAAAAAUGAUGCUUUCUGCAAUGUAACAGUAAAUCUUAAUUUGUAACACUAAAAAUUUACAUGAAGUUUGUAACCUAUUCAUGGGACGAGUAAAUGUUACUUUAAAAAAGUAAUUACCACCGACCCUGUUUAAUAAAAGAAAUUUUAGGAAUUGACAAACAAUAGUUAAGCCGCCCACGGGUCUAGAAAGUGAAAAUUAAAGUUUCUUUCUCAGCAGCUGUAAAUGAAAAUUUCACCCAAGGGGGGCUAAAGAACAAACGAGCCCGGCUUUUUUCUGAUGAUGCCCAUUUUCCUAGUUUCAUCACAUGCUUUCCUUAGAAAACAGUGCACGUUCACAUGCUUUCCUUUUAAUACAGUGCCGGUUUACAUGCAUGCCCCCAUUGUUUUGUAGUAAACACCGGAAUCUUAAGAUUAAUAGAACUUGGAUCUUGAGAAGACAUAAAAUUAUUAUAGCUGCGGGGGCAACUUCAACAUCUAACUUCACAUGGUAAAAAAAAUUUAUGUUCAUGAAUUUCAGCUUUUGUCCAAAUAAGAAACUGAAGAAAAGAUUAUGAAGCUUAUAUUGUGAAUGAAAUAGUAUGAAACCUUUUGUGUUCAAAAGAUAAAUUACAUAUUGGUAUUGAAGUACGAUGAUGUGCGGUGGGAUUACAAAAAAGCAAGCUGAUGAGGAUGCUUUUCAACUUUAGAUUUUAAUAUGCGGAAUGGUAGAAUGGCUCUUAAAGUUGGCUAAUCUUCUCGUGAAUUCCAUUUAGAAUUGGAAAUUGGGACAUGUUACAUCUUCUUAUGUGCCCAAUUUGAAGAAGGCUAAAUAUCCUAAAUAUGUAAAUCUGUACACCAUAUAAGUUAUAUUCUUAAAUCCAAAUAAAAGACGUCGAUAGUUUUCCUAAGCAUUCUUUGUUUCAUCAAUCUAUUCAUUUUCAGAAAAGCUCUAUGGUUAGUCGCUAUAAGAAAGAACGAACCUGGCUAAUAGUGGGCUGAUCGACGGCCGACCAACAAAGGCGAGGCCCCAACUGGCCAAAUCAAGAGAGGAGGACAGGAGACGGUGUCGGCAAGAUCAAGAGAAAGAUGAGAUGAGACGGUAUGGGCAAAGACUCUAGGAAUAGAGAGAUCAAGGGCACUGCUGGGGAAAGUUGAGAGACGAACAAUCUGAGAGAGAGACUAGCUAUGGGAGUGAGAAUUGAAAGAGAGUAGCGAGGAUCUUUAAAUAUAAAAGAUUUAGCACUGUUCCAAACCAGUUCUUCCAAAGGCUAGUUCCCGAGAUUUUUACAUGAGAGCUAAUCGAAAGUUGUUGAGGUCAGUGAAUCUGAAACGUUGCAGCACGUGGCAGAGCGUGACGUGCGAAACUCUGCCACGUGCGGCAAUGAACGGGGCUGAAAUUUCAGGGCCUGUCACUUUGGAGGAUGCUGAGUUUGAUGAUGGCGUCGAUUUUGCAAAAAAAAGAACAGCAGAAAGGCGGCGUAAUGACACUCAAUAGCGACGGGUUUGACCAAAUACGGACACCGGGAGAGUUGACGUAAUAUUGCAACCAUCAUUAUAGAUUAAAGACUUAAUGGCGUUUCAUCAAUUUGUAAUGGCUCUAGUACCAUGAUAUGAAUAAAAUGAAGAGAGAAAAUGGGGAAUAACUAUAUAUUUUUAUGUAUUGAUAAACAAUACAUGAGACUUUAUUAGAUAACUAUUUAAAGUAAUAAGAUAAAUAUAAUGCCACAUCUAAUUAAUCAAGGAUAUGCAUUAUUGAAGGAGAUAUGUGUAUAAUCCUGAAAAAUAUGCAAAAUCAAGUAAAUAUCCAAAUAUCAUUAUCAAUUAGAAUGGAGAUUUUACAUACUAUAUACUAAAAAUCAAAUGUUAAUUUGUUAAGGGCUGUGCUAUUUCCACCCCCCUAAAUAACUUUAUCCAACCCCAUUUAUACUAAAAAGACAACAUUGUUCUCAAUCUUUCGGUUGCAGUUUAUAUUGAUGGCCCUUUUCCUUUUCUAUUUAGGAUAAUUACGAUAAUUAAACAUUUCAAAUGUUUUGUUUUGCUUUUUAGUGUAUUAAAGCAAAGUGCGUUGUCAAAUAUUCUUAUAACGUUUUAUAUACUCCCUGUCAAAUUAUCUCGCUAAUAGUAAAGACAUUUUUUGAUAUCGUAUAAAAUUGAAAAGUCUCUUCUUCAUCAUUGAUCUUAUAAUAAUUUAUCCAUUUUUUUGUCCCUCUUAUCUCAAAAACUCACUUCCUAGGUGAACUUUUUAUUUUCACUAGUCUAAAAUAUUUAUCAAGUCCCUUUAUUUACUAUAUCAAGGAAUUUAUCUUUUUUCCUUAUUAUAUUGGCGAGAUACUUUUAUAGAAAACAUGUAAGAAUAUACAAAAAAUAUUAUGUACAAUGAGGUAUCUUGAUAUUUUUACAUAAACAGUUCAUAGAUGAUUUUGAUUUUUGUCAAUCCAAAGUUCUUAUUUUAUGUGAUGUUUUGGUUUGAUGAAAUUUUAUCUACUUAACAAUUUAUCCAUAAAUUUGAUCAACUAUGUCCCCCGCCGGCGUCCACGUUAGCGCCGGCCGGCCAAUUUUGGCCGGAUGGACUAAAUUUACACAAUUAUAAAAUGUUUAGGACUAAAUUGGACCAAAAAAAAAAAGUUUAGGACUGAAUUGGCACAAUUACAAUAGGUUUAGGACUUUUUGGGUAAUUCUCCCGAUAUAGAAAUACUAAAAAAAAUGGAAAAUAAAUAAAUUUGGGACAAUCAAUUUAAAUUGCAAUUGAAUGAUAGAAGGCAGUUUUGCCUUUUCGUGAAAGAUGGAUGGAGUUAGUCAUAUAGGGGUGGAAAUCACCUUGGUUAAUUGUCCCUCAUUAAUGGCCAAUCACCUCAUUUUAAAGACAAAACUUAACAUCAGCACCAUACCUUAAUUAUUUUACAGAAACUCUCUUAAGGCGAUAUGAUUGUACAAUAACAAUAGAAAAAUUGAAACUACCUAAAUGACAUACAUUGAUAGCAAAACCUCCCUUCGUCAAUGCUCAAAACUAUUUCAUCACAUGCUUUCCUCGGAAAACAUUGCACGUCACAUGCAUGCCCAAAUUGUUUAGAAUUAACAUCGUAUUCAAAUUAUUAGGAUCUUGAGAAGAUAUAAAAUUAUUAUAGCUCGCUAGGCAACUUCAACAUCUAACUUCACAUAGUUAAAAAAACUUACGCUCAUGAAUCUCCGCUUCUGCCCUAACGAAGAAGAAGAAAGUACCAUUUUGAAUGAAGUAGCAUGAAAUCUUUUUUGUGGUGGGCACAUAAAAGCAAGCUGAUGAGGAUUUUUUUAUAACUUUAAAAUUUUAAUAAAAGGAAUGAUAAAACAGUUCUUGAAGUUGGCUAAUCUUCUCUUUGCAAAUACUUUAUAAAACCCAUAUUGUUUUCUCGUGUGAAUACUUUAAUAUCUAUCUAGGCUACCUGAAGUAUCCUUUAACAUCUAUUUGGAUCAUCUGCGGGUCUGCAUGUUCUGUGUGAAAGACUAGUAGUCAUCAUCUUUCAAAGAGAAUGUGGUAGGAGAAGUAACUCUUCUUGACAACUCUUGAAAGAUGUAAUUCUUGUUUUCUCUUGCCAACGACAUGUUUCAUGACCAUCGCUUCAAUUAUGGUGGUGUCGCUGUUCAUCCACCUUUGGUGUCCCUCUUCUAAUGCAUUUCUUCUUUUCAUGCCUUUGGACUCUUGUGUUAUCGUUUUGCAUUAUGCAAACAAGAGAGUUGCGGGAAGGUUCAACGAAAAAGCCUCGAGCAACCAGUCAGCCAGUAGGUGGCGAAGACGAUUUGUUAGUUCCCACAAAACCAACCGGCUGCUGAGAUUGCCGCCUAAGACCAACCUUGCCUAAUCCGAAGAUAUUCUUGGUUGGUGGGUAAGUCAACAACAAAUGUAUAUCUUUGCAUUGUUACUUUCUUUUUUUUUGGCCAACUGCAUUGUUACUUAAAAGCAUGUUUUUUCAUCUGUAGAUGUUUGGCGCUUGGUAGUCGCACAAUAUUUAAUAAUAUAUACAUAUUGAUUAAUAUAUACUUUCGUUUUAUAAUUUUUUUAUAAUUUGUGUUGUGGCAGAAAAAUAAAAAGAUAUAUAUAUAUAUAUUUAUGCUGAACACAUGCCCUGACUUUUCACAUGUUAUUAUCGCGUAGCAUUCAAGUAAAAGCAAAAACGAUAUGGAUAUAUUAACUAUUCAAAUAAAUAAUAGAGUAAACCAAAAAAGUUGCAAAAAUAUCUUUCAGGUGGACUCGAGGCCUGAGAUCAUCAUUUGGGUUGAAGAUUCCGUUGGUACGUGGUGAAUCUGGAGCGGACAACUGUGUACAAAGAUAGAAAGGACGAGUACGGAGUAAGGCCCACGUGUAUAAAGUUAUAUUGGUACGUGACUGACAUAACCAAAAAGCAACUUAACUCUCCACCAUGGCCACCUAUUAAUAUCACUUGGUUAUUAUUAUUAUUAUUUUAAAAUUUCUUUCUGCGUUUUGCGCCACUUCUGUCUCCUUCUUUCCUCCUCUGUAUUUUAAAGAUAGAGACAACUCGAGAUAUUAAAGGCCAAAUCACCUCAAUUGUCACUCAUUAAUGGCCCACCACCUCAUUUACAUAAAACUUAAUAUAAGCGCCUUCCUCAUUUAUUGUGAAAGAACUCCUUAAAUAUGAUAUAAGUGCACAAUAAUAGUAGAUAAUAAAUAAUAUUUGAAUGACAAACACCAAUUGCAAAACCUAUGUCUAUAUGUAUAUAUCGAAAAAAUAUGUAAAGUAACAUGUCUGAUUAAUGUUAAGGAAAGAAAGAAUGAAUGAAGUUUUGCAAUGAUAUAGCUCGACCAUUAAGCUCUAUUCUAUCUUACUUUCUUAUUAUAUAUAUUAGCUUAGCAAUGGUCUCUUUAGCAAUGCUCCCGAGGACAACUUUCACCAUUUUUGUUCUCUCUCUCUCUGGAUUAGAAGAUGAUUAGUCCAGUGGUUCUAAGUCCAUAGACUACUCGGGACAUUUACGGCAAGUCUGUGUUGAAAAUAGCAUUUCUCAUCAGCCACGAAUAACAGAAAGUGAAGCUUAAGUCCAUAAUGCAUUUAGGACCCACCGACAUUGAUAUUUAUUUCACAGGUUGGUUUUAUUUGGCAAUUUCUGAGACCCGGAAGCAAGGGAGAAUAGGACCAAGUUGUGAAAGCAAAUUGCCUCUCCAAGGACAAACACUUAUUUUUUUUUCCCAAGGUUUCGUUCUAUAUAUUAAUUUUUUUUUAAAUGAUGGAGGUCAUUGUUUAAUUUAAUCGGAUGGAUUUUGAGGUGUGACAAAGUUGGUAACAAAAAAAAAAAAAAAACCUAGGGUAUAUUAAUUUGUUUUGAUCCAACACCAUGAGAUGUGUGAUGUGAUUAAUUAGUAACUUAUAUGUGUAGAUGUAUUGAUACAUAUGAUAUAUAUGUUGGACUGAGAUUAUUUCCAUUAAAAUAGAAAUUUUUAUAUGCAUGGAUAACACCAGAUUUGUUAACAUUCCAUUGCCAGCACUACGCCAUCACUACACCUCUCAAUUCAAAACUCUCCUUCAUAUCUUCACUUGACAUUAUUGGUAUUAUUUUACUAAAACCUUACUGUUUAAGGAAGUUCACUCUCCUUGCCAAUCUUUCAAAACUAUUUGCUUCCUAUGAAUAAAAUGCUUCUAGAUUAUUUCUUUCUUCCUUUAUUUUUUCAUAUUCUCUAAGUAAAUGAAUAAAACUGCUUUAAAGAUCUCUCUUCCAUUACUAGACAAUAUGAAAACUUGCACAUUUAUGUAAUGUAAAAUGAUAUAUUUUGACAUUUUAUGCAUGUCACUCAUUUUUUAUAAAUUUCAAAAGGAUUCACAUUUAGGGCAAACUGACAUACACACGAUUUUUUCUAGCAUAUACAAUACGUACAAAAUCUUUUACUAUCUCAGUAUCCUAUUGCAAUUAUAUCGGUUAGUUUAGAAUACUCUUUAGUUCAAAUUUAUAGCUUUUUCUUUAACAAUUACUAUAAGAUAAGUCAUCUUUCUUAUCUUUUGAGUCUGGCGCUUAUUUCAAUCCCCCUAAUAUAUUAUUCUUCCAUUCAAUGUACAAAAUCAAAUCUUUGCCAAGUUUCCUUGUGGAUGUUUUCUAAUAGUGCUUGCAAGACCGUCAAAAUUCCUAGUUGGCCAUUAAUGACAAGUUAGUGACAUUGGACCAAGUAGACCUUGCGUGACAAUAAAAUUUGUUGAAGUGGUAUGGAUUAUUGUGACAGGGCUAGAAUGUGCAAAGCAUCUUUUAACAUCCUAGAAAAAUUCGGAGUGUUAAAAAAAUCCAUGCUGCUAUCUUGCUUGAAUACUCUAAUACCUGCUUGAACUACGCGAGAUACCCUUAACAUACUUGUGGAGCAUCUUUUGUAGUGUAGACACGUUCAUCUCUGUGUAUGCGCCUAAGCUAUGUGCGAAAGACCAGUAGCCAUUAUCAUUCAUGGAGGAUGUGAUAGGAGUAACUCUACAUAGCCUUGUGCAGCAAUGAAAUUUGUAACUCUUCCAAAAAGAACGUAACUUUCGUCUUCCCUUCCCAAGAAUAUGUUUCCCGACAAUCAUUUCGACAAGCAUUUCCUUUUUUUUUUUUUUUUUCCAUUACGGAAACAAGAGAGUUCCUGAAAGGUAUGGCGAAAAAUCUAGAGCAACCGGUUAGCCAGCAGAAGGUGGUGAAGGUUAUUCGCCAAUUCCCACGAAACCAAUCAGCUGCUGAAAUUGCAUCCCCAAAACAAACCUCGCCUCCAAAAUAUAUGAAUUUCCGUUGUCAAGACACCCUAGUAAAUGUAUAUCUUUGCACCGUUCUUUGAAAUCUGACUUCUAGUCUGCAGGUGUUUGGCGCUUCUUAAUCACACAAUUUUCAUAAUAUAUGCUUUGUCGUGUACACAAGAAAGAUUAGGGCUCAUUCAUAUGUGUACGGCAAGUUCAUGUUCAUAUAUUGUUCUAAAAAUACUAUAUUAAGGUUUUCAUUUAUUUCAAGAAAAAUAAAUAAUUUAAAAAAUAUCUUUUAAUAAAUAAUCACUUCUAUCGCUUAAAAUAAUUAGUCAAUAAAAAAUAUUUUAAUUAAUUUAUUGUCUAAAAUUUUUCAUAGACGUUGAAAAUAUUUUCAUUCUUUUAUUUUUGUAAGCGAUACAAGCGAUUAUUUUUACUUCGUAAAUUUUUUUAUCACAUAAAAAACUCCAAAUUAUAUUCACCGCAACACAUUUAUUCCAAACUUAUUUUUGUGACAUCAAGAACCUUAACCUUAUACUCAUGUGAUAUAUUUACUCUUUGUCAAAAUUUUGUCAUAUGAUUUUCCAAUCAAAACAUCGUUUUUAUUUCACUCAUGCAUUUGCUGCCAACCACAUUUGGCUUUUGUCAUCUACAAAGCUACAUUUUUAAUGAUGCUCAUUGCGGGAAUUAUCGUAUAGGUACAAAUUUAAGAUUUUUAGUAUCACAAAAAUGUUUAAGGUAAAUAUCACAGUGGAUAAAAUUUGGAGUUUUUAAUGACUUUUUUGUCAUAUCAAACAAGGUGGUUGAGUUUUAUUUUACUUUAUUGUAAAGUAAUAUAUCUAAUUAAUCUAAGAAAGGUGAAAGAGUGGAGUUUUGUGAUACUCAACCAUUGAACUGCACUCUUCCUAACUUUCCUAUAAUUGAUAGAUAUAAACAUAUAUACAUAGUUUUGGUUUCACAAAUGACACGUAAUAGUUGAAUUUUCUUAGCAUUUAUUUAUUUAUUUAUUUAUUUUGGUCAGAAUAGCAUUAAUUUGUUUAUGUUUCUUAAAACUCAAAAACAAUUGUCUACUUUUCUGUUAAAAUUCGAAAUAUUAUUCGAAUAAAAAAUAUAUACAUAAUUUGGUUUCACAAAUAACACACAAUAAAAUAGAACGAAAGAAGGUAACAAUGAUGAUUAGAGUUCGCAAUGCAAAUGGUAAUAUUUUUGUUACAUGGAAUAAUUUCUUUUAUUUCUACUCUCAAUGACACUUAUAUAAAAUUUAUAUUUUCAGAGCAGAAAAAGAAUAUGAAUGCGUUUGGCAUGAUCCACAAAUUUUCUUUUGUAUUUUUGUGCUUUUUUUUCUUGCUCGCUGAUCUUUGCCGCCAAUCACCGAUGGUGGUAGGUAGAUCCAAGGGCGGCGGCCAUGGCAAGGAAAAAGAAGAAAAGAAAAAGAAAACAGAAAAAAAUGACUUAUUUCUAAAAAUUAUUCCCGAAAACAAGAAGUUAUUUUUUUUUUACUUUUUAUUUCUAUUCCAAAUCUAUUUCUCGAUUACUUUUCUAUUUCAAAAAAUAGAAAAAUUAAUUGACGUUACCAAGUGAUUUUCUAUUCUUUUUCUAUUCUAGGGAGUAAAAGAAUAGAAAAAUCAAGUAACCGAAACGUUUCCAUGCGGCCCUUAAAAUUUCUUAGGAGAAGGUUUGUCUGUGCUUUUUUAAAAUGCAAAAUUUAGAAUUUUUAUUUAAAUAUUAACAGAUUUUGAAAAUAUUAUGCCUAAAUUACAUAUCAAGAUUUAACAAUUGUGAAAAUUUAACAAGCUUCAAGCCAAAAUAACUGUGAAAGCUUGAUCAAGGCAAAGAUUAUAUAUGCGUGUGUAUUAUGCCGAGGUUCGUGAGAGCACAAAAUUCGAAAUUCACGGUAGUAUAGUCAUUUGAUUUUAUGCGUCCGCUUUUUCUCGUCCUUUAUUUGUCCUUACUUUUUCCCUUUUUCCAAGCAACCAUAAAAAGGUAAGGUAAUGCGUUGGCGAUUCCAUGGGUACGUGGAAAUUAUGGAUUGGACAAUAUGUAAUAAAAGGGAAUAGGAUGAGUAGGGUGGAGUUGGGUCCAUGAGUAUUUACUAUUCACUAAGGCCUAACUACUACUGGGGUUCAUGUGAAGCCAUACUGCCACAAGGUUGACAGGAGCCUGGAGGCAGCGUAAUAAUUGCCACAUGGCCGUCCAUAAAGCAACUUAACUCAACCAUAGUACUGUGUUCUUUUGUUUUUGGUUUUUUUUUUUUUUGCACCACGUCUUUACUCCUCUCUUCUGCUGUCGUCUUUCUUUCUCCUCCUCUCCUUUUUUUUAGAUGGGGAGACCAUAAAUGGGCUUCACGAACCAAAGAUAAUAUGGUCUCGGAAAAUCUUUUUGGGUAAUCCAAGACUAAAUCAUAACAGUCAGUCUCAUUUUUAGUGUCAAUCCUUCCCCUUUAUCAUGUAGCGUAAUUAGCACACCCUAAUUUCUGCACAAAAAAUGGGAGUGGCAUGACCAUUUUAAAGAGAAAUAUGAAGCCCUCAAACAAAUCUCGCCACAAAUCAACUAUACCAAAAACAUGCAUGUAUGGGCCAAAAGCUAAUAUCAAUAGAAUAUAGCCCAAUAAUCCACACAUUGAAGCUUUUAAGUGAAUUUAUUGUUAUAGAUAUGCAUCAUUUUGUUUCUACAAUUCUUUGCGAAAUUAGACAAUCACUUGCUUGAAGCAGGAGUACGUGGCAUUUUCCAUGCAUUUAUGCUGUGAAAAUAUGUUCCAAGUUCUAAUCAGGUCAUUCCAAGUUGCUCCAAGCCAAGGUUAACAUAACUUACAACAAAUGGUCGAUUGGUGUUGUUGAUUGAAGAGAUAAGUGGUGAUGCAUCUCAUCACUCCUUUGUGAAUAUGCAAUGACAUAAUCACAUCGGAAGAGAAGUGACUUGAGACUCAAGAAAGACAUGAAACUAAUUACCUGCACUCAUUCAAAGUAGCAACAUCCGUGGCUUGAACUAAAGUAUCUUUUGACCUCAAACCCCUGGGAUUUGGCAUUGCGUGAUUGUGAUAUUUUGUUUGGAAAUUAAACCCUUCCAAAGUACCCGUUGCAAGAAAAAAGAGUAACUUUCAUACAUGAACACAAUCAAUUUGGAUUACUUCUGAGGCCAAUCCUUGUUAGGAAAUUGCAAUAUCACAUGAGGUCUUUCGGACGACAUAAAACCACUAGAUUCAAUUAUCCAUAGAGUGAGAAUUGAGUGCAUGAAGCCGACAUCUCUUGUAAUUUGGGUUUUAUGAGCACAGUUCCUUUCUGCAGCUUAGCUGGUCCAUCCAAAACUCUUAUUGCAACAUCAUUUCCUCCGUUAAACUCAAUGCAAAAGCUGUUAUAUGUGAAAUUUUCAUGAUUUUUGAAAAUAUGGAAAUUUCUAUUAAUACUUAGAAACUAUGAAAAUUGUGUAAAUCGUGAAACAUGGUUCUUGGGAUAUUCAAAAAAUUUUCAGUCAAUUUGGUUAGAAUAAAUGUGAUAUAGUGUGCAUAAUUGGGGGUUUUUAUUGACUUUUUUUCUAGAUCAAAUGAGAUGAUCGAUUUUUUUUUUUUGCUACUUUAUUGUAAAGAAAUAUGUUUAAUUAAUUUAAGAAAGGUGGAAGAAUGGAGUUUUGCGAGAAUGUGACAUAGCCAUUUAACUGUAUUCUACCUUUUCCACCAUGGAUAGAUAUGUAUAUACAUACAUAAUUUUGGUUUCACAAAUGACAUACAAUAAAAAAAAAUGAAGGAAGGUAAUUAUGAUGAUGAGAGUUAAUUGAGUUUUCUUAGGACUAGUUUGUUUAUGCUUUUUAAAAUGCAAAAAAUAAAUUUUAAAAUGUUAUAUAAAUGUUAAAAAAUUUUGAAAUUUUUUUUAUAUAAACUAUAAAUCAAGAUUUAAUGGUUGUGAAAAUUCGACAGGUUUCAAGCCAAAAAAAGAGUGUAAAAACUUGUUCCAGAUAUAUAUAUAUAAAAUAACAUAGCCCUUUAGAUAUAUUGCUCAGGUUAGUGAGAGGGCGAAGGUUUAAAUUCACCAUAGGCGAUAUCACUGUCCUACGAUUUGAUGUGUCUUCUUUUAUCCUUUCCCUUGUUUCCUUUUCUCUCUCUCUCUCUCUCUCUUUAACGCAACCCAAUAAGAUAAUGUGUUGGUGAUUCCCUUAUUACGUGGUGACUCUAGAUGGACAACCUAUACUAGAAGAUAGAUAGGACAAGUAUAAUGAUUGGGUCCCACAACUAUUCAUUAAGGUUUGGCUAGUGGGGUCCAAGUCUAUGAAGCUGUACGACCAUCUACGACAUAAUGUUGACAGAAGAGGAAGCAUAAUAAUUGUCUAAGGACUGACAACCAAAAAGUAACUUAACUCGACCAUGGUUAAUUAUUAACCAUCAUUUUGUUCUUUUUGUUUUAGGUUUUCUCGCACGCCAUGUCUUUCUUUCUCCUCCUCCGGGCGUUAGAGAGAGGUCAUGCGCUUUGGAAACUUUAUAAAUUAAUAAUCAAAUCUAGGAAUUAAUAGUCAAAUCUUUGACUUGUUAAUGGUCCUCAUAAUAAGUGAGCUUUCAUAUAGUCAAUUUUAGUAUGGUGAUACAAAAACUGUAAAGAUGAAUAGAUAGGCUUCAACAAUUGAAUAAUACAUAAUCUUGGUAAUAAGUUUUGGAUACUCCAAAACUAAGUCUUGACCAUUAAUCUCAUUCUUCAUGUUGGCCCCACACAAGAAUAAGGGAGUGACAUGGGCAUCUUUUAAGAGAAGGACAAUGCUACACCAAAAAUAUACACAUAUGGGCCAAAGGCUAACACCAAAAGGAUAUAGCCCAAUAUCCACAUGUCAAAGCUUUUAAGUGACUUUAUUCUCAUUUUGUGUUUACUUUGCGAAGUUGGGCCAUUUCGACUUGAGUUUUGCCAUGUGAAAAAUAGAGAUGCAACUUAUCGACUCACUACAUCACUUGCUUGAAGCAGGAGUGCGCACCAUUUUCCAUCCACAUACGGUGCAAAAAUAUGUUCCAAAUUCUAAUCUGGUCAUUUCAAGCUACUAUAAUUCAAUGUAAACAAUGCUUACGAUCAACAGUCGGUUAGCGUUGUUAAUUGAUGAGACAAGUGAUGAUGCAUCUCAUCACUCCUUAUAACGAAGUGUCAUGACAAAAUUGCACCGGAAGAGAAGUGACUUGGGACUUGAGAAAGACACGACACAAAGAAUCCAUAUUCACUUAAAAGUUCAGGUCUAGCAAAUAUCGAUGAUGAAGUGGGUAGAUUUUUAUAUUCCAAACAAUAAAGGGAAUUUCGUAAUAUUGAAAAAAUGAAAAGGAAAAGAUGAAACAUUCGGAUUAUUUUGAUAAGGCAAGAAACGAUUUUCGAAGGUAAUUAUGGAACUUGUCUUUGCAUAGCUUGGCUUGUUUUCUCUUCUGAUAUUCCUAGGAUUGGCAUUUGCUUAUUACCCAAAAUUAAAGAGAGAGGCAAGAGGGUAGAGAGGACAGGGACGAUGGAGGCCCAAGGCUCGCCGGGGAGUGUCCUUUAUUGCUGGAAAACUUGGCGAUGUUCAUGGCUUGAACUGAUAUUUCCUUUGACCUCGAAUCCCUAGAAUUAGGCAUUGCGUGUUAUCGACGUUUUGUUUGGAAAUUACACCCUUCCAAAGUCGCGGUUGUUGGCUGGUAAAGAAGUAUAACUUUCAUGUAUGAACACAAAAUAUUUGGAUUAUUUUCAAGGUUGAUUCUUUUUACAAAAUUGUAUUGUUACAUGAGGUCUUUCCAACAAUACAAAAACCACUAGAUUCGAUUAUCCGUAGAGUGAGAAUUGAGUGCCCGAAGCCAACACCUCUUGUAAUCUAGGCUUUUACCACUGCAGUUCCUUUUGGCAGCUUGCCUAGUCCAUCCAGAAGUCUUAUUGCAACACCGUUUUCUUCGUUAAACUCAACGCAAAGGCUACUAUGUUAUGUGAAAUUUUAAUGAUUUUUAAAAAUACAGAAAUUUCUAUUAUUACUUAGAAAUUAUGAGAAUUGUGAAAUUAUGGAACAUGGUUUAUAGGAUGUACAAAAAAAUUCAAGUCAAUCUCGUGAGUUCAUUUCAGGAGUGGAUUUCGACUCCCACACCUUGCAAAGAGGCAGGGCAAAAGUCUGAGAGUGUGUGUUAGAAUAGGAUUAGAGUAGGACCGACAAAAAAAAAUCUCGUGAGUUCAAAGAUAAAUAUUAAUUGUGGAAAAUUCUAAUUCCUUUGAAAAGUUCAGUGCUAUCAUUGAAGAAAAAGCGUUGGCGCACUUGACAUUGGAAAGAUCUAAUUUUUUCAGUUUUUUGAAAAAUAAAAUUAACUAAUUUCUGCAAAAAAAAAAAAGAGAGAUUAUUUCAUAUGAUUGAAACUGUGACAUCCAGAUUUUCGGAUUUUAAUUCGACUGGAUAAAUAGGACCGUUUUUAUUCAGUUGAAGCCAGGGAUUGUGAAAUUGGGAUGCAAGUGGGCUAUAUUGGUAAGGAAAAAUACCAAUUGGAAUGACGAGGUGUUGAAUAAAUUAAUGGGGGUUAGUUUGAUUUAAUUCAAUAGGAAUUAAGGCCCAAUUGAAAAGAAAACCUAGCAAAAUUCGUAUGCCACUUCUACCCCAUAUUUUGGCCUACCUAAAUGCUUCUAGAAGGGGCAAGUUUGUCUUUGAAUUGUGAGUGGAUGACAGCCCAUGGUGGCCCACGUGCGGAUGACAUAAGAGAGAGAGAGAGAGAGAAUGAGAGAGGAAAAAGGGGAAACCGGUUCCCCCUUCUCUUCCUCGUCGCUGCCUCUCUCCCCUGCAUCUUCAUCUUCAGCUGCACGACACCAUGGAAGCUGAAGAUCAGCGAACUAGCAAGCCGAAGCAGCGAUUUCUCUUGGCGCCGAUGCAGCAAGCAACCGAAGCCGGAGUCGCCGCCGUCCGCCGUCCUGCUGCCUCGCGCAUCUCCGCCCCCUGUCCCUCCUCUGGUUCGAAUAGAACCGAAAGCAGAAACAGAAGUAGCAACCAUCGUCGGUUGAAGGAGCUGCAAUCGCGCCGGAGCUGCCAUCGCCGCCGCACAUCGCUCCGCCGCCUCGCCACUACUCCGUGCGUCACCAUCUCUCCCUUGCUCAGCCCUCUGUUUCAGCGACGUUUCAGAUCUGGUGGAGCUCCGCCGGAGCCGUCCACCCCUCCUCCGGCCACCGUGAAGCCUCGCCUAAGUCUUGUUCAGCCUCUCCGUCCAUCUAGGUCUGUUGUUGCUUCAAUUCGAGCCCGGAGCCGCCCCUUCCAGCAGCGAUCAGAGAAGUCAGAAAAUGGGUAUUGCAGAGGGUUUUGGCCCGUUUUGGCCGUCUUCCCGAGCCCGGAUGCUCGGCCCGCUUUGGGGAAAGUCGAUCCUCGCGUCGAGCCCGUCGUUUUGAGUGAGUUUUACUCACUAAUGCUUUCUUAGUUUGCUAAUUAUGCUUAAAGGUUGAUUAGUGUUAAUUAAGUGUAAUUAGGUUGUUAGAUUAGAAUUGAUUAGUGAUUAUUAGUUAAUUACAUUGUAUGUUAGUUGUUUGGUUAGUGUAAUUAGAUAGAGAAUUGCUUGUAGUAUUUAUUGGAUCAUUCUUGGGAUUUUUCCCGUCCCUUAUCGGGUGUUUAUUAAGCGAUUCGGGCCUAGGUGGUAUUUUUAGGAAUUAAAUAUUAAUUUUCGAAAUUAAUUAUUUAAUUAUUUAUUUCCCGGAAAUUCAACUGGGAUGGCCAGUGACCGGGAUUUUAUGCUGAUGAUCAUGGCGCAGUCCGUUUAUUUAAUUGAGUUUUAUAUUGUGCUAAAUUGAAUUUAUUGUAUUUAUUUAUUUAAUUUUCGAAAUUAAUAAAUUAAUUAAUUAUUUUUCGGAAAUUAAGAUUUCGAUGGCCGACGACCGAAAUCUCGUGCUGAUCGUCGUGGCGCAGUCCGUUUAUUUAUUUGAGCUCCACGUUGUAUGGAAUUGAAUAAAUUGUGAUAUUUUAGAGAUUUACCCUAAAUUGAUUGGAAUUGAUUGAGAUUGAAUUGUAGAUUGGUAAAUGGCCAAGUAUGUUAUUCAGCAUUUAUAAUGCUUUGUUGAGUUGAUUUAAUUACUUGAUUGAGAAAUCGUUGGGCAUUGGUUGUCGAUAUUGAUAGUAGAUCCUCGAAAGCCGUCAAGAUAUGGCUAUGCCAGUGGGGCCGAGUUUUGCCACCGAAUUUGGAGUCGGUCGCGCCCGUUGGGCCGUAAAUUGCCACCUAUUAAAGGUCGCGCCUGUUAAGGCCGUAAUUUGCCACCCGAUACGGGUCGCGCCUGAUAAGGCCGUAAUCCGCCACCUAUUAAAGGUCGUGCCCAUUGGGCCGUAAUUUGCUACCUAAAGGUAGGUCAUGUCCUUCGGGACUGUAAUUUGUUGCCAAGAUUUGGUAGUCUGUGCUCGUGAAGCAGUGAGUAAGAUUUUGAGACUGAAUAAGGGAGGUGACCAGGGAAUGGUCGGAUUGACUUGUAAUCGACUAGGUCGAUUGAUCGAUGAUUCAAUCUGAGUGUGAUUCAAUGUGAUUGAUCAUUGCCUUGAUUUGAUGUUGCGAAUUGGUUGAUUGAAUGGAAAUGACCGUGAGUGGUCUUGUUGGCGUGUAAUCGAUUAAGUCGAUUAGAUCGAUGCUUCGAUCUAUAAUAUGAUUUCUUGGGUGCCUAUAUGAUCUGUGCUAACAUGCAGGUGGAAUCUGAGGCCAAGGUAAGUCCUCUGACUUAUGUUGUGCAUAGGCAGCCCUAAGGUGUAUUAGUUUACUAAUCGGGUCUUAGGAAGUAGAACUUGCUGAGACGUGGUCUCAGUGGUUAUUGAAUAACCAUUUCAGGACCUGGAUGAGGAGCCUAAGGAGCAUGAAUCUGAUGAGGAGGUCCCUGAUGAGGAACCCGAAGAGGAGUACGUGGAGGAGGACCCCGAGUACGACCCGGAUGAGGACCGAAAUCCUAUCCUGUCUUGUCAGACCUUGUUUGCUUGUAAAAAGUUGUAGUUGUGAAUUUUCAGUAAGAUAAAUGUAUGGCCUGCUUUUCUAUCCCAUUGCUUUAUUGUCUGGGGAUUUAUAACUGCUUCCGCAUGUGCUAUUAAAAAUGAAAGGGUCGGCGAUACAUAGUCCUGGGAUAUCGCAUAAUAAAAUCGACCAAAAGUAAGGGAUGUGUGCGUGCCUGAAGGUCGGGGCGUGACAGAAACAGUAAAAUAUCUGUUGGGUCAUGGGGUGCAUGUUGGGGCCUAUGCGCUCGAAAUCGAGUCUUGAAGGGCAUUUACAUAAUUGUUGUCUGAAUGAGCUUUUCAGCCCAAGUGCAUUCAUCCUCUGUUCAGGGACGGAGGAAAUAUGAGAUAAAGUUAUGUGACUUGAAUUAGCGAUUUAUUGAGGUAUGUAAUUUCCAACACUUCCAUAUUUUAAAAAAGUGCAUGACAUGAUUUGCCGAGAAGAAGCUACACUGUGACAUGGUUUGUUUGUUUUUUUUGUUUUUUUAAAGCAUUUUAAGCAUAUAAAUAGAUAUUCUUACAUGGCAUGCUAUUUUAAAAAGUCAGAUCAAGCAUUGGAUAUUUUUGAGCCUCUCUAAUCCGGAAAUAUUCUAAACUGAAAUGCUAUAUAUAUAGUGUGUGGGGGCAUGCGGAAUAAAUAUUUUUAAAAAAUCACUAAUUUUGGGUGAAGGCUGGUCCUUCAUUUCUUAAAAAGAAGGCUGGGCAAUCCCUUCCUUCUCACUAUGGAUGUGAGUGAAAAAGAUCGAGAGUACUCGACUCAUAUAAGUUCGAUUUAUAGUUCUAUGUGUGUUCUUAGAACGUCGAGAUUGAACUUGGAGAUAUGCCAAGCGGUCUUUGAAUUGGAAAAAUCGCCCGGUUUGAUUAAUACCUAUCUCCCCAUGUGAUGUAACUUACCGAAUCAAAAUGCAAGUUGGCCUUCGAAGCGUUGGUCUCUAAAACGGUAUGAGCGAGACCUGGUGUCGAUCCUCUUCUUUCACUGAAGCCUUCGAUUCUCCUCGGAGAUCAAUCAAAACCCAGAGCCGACCAAGUAAACUGGAAAAUCCUCUGAGGGAAAGUGGAGAUGGUGGGAGGUGUGCAAGGAGCGAGCAAGAGGCGAUCGAAUGCCGUCCGGACGCAAGCAGUGAUUGUGAUCUCUCGCGAGAGAAUUGAUGACGUCAUCGCGCAAAUGGGGAGAGAGAGAGAGAGAGCCACGCGACCUCAAAACGCACGGGAAUUGGAGCCAAAAAAGCGGGUUGGAUCCACCAGCUUCGAUCGUCGCUGCCAAUGCCGUCCAAGACUCCGGGUGCGUUUGGGAACCACUUCCCAAAGCCCCUUGGGAGUCCAAAGCCCUUUGGGCACAAAAAAUGGUGUUUGGCAAAAAACUUUGAAAGGGACUUAGGCAAAAUGCUAGCAUUUUUAAGGCUGAAAGCCCAAGGCAGGUGGGGGGCUGCCUUGGGCUUUUCAGCAUUUUCGGCAUGCUGAGGAGCACUGUUCACUUUUUUUUUUUCCAAAAUUGUCCUCAUGAAUUAUUGGUUUUUCCGGUGCGUGCCCUUGGAUGAACACUGUUCAUCUUCUUCGGGCGAACGACCGCUACAGGGACGCCGCGACCUCGCCGCCCUUCGUCGGAGAGUCGGGCGACCUUCGCGAGUCGCGGCGUUGCCGGCGACCGUCGCCUGCUGCACCGCGACCUCCGCACGGAACUCGCCGGGGCCGCGCGACCAGAUCCGGACGUCGCGAGCCUCGGGGUCGGGCGACCUCCAGCGAGGGUCCGCCGGAGGUCGCAGGUCAGCCGGAGGUCGCAGGUCCUCGCGGCGACCUCGCGGCGACCGGAUCUGGUCGCGGCGACCUCGCUGCGCGACCUCUGCGCAACCAGAUCUGGUCGCCGGAGGUCGCACGACCUCGCGGCGACCAGGUCUGGUCGCGCAGAGGUCGCACGACCUCGCCGCGCGACCUCCGGCGAACAGAUCUGGUCGCGCGACCUCCGCGCGACCUCUGCGCGACCAGAUCUGAUCGCCGGAGGUCGCGCGGCGAGGUCGUGCGACCUCUGCGCGACCAGACCUGCCUCCGGCGACCCAGAUCCGGGGUCGCCGGAGGUCGCCGGAGGUCGCCGGCGGUCGCCGGAGGUCGUUGAAGGCCGCUGCCCUUGCCGGUCAUUUUUUUUUAUUUUUUAUUUUAUAAUUUUUUUUACCACAAAACUCCAUUUGCAAGUGUAAUUUCCCAAACACUAUUUUGCUCAAAGCACUUCACAAAGAGCUUUCAAAGUAUAAUUUACCAAACACAGUUUGCAUUUUACAAAACACUUUAAAGUCAAAGGUAUUUGCAUUUUCCUAAAGGCUUUCCCCAAAAGUAGUUCCCAAACGCACCCUCCCUCUGGUUAGUUGAACAACCGAUCGUGACCAAUGAUUGCUCCUCGCUGAGAUAAAAGCUCUCUGUUCUGUUUUGAGUAUCGCACGUGUGAAAUAGAGACCGAGAGCUUUGUUGUUUGCUAGCAAUGAAAAUUGUUCACGUCCGAGAUUAUAUUACUAACAACUGCGAUUCGGUCUUCAUGAUCUCGUGCUGAUUGGGCUGUGAUUCUCGCUCUCUCGUUGCUGGAUUGUGCCAUUUCAUCGAAUGCACAUUAAAUGUCUGGUGAAAUGCCUGAGCCAUAUUAGUCUGAAUACACAUCGUCUUUGUCUGCUUGAAUGACUCAUUGUACCAGUUGGAUAGGUUAAGUAGAUCUAAAUUGAUAUCCACUUUUGAGUCCAUUCCCGAAUGUCUCGGUCUUGGUAGGCUUCCGGUACUCUAAGGCAGAUAAACUCGACUCUCUGAAAUUAGCUAAAAAAGAUGAUUCCGGUACUCUAAGGCAGAUAAACUUGACUCUCUGAAAUUAGCUAAAAAUGACGAUAUGCUGAAUUGUAAAUACUCUAUCGAUGGUUGCUGGUGCGCUCAUGAAGCAUAGGCUGAUUAUGGAGAGACUGAUACAUUGUAGUGUGGAUCUCAUUUGCUGUACAUAUCUUUUGAAUUCCAAAUCAUGUCUUCUCUGCGAGUGAACGUGAUUAUGUGUUCAGCGGAUGAAAAAAUAGUGUGGCAGUGCCGCCACGUUCUUGUUGCAAGAUUAAAUGACAAACAAGGUAGAAUUGAAAAGAAGUUGGAAUUUUUUUCUAAAAAAUAAAUAUGAAACGUUAUAAAAAAAAAAAAUAGUAGACUCGCGUCCUCACAAAUCUACAAUGAUGCAGAUCUAUUAGAAAACUCGAUACAUCUAUAAUCAUAGGCAAUGUAUAGCUUUUUAUAACUCAAAGGGAUGAAUAGACUCAAAGCUCAUGGAACACCCUAUUAUAAAAUAAAUAGUUACAAAAACAGGCCACACUAUUUCCACGCUCGAAAUGGAGGGAAAGGUUGAAAGGGAUUAAAAAAAUGCAAGAAAUGUUCUCAUAUGAGUGGACAGCUCCAUUUAUUUCUAAUUCACUUAUGAUCGGACCAUCAUCAUAGCCAUUACGCCAUUUCAAAAUAGAGGCAAAAUCCCAAGAAAAUCAUCAGUUUGACAAGUUCUGGAAAUUCUCUCCCUAAUUUAUUAGAUAAUAAUUUCCAAUAAAUUGGACAAAUUGCGUCACCCUAAGUUAAAAAAGAUGAAUAGUACUAGAGACACUCAUAUUGACAUAUUCAAUUGGCUCAAACUUUAUAAUACUCAAACAAUAAAUAGAUUUAUAAAAAUUAGAUAAUGUCACCAUUUUGCCACAUCUAAUGGAAACUGAAGGUGGCAUUGAUAAAAAAUCUUCCAACAAGGAAUGCAUUCAUCAGUAGUUAAGCGCAAAGGAGUAGACUUAUUGCUCUCAGACAUUUCAAAAAAAAGACUAACUUGAGCUGUGCAAGCGCAACAUCUUGACAACAUUCAAGAGGGUUUGAACCACAGCAGCAUCUGCUACCUUGGAAGCUGCUCUAAGUUAUUAAAGAGUUGAGAUUCGAGGUACUAACCCCCUUUUAAUUACAACGGGCAUGCCUUUUCAAAGGCUUGCUGCUCUUUGCGGCAUAAAUCGAACUCGUUUGUGUGGUAAUACAUGCAACCAACAUAAGCAUCCAUCUCUUUUGUGCACCUCUCGUGAAGAUCUUUCAGCCCAAUUCUCCUAAUUGAAUUAUGUAUAUAUAUAUAGCAUAAAAAAAAUAAUAAAUAAGAGAAAAAUAAGCUUGAUUUGCCCAUGCAUUCAGCCAAUUCCUGAGCCUACCCAAGGCAUAUCUAACUUGGGACUCACAAAAAAAAAAAAAAAAGCGUUCUCUUCGAAAGAAACGACCAGUUGGCCGUUUAUACUCCUCCGUUCGCCGCCGUUCGUUGUAGCCACCGUUUCUGACCUCGCCAGAAACGACAAUCCUCGACCGGCGCCAAGAGUUCCUUCUUCGCUUCUGUUAAGAUCCGCUUUUCUCGACACCAAAUCGAUGCGGGAGCCGAAGUUCCGACCACGAAGCAAGUACAAAGCCAGGCCCAGCCACACCGAACAAACCAAAGACGCUCCUCUCCGUUGCCCCUGCCUUCCGCUACCUCAGAGCUCACCGGAUACGUUUGUGUUUCUCGCAAUUCGAUCGAACCACGCCCAGUUUUAUAUGCGAGAUAUAAACGCCUGUUGGAUGCUGAUAUAUCAGGUGAAUUGAAACGUUGAAAUCGAGUCCAUAGCUCAGUUUCUAAAUCGCCCAUGCACCGUCCGACGAAAUACCUCAAUGAAGGAAUCGAAUCCGAUUUAGCCAAAACAGUGUUCGAGAUGUUAUUUUUAUGCUCUAUUAGUUCUGAAAUCAUUAAACUGAGACUGAAUAGGCGUUUUCUUUGAUUUUUGGUGGCAUUAUUUCUCAUUAUCCGAGUCGGUCAUGAGCGCCUCGCCGGAGGAACCCGUGGUUAGAGGCCGCUGUAGUUAGUUUCUCGUUUACGCACUUGUGUGCUUGUUCCGUUAGAAUGGAUGCCGUUUUACAAUGUCCAUUUUUUUUUUUUUUUUUUUUUUUUUGGUGGCUUAACAUCACCGGUGAGGUUCGGUGAUGGCCGGAAAGGGGCGGACGGUGACCAAGCGAUGGCCGGCGGUGACUGGCGCCUGUCGGACCGAACGACCCAGCGGGCGUGCUGGCUCGACGGUCGCCUCAGCACCGGCGAGGGGCUCAUCGGCCGGCACUCAUCGGAAAAUGGUGCUGGCUGGGAGUUAUGGACUGAGUGUAGUGAGAUUAAAAUGAAGAGAGUUGGGCUGAGUGUUGUCGGUCGGUAGUAUCAUUCCUAAAAUUAAAAUUUUUUCUUCCAGCCUUAUGUUUUUUCAUCAACCCAAGUCCCGACUUGUCCCAAAAAAGCCAAAGUCAGGUUUUAAAGGGGCACUCUCGUAAUUUUGCGGACACAAGCGUUUCCAUUUACAAGAGAGAAAUUCAGAGGUAUUGUGUUAAUUUUUUUUUAUCUCUGAUUAGUGUUUAUAAUCAAUUCUUUACUUGUGUUCUCAUGUAUUUGUAAAAUGAAGUUCAACUAUAUGUGUUUGUGCUCAAAUUACAAGAGUUAGGCUCAGCGGUUGAUUGUCGUUUGAGUUCAACGAACUGGAAAUGUCGGUAGAACUGCAUUUCUUGUGCCUUAGAUAGACACAGGCGACUAAGAGAGGAACAUAAACUCGAUCUUGAUUCUUGGAUUUUGAAGUCCAGGUUUAGGACGAUUUGGACACCCGAUCGUAGGCUCUCGAAAUUGAUGGCGGGAUAUCUCGAGCUAAUAAACUGUUUGACAUAUGGUUAGUGAAGAAACCUGUUUUUAAUGUUGGUUUCUGGUCGGAGGAAGAAUUGCUGUUUUAAUUGAUUCUCCUCCUCCUCCAUCCCUCCCAUUGGAAUACUAAUUUGGAAUACAUUGAGCUGCCAAGCUGCAUAUGAUUGAAGGAACAGAUGACCUAAAAAACUUUUGAGAGAAUGAUUGGUUCUACAAUUCCAGGCUUACAUAAAAUCAAUUCGCUGUUGCCUUUUUUUACUAAAAAGGAUGGCACUUGUCACAAGACAUCUGCGUUUGUGAGUGUGCCAUAUUGCCAUUGUUUUACAGGUUUUUCUUACCUGUGUUUACAACGUGGGUGCCAUUUUUGAGAGGCUUGUUGUUGGCUGUUUUCUGAUACAAACUAAUAAACUGUGUACUACUUUCUUUUUUGGUAUUAAGCUACUGGGAUUUCAGAAAUAGGCAAAAAUCGAAGAGAGGAGAACCAUUACGUGUUGAUCUUUUUAUAUCUCAUCUCCGACAAUCACGGGGGAUGUAAUUUAGUGACUUCAGUGAUUGUAUAUUGCAUUAACAGGGAGCCUCGUGGCUUUGGAUUUGUGAAGUUCCGAUAUGCGGAAGAUGCAGCUGAGGCUAAGCAGCAAAUGAAUCAUACUGUUAUUGGAGGACGUGAGAUAAGAAUUGUUUUUGCCGAGGAGAACAGAAAAACUCCUCACGAGAUGCGCGUGACUGAGAGUGUGAGGUACAAUUUGUCACAUUCUCCAUUUCACUAGGUUGUCUUUAUGGCAUUUGUUUCCAUCGAUUCAUGACAGGUUUUUUUGGUAAACUCUUUUUCCCCCCAUUUUAAAAUGAAGUGGGCGACACAGGGAAAGAAGGAGAAGUACAUCAAGGUCUCCAAGACGCCACAAUCAGUGUCAGUAAUUUUGACUUCAUGUCCAUUCUGAUUUGUUGCUUUCUCUCCCUUUGGGCUGUACAACGAAUGGAGCAGUCUGUCAUGAUGGACAUCCUUGUGAGUUUGGAGAAUCUUAUUCUGUUUUUGUAUUUUCUUACAGCUUACUCUAGGUCACCAACACCAGAUAGGCAUGACUCAAGGUUUGGCAUUUUUGUCCGAGUGGGUUUAAUUGCAUUGUUACUGGUUUUAUACUUUUUCUGUUCCUCUUUUAGGAUGAUAAGUACACUGUAGUUGAGCAUAUUAGGAACUUACAGUACUAAGGGUGCCUUAUUGGCCUGGGAAGAAUAUACAGAACUCUUAGUGGCAUUCUUUCACUUUUAUGUCAAGUAUAAUGUGAUAUUUAUACUGUCUGUAUGUAUUUUCAACUAGUAAUGCUUUGUACAUUGUAGUUUUAAUCUUUUUGGUACGUGAAAUUUAGAUCAAGUUAUUUCAGUUCAAUCUUUGCUAUAUAAAAAGUAGUUUGAGUUGUCUGUCGAUUCUCAUCCUUGGUGAACUUUAGUGGAUGAUAUUGCCCAAGGCAUUAAAGUAGUAGAAUUUCACACUCUUUUUAUAGUUUUAUGUGUUUUGUAAGCCCUGUAUGUUUGUAGUAAUUGUGGUAUGGGAUUUUCACUCUAGCUAAAUUUUGAACAGAAAGCUAUGCAUUCUUCAUUCAUUUCUUGUCAAUAUAGGUAAACAUUUUGUUGUUUAUUUCCCUUGGACAUUUGUGCUUAUAGAUAGGAAGCUGUUCGUCUAUUCUGGAUAUAGACCAUGGCGAACUAUUCAAAUUUAAUUUAUUGAAAUAGUAGCCUUUUGUUAAAAUAUCUAGAACUGGCUAAAUGAGUGGCAAAGGCAACCGAUCGUCCUAGCCAACCAUUUUUCUUGGAAUGGUUUACUUGUGGACCAAUCACAUUAUGCUUAUGAGUGAAAAAGAGUGGCCAUGUACAAUUGAAAGGAAAACUUUGCUGACUUUAGCAUGGCAGAUUGGUGUAUAUGAGAAUUUUAUUAUUUUGCUGGCCUUGUUACUUUUGGUAUUAGUAAUCUGAUGCAUCUCUAUCCUAUUAUGUUCAUACUACAGUGGUUUUUAUCAAUUUGGGGUGAUUGAUGCAGUACAGCAUCGUUUCUGUGGUAUUGAACAGUAUCUGCUUGUGGCCUUGUUUAUGCAGAUAUUAAAGUGAACAGGAAGAUUUUAAAGACCUAUGGGUAAAUAAAGUUAAACGACAAAAGAGAGAGAUGGACAACUCCCUUACCAUUCUGUCAAAGCUUUUCUAAUGUUAUUAUCCCACCUUCGCCAAUUACUGUCAAAGCAUGGGCUUUUGCUUACUAGGUCUGGUGGCCUGCAGUUGCAACUGAACUGAUUAGUAAAGCACCGUCGGCAGAUGAUUAAAUCACUAAAGUACCUUUUUUUCACUAUUUGUUUUCUCUGUGUGAUCUAACAUAGUUAUUAAUGAAAAGGUUUUGAAGCUUUAUUUUGUUUUGCAUAUACCAUCCAGUUAAGAAAAGAACUAGAGCUUUUUUAUGGCCAAAGAAAGAAAUCAUCCUCAAUCAAGGGAAGCAAUACCGGUGUAGAGAUAUGAUGACAUUGUCAAAGAUAGUUUGAGGUUUUAGAAAGUUGGGCCAAAGAGAGCCAUGCAGUUGUUGGACGCUGACGGUACAUCGUUAAUGAGACUAAUUCCAGUAUUUGGGCCCAAGUUGGUAAAUUGUACGGAACUCUUAUUAAGGUGCAGGUAACGGUCAUCUUCAAUCAGUUAGAUAGUGAUGCCAUCAUGUUGAUGCUUAUGUAAUUUUGUAAGUUGAGUGUAAUUUUUUUACUUGCAAAACGGAUUUUCUUGGUACUUUUUAUUAGCUUUUGCUGAUGGUAUUUUUUUCUUUUUUCGUAAAAUUCAUGCUUCAAGCCGAGUAAUGUUUCCUUGUAAGAUCUUUUGUUACCCUAGAUCGUGUUCUGUUUUAUGUAAGGGAAUCUUUAUGUUCCAUUUUUAUUAUUUCCCAUCUCAAUGGAUAUACCGAUUCCUUGAACCAGGAGCCGUGGGGCAAAGGAUUGAUACCAGUCUCCAACGCGAUCUGGGUCUGUACCACAUUCUCCAUAUCCUCAGGAGCACAAGAUUAAGCGGUCUAGUAAGAGGUCUCCAAGUCCAAGGGAAGAUAGUCGAAGUCCCAUUCAGGAGAGGGGUUAUCCAGCAAGCAUGUCUCAGAGUCCAAGGGGCAAUAUUCGCAGUCCUUCAAGGUCUCGUUCACAGUCUUACAGGUAUAUCUGUUGUUUUUCUAGUCUUGGUUGGAAACAACGCAUCUCUUCCUUGCGCUUCAUCCAAUUGUCAAAUAAUUUCUCCUUUAAUCUGUUAUUUUUCUAGUCUUGGUCUGGAACAAUGCAUCUCUUCUAUGCACCGGCUGAUUGUCAAAUAAUUUUUCCUUUCAUCAAAGUCAAUUUUCUGUUUUCGGAAUAUGACCUUGGCGAUUAGGUUGGCAUGAACUUGGUAAUUAUUUUUAUGUUGCAAAUUUAGUGGUUGACCAUAAAUGGCAUAGGUUGUUCUGUUGAGAUAGAUCUGUGAGAAUUCCUCCAGGUGCAUAGGAUGCGGUAUUUUUUGAUAUUUUACUCAAUUUUAGGUGCUGUACCGAUAGCAAUUGAUAUUUAUCAGGUGAUUGCUUUGCUGUGACACCCAUAUGAUGUUCCAUUGGCAAGAGAAUUGAUAAAGAUGGUAAAGUACUUCAAAUUUUCUUAUGAGAGAAAGUAUUAAUACUUUGAAUUUGCAUGAAUGAAGCAUGUUCCCUCAUUAUGUUGUUGAAAUUCAACAGUCCCAUUUACUACUAACCAAUAGCUAGAGGAUUUAUCUGGUUUAUGGUGGCAUAGUGCUAGUAUCUACAGUUUUAGCAUAUUUUCUGUUCAUUAAAGUAGUUUCUUUGUGCAUUUCCUGUGCAGCCCACGCUGAGAGCCUUCUGAGUAAGAAUUACGGGGCUUGCAGUCAAGUUGGUGGUAUGCCAGUGGUGGUUCUUUACAAAGUGCACUUCCAAGUAUCAAAGUGAACGAUAAACAGUGUCCUUUUGGAGAUCCUAUUGCUCUCUUCGAAUUUUAAAUAUCAUGGAUUAGGCUAUGCUUUAGAAAUGCUUUGUACGUUUUUGUUGGAGUUGGGCUUUAUGAACAUCAAGUGCAAGAUGGUUGUUGGUUGUUGGUUGCUGGUCACUCUUUUAAGUCCUACGUUCGACCUUAAUGCAUGGCUCUUAACUUUAUAUGUGUCUGGUUUUUCUUUAUUGUCGGUUUAAUGUGUAUUCCCGGGCUUAGACACCAGAUAAAUGUGUGGGGUUACCCAGUGCUUGGGGUCGGUCCCAGUUCUGUAUUAACCGCGGUUGAUCUGCAAUGAGCUACUCUGUCUCUUCCUUGUUAUCGUCUGAACAUAGUCGCGUUGAAACUAAGCCGGUUCUUGCUAUUUGAUGGUCAUCUCCAUGCACAGGAACAGAUGAUCAACAUUGAUUUUGAAUGCUUGAGGGUCAGUGGACAUAUAAACACUGAAUCAUUUGAAGCUGGGUGGUCUGGGAGGACUUGGAUGGAUCAUUUGAACUUAAAUUGUUUGGUCAAAAUAUAGCACCGACAUCCUUGGUGUAAGAGACCUGUUUUGGCGCCCCAGGUUCUCGCGAUUGUUGUCAUCUCAUCGAUGGGUAUGGAAGAAGGAGGAAGAGAGGGAGAGGCGGGGCGGCUAUGGAGAUCGGAACGCAGCUAUGGAGAUCGGAACGCGGUGGAGGUCGAUAUCAGUCGUGUCGUUGCGUUAAGGAGCUAUCUAGAUGAGCUAGGCCCUCUUUAACCCUGCCCAGCACAUAGCCUAAGUAGGGCCGAACUCAAUCCCAUCCGAAGAACUACAUUCGAGUGCACUGAAUUAAGCCACUGCGACGACCAUCACUCUACGAUGUGCCUCUGCUGCCGAAUCUCAUCCAUAUGUCUAGAGAAACACCUAUCCUAUUUCUUGAAUUUUGCUAUCUGCUAGAUACAACGUGACUUAUAAAUUAGCAUCAGUGUCAUUUUUUAAUAUUUGUUCUAUUGUCGAAUAAGACGUUUGGAUUGGUGUGAGAAGAUGAAAAGAAAAAGGCCCAGAGUAACUUUCAGUUUUGUAGAAGUAAAAUGGUAGGUACUGCUAAAUUGCAUUUCAAUGUUUGUACUGCACUUUCCAUGUAAAUGAGAAACAUUUCUUCGCCUUACAAAUAAAAUGAACUUGCCAAGUUGCACGGACAAACUCGGGUGACCUUCUUCCCAAAGUUCUCUUAAUAAGAAAUUGGAAGAGAUGAAACUAACUCAUGAAUCUCAUGUUUACUGAAUGAGAAGUCAAACAACCUUUUAUUCAAAAGAAAGGUCGACAUGCCAAAUUGAAUGACUUGAGCUUAUGAGGACACUCAAAAUUUGGAUGAAUUACGCUGACAUGUCGAAGUAACUGAAAUACAAAGACAAGAAGUCAGCCGUGACACUAAAGGCAAAUAGGUGAACUCAAAUGCCCAUAACGGUGAAACUACUCGCAAAUGUAGGAUGAAACCAAUGUAAUGGAGAUCACGUCCGAGCUUGGACACCUAAUUUUCUCUUCCUCUGGGAAGCCUUAUUUUCAUGAGGAUUUUCUGUCAAUGACCUAAAUCUGAAGGAAAAGGAGUUCAAUAGUAUCUCAGCCUGGAGGUCUCCACUGAUUUAAUUAAGGCAAUUGGCCGUUCUUAGCCAGCAGUUUGAAUUUUAGACCUUCAAUGCUUGCUUCUCAGCAGCAAGAAAUUCACCCUUAAGGGGGGGGGGGGGGGGGCUCCCACAAAAUUGUAGUUUCAGCAAGUAAUGAGGUCACAACGUAUGGGUUCUUGUUUGAGGCAGGACACCUAUCUUCCAAGUAACCUGUAUAUCAUUUUAAGCCAUUAACUAACUGAGCAAGGAAGGUGAACUUUGUACGUUUUAUCGAUAUUCAGAAAUAGUGAAGCAUUUCAGAAAGUCUUUGAUGCACUAAAAGAACCAAGAUGUCCAAAGUUCUUACUUCAGCUUAGGAAGCAAGACUGUGGGAAUGCUUUAUGAUUGUUAAAAAGUCAAAAUUCCUUGUGCAUAGUUCCAAUCAUGGAAUCGAUUGAGACCAGAAAGGAUAAAGAAUACUUAUAUGUAUUAUUUUUUCGUGGUAGUGUUUCUGGAAUCAUUUGAUAAAGUUGAGCACCUCCAAAUGAUUUUCAGAUAGAGCACAGAAGGGAACCGGUAUGGUCAUUGUUAUGGUACCUUUUCCUUGCUUCUCAUUGUCACGGCCCACACAGAUUAAGCAACCACAAUUGGCAACUCCCUGCAUAACAAUACAAGUAAUUCAGGCAUCACAAUGAAAUAUGAGUUCAUUAGCAGGGCAUUGUUCAUUAGCAGGGCAUUCUUUAAAUUUGACUAGUAGUUGGUAUGCUUCUUCUGAGCAUUAUCGAAGACAAUGUGUCAGUGUUGACUAUUUCAUGCUUUCCCAUCAAUCUUCUCCAUAGGCGCUAAUGUGCUCCUCAUGGCGAAGUGAGAGAUUCAGAAAUGCCUUCUUUAUCGCUUCAAAGCCUCCCUCUUCUCUCAUGCUUUUUGUAUUGUAGAAAAGUUGAAGAACACACUCUUAAAGGUCCUUCAUUGAACAAAAAUUCUUAACCAAGUCCAUGUUAUUUCUAUGGUGUGAACCUGUUAGUUGGUAUGGCAUCCUGCACCAUUCCAAUCACCCUGAGAAGGAAGAGAAUGCUUUUAUCAACUUUGGGGUAUAAUAAUGCGUAAACGGUGAUAGGGAAGUCAGCUACCUCUAUUGGCUUUGGAUCUUACAUGAGGACAACACAAGCUUGCUCAGUUAUUCUCUGUUGUAUAUAAAAGAUAAACAAUCAAGUAUUUAAAUACCUUAGAACAUGUCUGUAUGCACUUAUUUUGUUUGCUGUUAAUGGAAUUUCGUUAUUUUCUUGAGCAAGUAAUUGAAAUUUCACCUAAAGAAGGUAUCUUGAACACCAGAGAUGAUCUCCUGCUUCAAUUCCCAUGCUUCGUCUGACUUGGUGUUCUCACUGCAAGAUAGAAGCCAGUGUUGAUAGCAACAGCCUCGGUGGUUUUCUAUUUUCCUUUUUGAAAUAACAAGCAAGCUGGAGGUCAGGUAUUACUUGGCCCAGAUCACCACUCCAUUGGUGCUAUUAAUGUUCAUACCGGCAUAUAAGCAAGCCUUGUAGCGAGCAUCGGAUAUAUCUCAGUCGGAUGACUUAUCAGCCCCAACACCACAAUAAUAAGGCCCCUAAAUGAAGACAAAACCUCGCAUCACAAUACAAUUUUUUUCUCAUCAACUCAAAGCCAAUUAUCUAUCAAUAUACAGGGAAAUUCGUUGGGAAAAAAAUUCUCACCUGGGAACCUCGAUAUCCUCUGAUAGGCCAACCGAAUGGCUAUUGAACAUUUAUCUGCAAUACGGUGUUUUCUUGCUCAAUCCAAUACAUAAUGUGAACAUUUAGCCCAAAAGUAUGAACUUGUCUAUUCCAAAACUUUCUAAUUCACGAUAUAUAUAAACUCAUGUUUUUGGAUCUCCCACCAUGAAAUGUCAUUGAUAACCUUUGGGUUACUGAAUUUCAGCAACCCUGGUGUGCUUGGUCGCUGGGAUCGGCUUACCAGCAGGUGUAUAUGAAUUGGAAAUAACUCGAAGACAAACAAUAAUACUCCGUAAACCAAUUGAAACACCCUUCCUCAUUUCAUCAACCUGUUUAGAUGAUCUAACUGGUGGUCAGUGAGUUCUUUGUGAUCCUCAUUUGGCAUUGUGUCCUCAGUGCCAAAAUUCACACCAUUUCUGUCUAGCCUGAAAAAUAAAGCAGUGUAAGAAAUAGACAUAUCUACUGAAACAAAAGCCCUAUGAGGUUAAUCUCAUGUUAGAUAGUUCAAACAACGAGCUCUGUCCGUAUGACUUGGCCUUUUGGUAUGCAUGAGAGUUUAGUUUUGAAAAGAUAAAAAGAAUAGACUGAGGCUGCGUUUGGAUUCGACUUUUCAAAGCUACUUUGGGCUUCCAAAGCCCUUUGGGCUAAAAACAGGCGUUUGGGAAAAAAAUUUCUAAAGAUCCUUAGCUGAAAGUUUGCAUUUUGAAGGCUGAAAGCCCAAGGCAGGGGGAGACCUGCCUUGGGCUUUCGGCAUUUUCGGCAUGCCACGCCCGCACUGUUCACACUUUUUUUUUUCCAAAAUUAUCCUCACGAAUUUUUGGAUUUUCCGGAUGCGUGCCCUUGUCGACACUGUUCAUCUUCUCCGGGCGUAAAGAGACGCCGCGACCUACGUGAUCUUCGUCGGAGCUUCGGGCGACCUCCGCAAGUCGCAGCUCUGGUGGCCAAAAGGCACGCGGUCACCGGCGACCGUCGCCUGCCGCACCGCGACCUCCGCACGAAGCUCACCGGGGCCGCGCGACCCACCUAGUUGCAGGUCUGGUCGCGACCAGAUCUGGUGCCGGAGGCUCGAGCGGCGACCAGAUCUGGGUCGCGCCUCGCCGCCCACGGAUCUGGGUCGCGGUGGCGCCGUGCGACUUCCCGCGACCUCGCCGCCCCAGAUCCGGGGGCGGCGAGGCGCGACCCAGAUCUGGUCGGCGGCGAGGUCCUCCCCAGAUCUGGUCGCGACCAGACCUGCAACUAGGUGGGUCGCGCGGCCGCGGUGAGCUUCGUCCGCCCCAGAUCCGGGGUCGCCUGAGGUCGAGGCGGCGUCGCGCGACCUCGCCGCCCCAGAUCCGGGGUCGCCGGAGGUCGCGACGGCGUCGCGCGACCUCACCGCCUCAUAUUCGAGGUCGCCGGAGGUAGUCGGAAGUCGCCGGAGGUCGCCGGAGGUCGCCGGCGGUCGCUGCCCUUGCCGGUCAAUUUUUUUUAAUUUUUCUUUUGUCAAUUUUUUUUUUAUCACAAAGAUCUUUGUAAAUGCAAUUCCCCAAACAUUAUUUUGUUCAAAGUACUUCACAAAGGGGCUUUCAAAGUACAAUUUACCAAACACGAUUGCAUUUUAAAAAAACACCUUUAACUCUAAGGUUUUUGCAUUUUCCCAAGGACUUUCCCCAAAAGUAGUUCCCAAACUCACCCUGAGUACUUCAAAGAAAGGGGUCUCCUUAGCAAGUGCCGUCGUCGAAAAGUUGAAAACCGCUUUUUGAAGACUAGUUUCAAGAAGGAUGGCUUACAUUUUGAAGCAUAAAUAGUGAGUCUUAUCGAUUUCCCUAAGGACACUACCACAAAUUUCCUUUAAAAGAUAAACUAAAAAUAGUGACAUAACUAUGCUUCGCAUUUCGGAACCAUUUCAAGGUUAUUCUCAAGCCUCGUUCCCAAAAGUGAGCUCGCGAACAAGCAAAAAACCGAGGGCAGUUACAGAGUUGAAGGAAGUAGACUGCAGAGUGCCACGGUUUAAGAGAAUAAUGAAAUUCCACCCCAGCAAGGAUCAAUCAUCAAACAUGUUAUUCUGAUAUUUCCUUAGAUCUAAUGGAUGAUCAACUCGUGAAUAUUGACAGUGCACCUAAUUCUUUCCUCUUGCAAUCAAAAGGCAAUCACAUUGAAGUACUUUCUUCUCUCACAAACUUCGCACAAUCACAAAUUGCCCUCGCCAACGGCUUUGGCGAAAAUAUCCAUCAGAUAUCACCAUGGCAAAGCAAGACCACCAAGCACAACAAUCAUCAGUAUGGCCGAUUGAAGUCACAGAACAAGAAAAAUCUAAGAUGAGAGUGGAUACAAGAGAAACCAAUUCCACACGAGGUCCACAACAUAAGACUUCACACAGCACACAUUUCUUCUGCCUCGCACAGCACACAUUUCUUUCAUAGACAUUGUGACAAGAGACGAAGAACAUAUCAAUUGUCAACCAAACAAAAUGUGCAGGACAACCUUGCUGAGAUCAAAAUGGAGAAGUCACAAAGUUCGACCUCUUUCAAUUUCAAAACAUUUACUCGAUUGCUUCAGGCGGUGCUCAAGAUUGGCAAAAGGAUUUUACCUGAGAACCCCUGCAGAAUGGCCGAACAGCAAAUCGAGAGCGUCAAUUGUGGUCAAAUGCUAAAGAUCAGCUUUGCAAUCCUCCCCUCGAGCAGAAAUAUAUACUUGGGAAAUCAAUCGCUGGAUGAGACGAAGUAUGAAUUUUUCCUCAUUUUUUCUCGCCACUCUUCGGAAUGAAGCGAUGCGCCCAAACCUUUCAGCGAUUUGUUUCAUGUCCCUCCCCAAAUCAAAUUGAGUAUGGAGACACGAUAUCUGAAAAUUAAAAAUGCAAAAAUCUGGGAAACAAGGUCCCACAUACCUUCAGUGAAGAAAAUUAGGGCUAGAUCUACCAUUCAAAUGAUAUGUGCGGGAUAUGAGCGAUCUUGUCCCAGUCCUCGCCUGCUUGUCUUUUGCAACUCUCCUCCAAUUCUCCGCAAUCUGCGAUUUGUAGGUGAGUAAGGAAUGUGAGCCUUCGCAUUGCUUUAGGGAAUGAUUUCAACGAGGAGCACCGCUCGAUGUCGAGAUUUUGAAGUGAUUGAAGGGCCUCGAUUUGCUCUGGUAUAUCCUUCAAAUUGCGGCAUUUCCAAAUAAGGAGACGCUCGAGAUUGCGGGCCUGUAGAAGCCAGUGUGGGAGAGAUGUCGGUUUGGGAAGGAGCUUUAUUCUCACGGAGCGGAGACUCGGAAGGCCUCCAUGGAAAUCCAAGAUGUUGCCGCUUUCGUCUUUGGAUAUAUCCAGCGCCUCACAAUCCUUGAAACGGAGAUCCACGAGGCUCGAUAGAUGUCGCAUACCUUGCGAGAGGGAAGUCAACUGAUGACAACCACCGAUGCUAAGAGAUUCAAGGGAAGUGAGACUUUGGAAGCCCUCCUCAGGCAAACAUUCUAAAAACUUUAUAUCGUAGAUAUUCAAUCUCUUCAACUUAUUAAGGCCAAGCAUCAUCUGAUUUAUCAACGCCGCUCCGUUGGCACGUGUCAGAUCUAACUCCUCGAGAUGAGGAGUUAGUGGCAUGGCUUUUAAUUUUUCACAGUACUCGAUCUUCAAUCGCAAUAGACUAGGAAAUGAUGCUGGUGAAGGGGAUGAUUGGUCCGACUCAAUAUAUUCCAAUUCAGGCAUAUAAAAGAAAUCCAAAGACUUGAGGCAAGGUAGUUGGUCCAGUGGGGGGAGACGUUCACAUCUUUUGCAAGCACGGAACGAUACGACAACUAAAUGUGGCAAAAAAGAUACAAGACUAUCCAUCAUCCACUUGGGAAAGCUCUCACCGUUAUAUCCCCAGAUCUUCAACCUUUGCAGAUUUGACGGCAGCUUCAGUCUAUCAAACAACACUUCAUCUUUUACUACAUCAUCAGUAUUGAAAUCUUCCCAACUAAGUACCAAAGAUUCUAGAGAAUGCUUCCCCAUCAAUAUCUCAUCCUCGCAUUUGACUUCCACAUUUGUUACGUAUCCCAAAUUUUUAAUUAUAAGUUGUCCCCGGAUGUUAUUAAGCCCCUUUAGCUCCCCAAGUCCGCAAUAAUUCUUAGCACGAGCUUUAUCUUUGGGCAAAAUGAAGUUCGUUAGCCUAUGCAAAGAACUCAAUUCCCCUAUUCCACGUGGCAAAUAACUAAGUUUCGGACAACCAUCUAUGUCCAGAUUCCGAAGGCUAACUAACUUCUUUAUAUCACUUGGCAACUCUUCGAGGGCAUAACAGUGGUAGAGAUUAAGUAUUUGCAAGCUUUGCAAUCUCGUAAUGGAGUUAGGAAGCCUUCUGAGUGUUUUGCUGUAAGAGAGAUCGAGAUAUGUGAGAUACUUCAACUNNNNNNNNNNNNNNNNNNNNNNNNNNNNNNNNNNNNNNNNNNNNNNNNNNNNNNNNNNNNNNNNNNNNNNNNNNNNNNNNNNNNNNNNNNNNNNNNNNNNNNNNNNNNNNNNNNNNNNNNNNNNNNNNNNNNNNNNNNNNNNNNNNNNNNNNNNNNNNNNNNNNNNNNNNNNNNNNNNNNNNNNNNNNNNNNNNNNNNNNNNNNNNNNNNNNNNNNNNNNNNNNNNNNNNNNNNNNNNNNNNNNNNNNNNNNNNNNNNNNNNNNNNNNNNNNNNNNNNNNNNNNNNNNNNNNNNNNNNNNNNNNNNNNNNNNNNNNNNNNNNNNNNNNNNNNNNNNNNNNNNNNNNNNNNNNNNNNNNNNNNNNNNNNNNNNNNNNNNNNNNNNNNNNNNNNNNNNNNNNNNNNNNNNNNNNNNNNNNNNNNNNNNNNNNNNNNNNNNNNNNNNNNNNNNNNNNNNNNNNNNNNNNNNNNNNNNNNNNNNNNNNNNNNNNNNNNNNNNNNNNNNNNNNNNNNNNNNNNNNNNNNNNNNNNNNNNNNNNNNNNNNNNNNNNNNNNNNNNNNNNNNNNNNNNNNNNNNNNNNNNNNNNNNNNNNNNNNNNNNNNNNNNNNNNNNNNNNNNNNNNNNNNNNNNNNNNNNNNNNNNNNNNNNNNNNNNNNNNNNNNNNNNNNNNNNNNNNNNNNNNNNNNNNNNNNNNNNNNNNNNNNNNNNNNNNNNNNNNNNNNNNNNNNNNNNNNNNNNNNNNNNNNNNNNNNNNNNNNNNNNNNNNNNNNNNNNNNNNNNNNNNNNNNNNNNNNNNNNNNNNNNNNNNNNNNNNNNNNNNNNNNNNNNNNNNNNNNNNNNNNNNNNNNNNNNNNNNNNNNNNNNNNNNNNNNNNNNNNNNNNNNNNNNNNNNNNNNNNNNNNNNNNNNNNNNNNNNNNNNNNNNNNNNNNNNNNNNNNNNNNNNNNNNNNNNNNNNNNNNNNNNNNNNNNNNNNNNNNNNNNNNNNNNNNNNNNNNNNNNNNNNNNNNNNNNNNNNNNNNNNNNNNNNUAGUUUGGUGGUUCUUUCUUCUCCACACAAACUAUGAUAUCUUUCACUAUUUUUAUCAUGUCAAAGUCAUUAGAGACACAAACCCACAUUUUCAAGUCAAAAUGUUUACUGAUCAUCUCAUCAUUAUACACAAUUUUAGCAAGAGCUGUUUUUCCAAGCCCACCGAUACCAACUAUUGGAAGGAUAGAAACGUUCUCUUUCACUUCCAUAUCCAGUAAGAAUUUCAUGACAUUCUUUUUAUCAUUAUCUCUUCCAAUAAUGUCUUCCUCACAUAUAAACGAAUGCGUCUCCUCUCUCUUCCUCCGCCCUCUCUCUGCUUGCGAAUUCAUAGGUCCCUUGUCCAAGAGGAAGUUCUUUUCAGCCUCAAUAGCUUUCAAUCUCUCCCUCACUUCUCUUAUUUUUCUACUCAUCUUCAGUUCAAAAGCAAGCUGGUUUGAACUUGAGAAAAAUGUUCUUACCACCUUGAUCAUUUGAUUGUCGCCCCUCAGUUCUCGUCGCAUAGCUUCUAUAUUAAAUUCUUCAAGCACAUCCUGCAAGUCAUAGAAAGCCUCUUUUAGUUUCUCCACCCAAUCUUUGAUUUGGGAACUCUGGUGUUGUUGCUCUUCUGCAUCGUCCAGCACAGAAUGAAGCAUGGUGACGGUGCUCUCGAGCACCUGAAGUUCACGCUUGACGCCUCCUAAAUUUCCAACCUUCUCCAGUGCUUGAAUAAUCAGAUUGGCAAGGAUCCUUCCACCAAUGCUGGUGACAGCUUCUGCCAUAUUUGUUCUCUUUCUCUAUGGGGUUGAGAAGAUUUUAGUCCUGUCGUUCCAAGGCUAGAGUCUUCUUAGAUGAUGUAUAAAAAGUCUGUCCUUGAGAUUAAAUAAGUGUACAAUAAUAGUAGAUAAUAGAAAAUAUUUAACUGACAAACAGUAAUUCCAAAGCAUCCUAUGUCAUAUAAGAUUCCAUCCCAUCUAAUAAGUAAGGCGAGUUCUUAUUCAUACAUUCUUCUAGAAACAUCAUGUUAGAUUAUAUUAGAUUGAUAAAGUUUUUUUUUCUACCAUACUGUUAAGUAAUAUGUCUAAUUAACAUUAAGGAAAUUGGGAGGUAAUUGAGUGAUGAUGUGGUUUGACCGUUAAGCUCCAUUCUGCUGGACUUUCUUCUUAGUUUGGUUUUAAUAUAUGAUGCGUAAUAAAUUAAAUUGGAACAAGGUAAUCACAAUGAUCGGAGGCUUUUUAAAAAAUAAAAACAACUUUGUGUUUUCUUGUGUAAAAUUCAAAAUGUUAUUUAAAUAUAAUAAGUUAUGAUUCAAAUUACAUAUUAAUGCUUACGUGUUGUGAAAAUUUAAUAUGUUUAAAGACAAGAUAAUGUAAAAUGUAGACUGAGACAACAUUAGAAUAAACAAAAAUAAAAUGUAAAAAUCUAUCAAGACAAGCCAUUAGCUUAGUUGGUGAUGUUCUUGAAAUCCGCUAGAGGUGGUGGACAAUGUCAUUGUCCUUUGUACUUGUCAACUUUUCUUUUUUCCUUACUUUUUCUCUUUUGGGCGAACAGAAAGUGUAAGGUAACAUGAUGUUGAAGCAAAGCCAUAAUUUUUCACUUCAUUGGCCGACAAAUGAGAAUCAAAAUCCACUUACGAGGGCUACAGCAUCUGCUCAAGCCCGGAAACCAUCUCAUUGCAGCUUAGAAAGUUAUCAUAGCUGUCUCGACAAGGGCAACAGCAUAGGGAAUGCCCCGAUGGAUGCCCACUCUCUAGUGUUCAGUGGACAAGAUCAGCUUAUGCUCGGUGAUAAAAUGUUGUACUUUGCAAGACCGUACGUGUCAGAUAACAAGACAAANNNNNNNNNNNNNNNNNNNNNNNNNNNNNNNNNNNNNNNNNNNNNNNNNNNNNNNNNNNNNNNNNNNNNNNNNNNNNNNNNNNNNNNNNNNNNNNNNNNNNNNNNNNNNNNNNNNNNNNNNNNNNNNNNNNNNNNNNNNNNNNNNNNNNNNNNNNNNNNNNNNNNNNNNNNNNNNNNNNNNNNNNNNNNNNNNNNNNNNNNNNNNNNNNNNNNNNNNNNNNNNAUGAUACUAAAUAUUUCACGAAACAUUUGGCAAGAUGCUGAGAUCUUUAAUAAGGAUAGCAGUGUUGCACGUUCUUAUUCACUUAUAAUCACAAUUAGUUGUUGUAUUUGGUCACUUCCCUUCCAUGUUAGUUGCAUGUUCAUAAUUUCUAUGGAUGCCGAUUCAAUUAUAUUUAAUUCCAUUUCUUUCUAACCGCCCCUUGCUCUGCCAGGAUUUUCAAAAGAAAUCAUGUGACUCUUAGUAUGUACGUAGCGAGUAAUUUUUCAUGUGACCAGUAACUUUUUACAAGAUAUUCGACUUCCAAUAUAUAAAUAAAUACUCACCUAUUUACAUUAUUAAUAAUUUUUUACAUAAAAGGUAACCUAUCUACAUUGAUUCUUAUCGUCCCAUGUAUUUUUUUUUUAAAAGGACAAGUUUGAAAAAAAAUUGAUGCUUUUUGCAACGUAACAGUAAAUCUUAAUUUGUAAGACCAAAAAUUUACAUGAAGUUUGUAACCUAUUCAUGGGAUGAGUAAGUUUUGCUUUAAAAAAGUAAUUACCACCGACCCUGUUUAAUAAAAGAAAAUAUAGGAAUUGACAAACAAUAUGUAAGCCGCCCACGGUCUAGAAAGUGAAAAUUAAAGUUUUUUUUUUCUCAGCAGCUGUAAAUGAAAAUUUCUCCCAAGGGGGCUAAAGAACAAAUGAGCCCGGCUUUUUUCUGAUGAUGCCCAUUUUCCUAGUUUCAUCACAUGCUUUCCUUAGAAAACAGUGCACGUUCACCUGCUUAGAAAACAGUGCAUGUCCACAUGCUUUCCUUAGAAAACAGUGCACGUUCACAUGCUUUCCUUUUAAUACAGUGCCGGUUCUCAUGCAUGCCCCAGUUGUUUUGUAGUAAACACUAGAGUAUUAAGAUUAAUAGAACUUGGAUCUUGAGAAGACGAAAAAUUAUCAUAGCUGCGGGGGCAACUUAAAAUCUAACUUCACGUGGUAAAAAAAAAUUAUGUUAAUGAAUUUCCGCUUUUGUCCGAAUAAAAAACUGAAGAAAAGAUUAUGAAGUAUAAAGUGUGAAUGAAGUAGUAUGAAACCUUUGUGUGCAAAAAAGAAAUUGCAGAUUGGUAUAGAAGUACAAUGUGCGGUGGGAUAACAAAAAAGCAAGCUGAUGAGGAUGCUUUUCGACUUUAGAUUUUAAUAUGCGGAAUGGUAGAACAGCUCUUAAAGUUGGCUAUUCUUCUCUUGUGAAUUCCAUUUAGAAUUGGAAAUUGGGACAUGUUACAUCUUCUUAUAUGCCCAAUUUGAAGAAGGCUAAAUAUCCUAAAUAUGUAAAUCUUUACACCAUAUAAGUCAUAUUUUUAAAUCCAAAUAAAAGACAUCGAUAGUUUCCCUAAGCAUUCUUUGUUUCAUCAAUCUAUUCAUUUUCAGAAAAGCUCUCUGGUUAGUCGCUAUAAGAAAGAACGAACCUGGCUAAUAGUGGGCUAAUCGACGACCGACCAACAAAGGUGAGGACCCAACCGACCAGAUCAAGAGAGGAGGACAACAAAUAGUGUCGGCAAGAUCAAGAGAGAGAUGAGAUGAGACGAGACGGCAUGGGCAAAGACUCUAGGAAUAGAGAGAUCAAGGGCACUGUUUGGGAAAGUCGAGAGACGAAGAGUCUAAGAGAGAGGCUAGCUAUGAAAGUGAGAACUAAAAGAGAGUAGCGAGGGUCUUUAAAUAGAAAAGAUUUAGCAUUGUUUUGAACUGUUCCAAACCAGUUCUUCCAAAGGCUGGUUCCCAAGAUUUUUACAUGAGAGCUAAUCGAAAGUUGUUGAGGUCAGUGAAUCUGAAAUGUUGCAGCACGUGGCAGAGCGUGACGUGCAGCAGCGAACAGGGUUGAAAUUUCAAGGCCUAUCACUUGGGAGGACGGUGAGUUUGAUGAGUUUGAUGAUGGCGUCGAUUUUGCGAGAAAAACAAUAUAAAGGGGGGGGGGGGGGGGGACAUCCAAUAGCGACGGGUUUGACCAAUACAUGAGACUUAAUGGUGCUUCAUCUAUUAAUAAUGGCUCUUGUACCAUGAUAAGAAUAAAAUGAAGAGAGAAAAUGGGGAAUAACUGUAUAUUUUUAUGUAUUGAUAAACAAUACGUGAGACUUUAUUAGAUAACUAUUUAAAGUAAUAAGAUAAAUAUAAUGCCACAUAUAAUUAAAUAAGGAUAUGCAUUAUUGAAGGAGAUAUAUGUAUAAUCCUGAAAAAUAUGCAAAAUCAAGUAAAUAUCCAAAUAUCAUUAACAAUUAGAAUGGAGAUUUUACAUACUAUAUACUAAAAAUCAAAUGUUAAUUUGUUAAGGGCGGAUCUAUUUCCACCCCCUAAAUAACUUUAUCCAACCCCAUUUAUACUAAAAAGACAACAUUAUUCUUAAUCUUUCAGUUGCAGUUUAUAUUGAUGGCCCCUUUCCUUUUCUAUUUAGGAUAAUUACGAUAAUUAAACAUUUCAAAUGUUUUGUUUUGCUUUUUAGUGUAUUAAAGCAAAGUGCAUUAUCAAAUAUUCUCAUAACGUUUUAUAUACUCCCUAUCAAAUUAUCUCGCUAAUAGUAAAUACAUUUUUUGAUAUCGUAUAAAAUUGAAAAGUCUCUUCUUCAUCAUUGAUCUUAUAAUAAUUUAUCAAUUUUUUGUCCCUCUUAUCUCAAAAACUCACUUCCUAGGUGGACUUUUUUAUUAAUUUCAUUAGUCUAAAAUAUUUAUCAAGUCCCUUUAUUUACUAUAUCAAGGAAUUUAUCUUGUUUCCUUAUUAUAUUGGCGAGAUAAUUUUAUAGAAAGCAUGUAAGAAUAUACUAAAAAUAUUGUGUGCAAUGAGGUAUCUUGAUAUUUUUACAUAAACAGUUCAUAGAUGAUUUUGAUUUUUCUCAAUCCAAAGUUCUUACUUUAUGUGAUGUUUUGGUUUGAUGAAAUUUUAUCUACUUAACAAUUUAUCCAUAAAUUUGAUCAACUAUGUAGAAAAAAAAUAGAUUUCUUGGAAAUUUCUCUUUUCGACUAAACAAAUCUUUAUGGAAGUAAUAUCUAACUGUAAAAAAGCACAGUGCCUUUAAUUUACCUAGAAAAUCUGCAAUAAACAAAAAAGUAAAUGUAUGAAAUUCUUAAUUUCAGUAUAGAUUUUACAUGGAUAUAGAAAUACUAAAAAAAUGGAAAAAAAAUUAAUUUGGGACAAUCAAUUUAAAUUGCAAUUGAAUGAUCGAAGGUAGUUUUGCCUUUUCGGUGAAAGAUGGAUGGAGUUAGUCAUAUAGGGUUGGAAAAAGCGCCCCCUUUGUUAAUUGUCCCUCAUUAAUGGCCAAUCACCUCAUUUUAAAGACAACUUAACAUCGGCACCAUACCUUAAUUAUUUUAUAGAAACUCUCUUAAGGCGAUAUGGUUGUACAAUAACAAUAGAAAAAUUGAAACUACCUAAAUGACAUACAUUGAUAGCAAAACCUCCCUUCAUCAAUGCUCAAAACUAUUUCAUCACUUGCUUUCCUCGGAAAACACUGCAGGUCACAUGCAUGCCAAAUUGUUUAGUAGUAACAUCGUAUUCAAAUUAGUAGGAUCUUGAGAAGAUAUAAAAUUAUUAUAGCUCUCUGGGCAACUUCAACAUCUAACUUCUCUUGGUAAAAAAACUCAUGUUCAUGAAUCUCCGCUUUUGCCCUAAAACAAAAAGAUGAAAAAGAUUAUGGAAUACCAUAUCUAGUAUGAAAUCUUUUAUGUGCAGCGAAAAAAAAAAUUAAAUUUUCUUACUGAAGUACCAAUGUGUGGUGGGCACAUAAAACCAAGCUGAUGGGGAUGUUUUAUAACUUCAAAAUUUUAAAAAAAGAAAUGGUAAAACAGCUCUUGAAGUUGGCUUUUUGCGAAUACUUUAAAAAACUGUAUUGUUUUCUCGUGUGAAUACUUUAAUAUCUAUCUAGAUUAUCUAAAGUACCCUUUAACAUCUAUUUUGAUUAUCGACACGUCCGUAUGUGAUGCUAGAAAGACUAGUAGGCAUCGUCUUUCAUAGAGGAUGUGGUAGGAGAAGUAACUCUUCUUGACAACUCUUCUGGAAAGAUGUAAUUUUUGUUUGGGAAAAUGUCAUAAAUGGUCCCUAUACUAUUACUUAAUGUGCAAUUUGGUCCCUAAACUUUCGAUCGGCUCAAUUUGAUCCCUAAACUAUUGAUAAAUGUCUGAUUUGGUCCAUGAACUUUCGAUCGGCUUAAUUUGAUCCCUGAACUAUUGAUAAAUAUCCGAUUUGGUCCCUGAACUUUUGAUUGGCUCAAUUUGAUCCUUGAACUAUUGAUAAAUAUCCGAUUUGGUCCCUGAACUUUCGAUCGGCUCAAUUUGGUCCCUGAAUUAUUGAUAAAUGUCCGAUUUAGUCAUUCGUUAAUGUUUUUUUUUUCCUUUUUUUUUUGCUUCUUUUCUCUUCGGAGGGAAGCCAGCGUCCGGAGAGGCGAGCUAGCGGAGGGAAGAGAGAAGAAGCAAAAAAAAGAAAAAAAAUAUGGAGACAACUCUAGAUAUUGAAGGCCAAAUCACCUCAAUUGUCACUCAUUAAUGGCCCACCACCUCAUUUACAUAAAACUUAAUAUAAGCACCCACCUCAUUUAUUGUGAAAGAACUCCUUAAUGAUAAUAUAAGUGCACAAUAAUAGUAAAUGAUAAAUAAUAUUUGAAUGACAAAUACCAAUUACAAAACCUAUGUCUAUAUGCAUAUAUUGAAAAAAUAUGUAAAUUAACAUGUCUGAUUAAUGUUAAGGAAAGAAAGAAUGAAUGAAGUUUUGCAAUGAUACAGCUCAACCAUUAAGCUCUAUUCUAUCUUACUUUCUUAUUAUAUAUAUUAGCUUAGCAAUGGUCUCUUCAGCAAUGCUCCCGAGGACAGCUUUGGCCAUUUUUGUUCUCACUUUGGAUUAGAAGAUGAUUAGUCUUGUGGUUCCAAGUCCAUAGACUUCUUGGGACAUGUACAGCAAGUCUGUGUUGAAAAUAGCAUUUCUCAUCGGCCACGCAUAACAUAAGGUGAAGCUUAAGUCCAUAAUGCAUCUAGGACCCACCGACAUUGAUAUUUAUUUCACAGGUUGGUUUUAUCUGGCAGUUUCUGAGGCCCGGAAGCAAGGGAGAAUAGGACCAAGUUGUGAAAGCAAAUUGCCUCUCCAAGUACAAACACUUCAUUUUUUUUCCCAAGGUUUUAUUCUAUAUAUUAAUUUUUUUAAAUUAUGGAGGUCAUUGUUUAAUUUAUUGGGAUGGAUUUUGAGGUAUGACAAAGUUGGUAACAAAAAAAAACCUAGGGCAUAUUAGUUUGCUUUGAUCCAACACCGUGAGAUGUGUGAUGUGAUUAAUUAGUAACUUAUAUGUGUAGAUAUAUUGAUACGUACGAUAUACAUGUUAGGACAGAGAUUAUUUCCAUUAAAAUAGAAAGUUUUAUAUACAUGGAUAACACCAGAUUUGUUAACAUUCCAUUGCCAGCACUACACCAGCACUACGCCUCUCAAUUCAAAACUCUCCUUCGUAUCUUCACUUGACAUUAUUGGUAUUAUUUUACUAAAACCUUACUGUUUAAGGAAGUUCACUCUCCUUGCCAAUCUUUCAAAACUAUUUGCUUCCUAUGAAUAAAAUGCUUCUAGAUUAUUUCUUUCUUCCUUUAUUUUUUCAUAUUCUCUAAAUAAAUGAAUAAAAUUGCUUUAAAGAUCUCUCUUCCAUUACUAGACAAUAUGAAAACUUGCACAUUUAUGUAAUGUAAAAUGAUAUAUUUAGACAUUUUAUGCAUGCCACUCCUUUUUUAUAAAUUUCAAAAGGAUUCACAUGUAGGGCAAAACGACGUACACACGAUUUUUUCUAGCAUAUACAAUAUGUACAAAAUCUUUUACUAUCUCAGUAUCCUAUUGCAAUUAUUAGUUUAGGAUACUCUUUAGUUCAAAUUUAUAGCUUUUUCUUUAACAAUUACUAUAAGAUAAUUCAUGUUUCUUAUCUUUUGAGUCCGGCACUUAUUCCAAUACCCCUAAUAUAUUAUUCUUCCAUUCGAUGUACACAAUCAAAUCUUUGCCAAGUUUCCUUGUGGAUGUUUUCUAAUAGUGCUUGCAAGACCGUAAGAAUUCCUAGUUGGUCAUUAAUGACAAGUUAGUGACAUCGGACCAAGUAGACCUCGUGUGACAAUAAAAUUUGUUGAAGUGGUAUGGAUUAUUGUGACAUGGCUAGAAUGUGCAAAGCAUCUUUUAAAAUCCUAGAAAAAUUCGGAGUGUUAAAACAAUCCAUGCCGCUUUCUUGCUUGAAUACUCUAAUACCUGCUUGAACUACGCGGGAUACCCUUAACAUACUUGUGGAGCAUCUUUUGUAGUGUAAACACGUUCAUCUCUGUGUAUGCGCCUAAACUAUGUGCGAAAGACCAGUAGCCAUUAUCAUUCAUGGAGGAUGUGAUAGGAGUAACUCUACAUAACCUUGUGCAGCAAUGAAAUUUGUAACUCUUCCAAAAAGAAUGUAACUUUUGUCUUCCCUUCCCGAGAAUAUGUUUCCCGACAAUCAUUUCGACAAGCAUUUCCUUUUUUUUUUCCAUUAUAGAAACAAGAAAUACUGUUUGUCCACUGGUGCUUUUCAAAGAAUUUCUCCAAAUUUUUUUUGUCUCGAAAGUGAAGCAAAAGACAAAAAGAGUAAUGGCAAAGAAACUCCAAUAAAUUCCAAGAAGACCACAAAUUUUGCGGACACAAAUUGAAGUUUGUUGCUUCGCUUUUCGCAUCCCUCCUCAUGAGAACGUCUCUUUUUCCAUCACUAGUAGAACUUCCAUGCAUUAUGUUUGGAUUAAUCUCUGUUGUUUUUUCUUUUUUCAAAAUUGUCUCAAUUCGAGGCAUUUGUUAAAAAAUUGCCACAUCGUAAUGAUUUUAUUGACACAAUUCGUUUACCCUGUGAAUUGGGUGAUGUGGAGAGAGUUUGUAUUGGCUUAGAUAAUCUUAGCAUCUAGUGUCUUUGUUGACGUGGCAACAUCUCAAGAUGCCAUAUUGGACACUUAUAUGGACAUUUAACAACUAUUUAACGGUGUUGGCAUCAUGUCAACAUUUUUCAUUUGGAACAUUAACGAAGUCCUCACAUUGACCUCAUGAAAAAUUCAGAUAAUUGAUUGAACGAGAAAACUUUAGGUACCUAAUUGCGAAAGGGCUAAUAAUACAAGUACUUGUAAUGCCAUUGUUCCAAAGAGUUUAUCACAAAAUCAUUGGUCUAGGCUCAAAUCUCAAACAUACUUUUGUUUACGGAAUAUUUUCUCCACAACUCAUCCUCUCGAUUCAUUUCUUGGUUUCCCUUUAAUAAUUUUCUUUUGUAAGAUUAUUCAUUCUUUCGCGUGAAAGAAAACAGGAAAUAAUUUUGUUAAUUUCACGUGCCAAAAGAUUUCAAUGGCUAAAUGUCAAGCACAUUGGAGGACUACAAAAUUUCUCAAUGUCGAUUUCCCUUAGAUUUUUUCCUAAUCAUUCGAUCAUAAAAAUUCAAGCUUUACACUUGAAAAUUUUUAGUGGAUUAUCAAACGUUUGAUUGAAAAUAAACUUUUUCUUAACACUUGAUUUUAGUUCGGUUGGAUAUCAUAUUAAUAGUAUUAUCAUCACAUGUAAUUGUAUGGGCACACUUAAUUUAAAACCUUACUAUGAUUUCUUUACCAAUUACAUCUAAUUUGCCUAAAUAAUAUUUUUUGUAGAUAAUUUGUUCCAACUUUUCCAGAGAUCAAUUGAUAUCAUCUGGAAUCCCCAGUCUGACCCGCAAGAGACAACAUUGAUACCACAGAAUAUAUUGCAGCCCAAUAUAAGCAGUUAACGACUACUUAAUAGCAUUGAUGUCAUAUAAACAUUUUCCGUUCACGAUUCAAUGGAGGUCUCGCAUUGACCUACAUCCGAAUUGUCGAGAUAAUUGAUUGAAUGAAAAAAAAAAAAACUCUAGAUACUUGAUUGCCAGUUCAUAGGUAAGAAAUUUCAUGCACCUAACGAUCUACUUUUAUUUUAGUCAAUUUGAAUAUUUUUAGAAGCCGUAGAUACAUAAUGAAAUUGAUGACGUUUCUUUUAUGAAGGGUUUGCUUCAACCACACGUAUGAAAAAUCGAAUAAGCGCCUCCUCUGAUUGUCUUUCUCUUUUCCUUAUUCAGCCAGAUCCCAAAUGCUUGAAACAAGGCGCCAUCAAAUCAUAUAUAUGUGCCAAGAGAUAUAUAUAUAUAUAUAUAUAUAUACAAGGCGAUUGUUAAUGAUAGUUGUAAAGUUAUACACAUAUUUCAAUAGUAUUGAAAUACUCCCUCAUCCAUUUAAUUUUGGUGCGCUUCACCACAUUAUGGUCAGUAUUGAAUAUAUAUAUUUUUCUCUUUUAAUAUUCAAUAACUUUGCGGAUUCCAUAAUUUUUUAUUUUGUGAAAAAAGAAAAACGGAAAAUUGAUAGUGCUUGCAAUUGAGGCCUCCAUGUACCAAAUUAGAUUAGUGCAUUUGUCAAUUUAAUUAAUUAAUUAAUUAAUUAAUUAAUUUAUGUAGGCACUCAUAUUUGGUUCAAGUAUACCAACUUAUGAGGUUGGAGUUGAAAACAAUCAACCAUAAAAACAGCUCAUUUUAUGCUAAUUCCUUAUUCUUAAUCAGAUGUGAUAUGGAAAUAUCGAAUAUGGACACUAGUAAAUUUCAUAUUUUAGAUUUCAUAAUUAAAGGACCUCACUAAUUGGCAUCAAAUUCAAAUGAACUUUGGAUUUCAUAAACAAGAUGUUUACUUACUUAUUAAUUUUUUUCAUUUUUUCUUUGAUAGAUUCCAAGAAGACCAAGACUUUUACAUGUUUGUAUGUUAGUGGGAAAAAAACUUCAAUAGAUAUCAAGAAGACCAAGACUUUGUAUGUCUUUCUUGCCAUUACCAAUAGAAUUUCUAGGCGCUACAAGUCUUGCUUAAAAUUAACAAAGCCAUAAUUUUCCUUCAAUUCUUUUUGGGUUUAAUCAUUUUGGGAUUUUUUCAUUCAUUAAUCUCUAUUGUAUCGCAAAGUGAUGAUGAGCAAAUGGAGAGAGAACCAUAAAGUCCGGGAAGAUCAAGACUUUCACCUACUAAAAAUAUCAUUUUCAGACAAGGACUUUCACCUACCAAAGAUGUCAUUUUCUUUUUCAAAGAAAAAGUGAAAGAGUGAUGGCGAGAGAGAAACUAAUAUAUUCUAGGAAGACCAAGACUCUGCAUGUCAUUUGAUUGUGCACGUCUUUUGAUGGUGGGAAAGAAACUUCAAUAGAUUCCAAGAAGACCAAGACUUUUGCACGUUUGUACGUUAGUGGGAAAGAAACUUCAAUAGAUGCCAAGAAGACCAAGACUUUGUAUGUCUUUCUUGCCAUUACCAGUAGAAUUUCUAGGCGCUACAAAGUCUUGCUUAAAAUUAACAAUGCCAUAAUUUUCCUCCAAUUCUUUUCGGGUUUAAUCAUUUUGGGAUUUUUUUCAUUUAUUAAUCUCUAUUGUAUCGCAAAGUGAUGAUAAGCAAACGGAGAGAGAACCAUAAAGUUCGGGAAGAUCGGACUUUCCACCUACUAAAAAAAUCAUUUUCAAACAAGGACUUUCACCUACCAAAGAUGUCAUUUUCUAUUUUUGUGGAAAGUGAAGCAAAAGUGAGAGAGUGAUGGCGGGAAAGAAACUAAUACAUUCCAAGAAGACCAAGAUUGUGCACGUCUUUUGAUGGUGGAAAGAAACUUCAAUAGAUUCCAAGAAGACCAAGACUUUUGCACGUUUGUAUGUUAGUGGGAAGGAAACUUCAAUAGAUGCCAAGAAGACCAAGACUUUGUAUGUCUUUCUUGCCAUUACCAAUAGAAUUUCUAGGCGCUACAAAGUCUUGCUUAAAAUUAACAAUACCAUAAUUUUCCUCCAAUUCUUUUCAUUUUGGGAUUUUUUCAUUCAUUAAUCUCUAUUGUAUCUUUUCAAAUUUGAGUUCAACAAAUGAAAAGAAAAAAGCAAAGAGAAAAAACAGACAAGAAGAAAGAGCAAAAAAGUUUAAAAAGGAAGUAAAGAAGGAAAGGGGCAAGAUAGAGCACCAUUGAAGCACAUCCACAGUGUGUUGUUGCCGUUAGCACCAUCACUUUGGUGACUAUUUCCAACUUUGCCACCUUAUAAGUUACAAUGACCUUCGUAGACAAUAUUUUUCUUGAGAUGUUUUCCUUAGACUGGUUCAGAAGUUGAGGAUAAUGGCAUCGAAAUUAUCAAAACUUUCGCUUGUUUUACAAUAGAGUACCUAAACUUUUCUUUUUUCAAUCAAGUAUCUCACUUUUUCAAAUUUGAUACAAUUUGAGGCAUUCGCUAAAUGAAUCAUCAUGUCAUAUGAUUUUGGUUACAUGAUUUGCUCACCUUGCAUAUUGAGUAAUGUGGAAAGAAAAAAUAUUGACUUAGAUAAUCGUAGUGUCUUAUAUAUCUCGGCCGAUGUGGCAGCAUAUCAAGAUAUCGUAGAAAACACUAAUGUGGGCAAUUAAUGACUAUUUAAUUAAAUCGGUAUGAUAUCAACAUUUUUUGUUAGUGAUUUAAUAGAGGACUUAACCUAUAUUCGGAAAAUUGAGGUAAUUGACUGAAUGAAAUAAAAUUUUGGUAUGAUUAAAAAAAGGGUAAUAAUUUAUCCAAUAAUUUAUCUUUUUUUACAUGAUAUUCAUGUGAAAGAGAAUAUUAAGUGGUUUUGUCAAUUUCAAGCCAUUGCAAAAAGAUUUUAGUGGCUAUAUGUCAAGCCCAUUUGGAGACUAUAACGUUCUCAAUGUUGAUUUCCUUUAUAUUUUAUGCAAUCAUUCGAUCAUAAACCAUUCCUGCCCCUUUUUCUUGGCCAAUUCCACUGCUUUCCCUUUCAUCUAUUCACCCAAAACUAAAAAAGUAUGUGUAGUUUGGCCUAAAUCAGUUUGAACCGGUUUGAAAAUGUACCAAUUUUCAAAAUUGGAUCUGCCUAGUUUUAGAAUCCCAUGGGUAUAGAAUUGGGCUUUUGGCUACUGUUGCACAUGGGGGGACUCAAGCACUCAAUUCCACAGAUCACCGGCAUUUUACUUUACCACUAAGGCCGAACGAUUCAUGUGUUCAUGGGCAAUUGACAUCAUUGCAUAUCUAUAAUCGUUUGCUCUAGACACAAUCACUGAUUCACUCCUAGUCCAAUCGUUAGGACCACAAACUGGCAACCUAACUGGUUCUCCGACUGGCCUAAGUUUGAAAACAUUGGUGCCAAGUUCCUAUCCCUUCUUAAAACAAGUAGAUAAUGACCAUCUUAUAUGAAUUGAGUUGUAAUUGACGCAAUACUUUUGCCACGUAAUGAAAGAUGAUAGCUAAGUGAUUAUAACUAAUAAACGUUGAUGCUCCUCUUUCUCCUUGGUUAUAUUAGACCUAGAAAUUCUUCGUACUGCUCCAAAUGAGGUUGAUGCUCAACUCCCAUGGUACAUUACUCCUGUCAUUGCUCUAGUUGGAGCUAUGAUUGAUGCUUGACAUUUCCCUUAAAAAUUUCGUAUUCAACAGUAAGUCUUUGCUUUGGCAUCGCACAUACUUCAAUUUGAGAUGCUAAUAAAUAUUAGUCAAGAGGGAAAAAAAGUUAACAUCUACCACUCUUAGGAACCUUAUAUGCUAUUAGGAACUUUGUCCAGCAUGGCAUGCUAUCGAGAGGUCGUAGGACUUUGUCAGGCUUAAGAAGAGAUCUAAUCUCCCCAAUCAAAAGAAAUGAAAUCUAUCAACCAUUGGAUUUUGUUAUAAAGCAAAAAUCUAGAAAAUGAUGCAGUGCAAUAUAUUUAGCUACACAAUAGUAGUUUGAUUUGUCACAUGUAGUUUUUGGAUAUCAUGGUUUUUACAAGCAUGAGAAGUAAACUAGUCACAACAUUCGGAAGCAAAUUACUCAAUAUCAUCUCCAGUGAGUUUGCUAAGAAUUUUCUUUUGAUAAGCAAAAGAAAUUUACUGCACAAUGGCGUCAAGUAGAUGCUAGCCCAUGUAACAAAUGAUAAACAUGGUGCCAUGAGGUAUAAGAAAGAAUGCACAUUAGUAACGUCGUUGUCACACAACCAAAAGCCGUGGAAAGCCAUCUAUCAUUCAAAUAAAAUAAAAUAAAAACCAGUCUUGCUAUUUUCAAAAGCGCUUGUAUUUUUUUAUUUUUUUUGGUAAAGGUAAUGAUAUAUUGAGCCAAGAACCAAUAAUUACAGAAGAUUAGGCACCACAAAACUUUCACUCAAAGAGACACAGCGUCAAAUGGAGUGAAAGGGCGCCUAAUGCAAAAGACCACCGCAAAGCCGUCAUAGCAAGCAGGCAAACACAGACGGCCGAAAAGAAAGACAAAACAGCCACGCAGGGCUGGGGAAACAAAGAGAACAACACCAACCAAGGAACAACAACAAGGAGGACCCGAAGAUUCGAGGCAGCCGCGGAAGGCGCAGAAAACGGGGAGGAAGCCGCAAGACACUAGGCGGUUGGCGAAUGAGAUACUAGGCAGUCAACGUAGGAGAAGAGAAAAUAGAAGGGUCGAGCCCCCAAUUCCGAUGAAGCCUUCUAUUUGUCUUUGACCACUUUAAUGAGAUGCUUCUUGAUAGCCACAAGCACCACUGGAUGACCUCUGAAGAGAAUGUCGUUCCUAUACCUCCAAAUAAGGUGGCAGAGGGUAGCAAAAGAGAAGCGCCCUAUAGCAUGAUAGAAGUCCUUACCUGAUAGGAAAUUCAUCGCCCACUGAAGAUUUUCCACCCACGACCCGUUUCUCCACGGGAGAUUGCACUUGGCCACCCAAAAUAAGCCAUACGCGAAGUAAUACCGCAUCCGAAGAAGAGAUGGUCAAUAGAAUCCGGCGUGUGCUUGCAAAAGGCACAAACUUCCCUCCCGAUCCUCCCAUAGGACAUAAGAAAAGCUUGUGUAGGAAGGCGGUUCUUAACGAUUAGCCAUAAAUUGAAUUGGUACCUCGGAGUGAUAGCUUUACUCCAUAUAAAGGAUGACCAGUCCACUCUCGCUUUCCUCUUUCUGAAAAAAUGCCAUGCAGAAGCCACUGAGAAGAGACCAGACGAAUCGACACUCCACACAAAUCUAUCCGGAACCUCAGGGAGAAGAAUAGGGAGCUGGCCCCACGAGUCCAUCGCCAUCCUAAAGGCUCGACUAGGGUCUGAUAAAAGGUCCGCAACGGCUGCACACCUAUGAAGUCCCGACUCUAAGAUAGUUUGCUCCGAGCAAAUCAGAUCCAACGGCCCCCUCUGGUGCCAAUGAUCAUACCAGAGAGAGACCGUUCGCCCAUCACCAAUCCUCCAGCGGAAAUUGAGUCAGACCUUGGGUCUUAGGUGUAGGAUCCUCCUCCAAGCCCAAGAGCAGCGAGCCGGAGCCUUAACCAUCCAGAAGUUCUUCCCUCUUAGAAAAGUAGAGUGAAUCCACUUGCACCACAAGGACUCUUUGUCAGUGAAGAGGGUCCAAAUAUGUUUGAGCAUAGCCGCUUUGUUGUACUCUCGUAGUCUACGAAUCCCAAGACCACCUUCCUCUCUAGGGAGACAUACAUCCUCCCAGGAUACCUUGGCACCUCCCUUACCAAGGUUAGGCCCCUUCCGCAGGAACCAUCUGAGAAUUUGCUCUAUACGAUCUAAGACUGCGAUAGGAAUAAUAAAUACACUUGCCCAAUAGGCCUAAAUCGCAUGGAGCACUGACUUAAUAAGUUGAACUCUUCCGGCAAAUGAGAGAAAUCGAUGAGUCCAAGAUUGCACCAUUGCCGUAAUGCGAUUGACCAAGACAACGCAAUCCGCCUUGUCGAAACUCGAGGAGAUGAUAGGGGCUCCUAGAUAGCGUACCGGUAGCUUUCCUUCAACAAAUCCAAGGGUCUCCUUGAUCUGAGUUCUCAAUUCAUCCGAGCCACCCACGAGGAACACCUCACUUUUGCUGUUGUUCGGUAUCAAACCACUCCAAGUCGAGAAAGUAUCAAGCCCAUCUUUAAGAAGCCUGACGGCCAUAUCUGCUCGGCAAAAAAGAAACACAUCGUCCGCAAAGAAUAAAUGAGAUAACCGAGUGGCCUUGCACCUCCAGGAGAAGUUGAAUCUAGGUAGGUCCGCAGGGGAAGUGAGGAUCCCCGAGAAGACUUCCAUCACCAAGGUAAAUAGAUAAUGGGACAUAUGGUCCCCCUGUCGAAGGCCACAGCUGCUAGGGAAGAAUCCAUGGAGCUCUCCAUUCAAUGAAAUAGAAAACAUAGGCAUGCGCACACAUACCAUGAUAAGCCGAAUGAAGUGGUCCGGGAAGUGAAAAGCCCGGAGAACCAUCUCAAGGAAGUCUCAACCUACCGUGUCAUACGCUUUCUAAAAGUCCACCUUGACAGCACAUUUGGGGGAAUAUGGCUGAAGAUGAAACCGUGCGAACAACUCCUGGGCUAGAAGAAUAUUGUCCCUGAUCCGGCGACCCUUAACGAAGGCGUUUUGAGAAGGGCUAAUGGUAUCCUAAAGAACAGCCGUGGCACAAUUGGCUAAGACCUUGGUAAAACAUUUGUAGAUCGUGUUGCAACAAGCAAUAUGUCUAUAAUCAUUUACUGAGGUCGCAUUAGGCACCUUGGGAAUCAACACCAGGAUGGUGGCAUUAAUCUCUCUCAAAAGUCUCCCCGUGACAAAGAAGUCAUUCGCUGCAUCCAUGACCAACGAUCCAACAAGGUCCCAGUUACUCUUGAAGAACUCAACGCCAUACCCAUCUGGCCCCGGAGCCUUUCCUCUGGCUAGAGAGAACAAGGUAUUCUGAAUCUCCAUCUCUGAGAAUGGACGGGCGAGUGAGGCAACCUGAGCCUCAGAGAGCGGACACCGGAUAGCUUGCUGUAAGUCGUCCAAGGCUGGCCUAUGAGGGAGAGAUCGCGAGGCAAACAACUCUUUGAAGUGAGAAACGAAUGUCUCCUGAAUAAGGUUCGGCUCGCUGACAAGAUUCCCAUUUCUAUCCAGGACUGAGAUGAUUCUAUUCUUCAGCUGCCUCGUAGUCACUGAAUGAUGAAAGUACUUGGUGUUCUUGUCACCAUUCUCUGCCAGGAGGAUGCUUGUUGGAUCCAGCUGUAGGUCCUCUUGUGCUAACCUUAGAGCAUUCCUGGAUUGGGCAACCCUCUCAGACAAGUUAGAUAAUGAGUCUCUAUUCAGCUACUUGAGCCGUCUCUUCAAGGCUUUUAAUUUGGUAACCAAUUUGAAAAUGGGAACACCUUCCCCCGGAGCCUCCCACACCUGGGUAACAAUGUUAUGAAAUGAAUAGUGCUCCAUCUAGAAAUUAAAGAACUUGAAAGGCUUCCUUCACAAAACCGGUUGAAUCACCUUGGCCAACAUCGGAGAGUGGUCAGAAAUACCAGGUGUCAGAAACAACGCUUCAGAGUAAGAGAAAUGCAAACUCCAAAGAGCGUUAACCAGCACCUGGUCAAUCUUUCUCGCUUUCCGGUUGGCCCCUGAAGACGUCGACCAGGUAAAUCGAAGGCCCACAUAUCUCAAAUCCUCAAGCUCUGAUUGAUGCAAGCAAUGAUUAAAUUCCCCAAAGGAGGGAAGCUAGGCAUUAGUACCACCAAAUUUGUCAGAGGGGUCUCUAAUAGCAUUGAAGUCACCAGCAACCAUCCAUGGAAGGUCGUAGAUGCAAGAGCUCAUCUUGAUCAAGUCCACCCAUAAGGGCCUUCUAGAAACAAAAGAGUGCUAUGCGUAGACAAUUGAGGUGCAGCAACAAAGACCCAACGACAGAAGCCUAACUCUGCCAUGGAUGACUUGAUCAUUAGAAGCUAUCACCUCAAAAUUAACCAAUGAAGGGUCCCAACCGACCCAAAUUCUGUCCCUCGGAGACGAACUAUAGUUGGCAAUCCAAGUCCACCCCGAAAGCAGACCAGACGAUAAAGAGCAAAAUAGAUAAUACGGGACUUUAGUCUCUAGAAGCCUGACUAAACAAAGACCAUUCGAAAGAACCAAUUUACGAAUCUCGACUCUCCUCAAAGGAUCCAUAAGACCACGAAUAUUCCAAAAGCUAAAAUACAUAACGAAACUAAGAACAAACUACGCUAAAUAAGAAAGACUAGAGCAAGGCUACUUGGCUUUUGAAGCUUCGGCGGAGGGGGUCCCAGCGCACCACCAAUGGAUUCAUCCGAUACCGGAUCCGGGGCAAGUGCAAGAAGCCGAUCUUGGAUGGUCUCCACCAUUGUCGCGGCAUGAGGCUGCUGAUGAAAAGGUGAACCAGGGGAUGUUAUAUCCUCCUCAUCCGACGAUGCAAAAGAAGCCGCGACUUCCGACUCCAAUCCAUGAUCCACGGUGGAGGAGAGAACUGGGAGCUGUGGUGGGUCUGCCAUGAGAGAAAGAACCACCUUGGGAGAGGCACUGGCUCCCCUUACCGUCUUUCGAAUAGGAGCGGGCGGAGAAGGACCCGCUGUGGGUGGAGGUGGAUCAACAGCCGGGGCUUUGUCCCGAGAGGGUUGUCCAGGCCCUGCAGUAGCGGAGGAACUGGGUGACUCCCACACGAAGGGGGCUUGAUUUUUCUUCUUCUUGCCCUUUACCUUCCUCCAAGGCUAUUCCUGGGCGGGUUGAGGAGGAGCACCCACCAUUGGAAGAUCCUCAGCCUCCGGGGGAACGGACAACGAUGGGAUCGGAGUGGACUAGACCUGAGCAGGGCCAAUUGCGGACUGAGGAGGGACAGAUUCGACCACGGCAUUUCUUUCUUCACAACGAAACAAUAAGCUAUUGAAGUGAACAACCACGAACACAGCCCGACAUAAACAAGGAGUAAUAAAAACUACUUACUGUUUGAUGUUAGGUUCUAAAGUCCAACAAAAGGAAGUUCUCUAGUAGAACCCAAAAACAGGAGUGUGCCAUAGAUUCACAGAGAAUUUAAACAGAAAUUACAAGACCUAUGAAACAGGCAAUGGGAUAGAAAGCAAAUGAAGGUUUGUUGCAGAAGGCAGGCAUAGACAUUGUGGACCUGAAUAUCCAUGCACAGUGAUGAACAAGGCAUUACUGCAGGGUGAGCUCGGCAUCUAAUUUGUAACAACAAGAGAGAGAAUGUCAAUCAUCAUAGCAGCUGAGGCUGUGUUCUCCAUGAUAGCUACUACCCAAUCAUCUCUUUGACCCAACAAUUGAGAUUCAGAUGCAGGGUGGCAAGUUGAUGCAAGCCUAGGGGAGGCUUUCUCAAACAAUAGGAUCGGGAGAGUGACUCGCACACAGAAACAGGACAAACAGGAAUUUCAGCACUGCGCGAGCUCAGGAGAACAGCUGUAUCUCUGUCGAUACAGAUCGGAUCGACCUGAUUCCAAAGCAAAAUGAACAAAGACUUCUGGAUCUACAAUUUCUCUGUUUUGGGUUUUCUGAAAUAAGCACUGUAGGAUAGUCGAAAUUGGGUAGGAAGUAACAAACAGAACAGGAAAAGACAGAGACUCCGUUGGUUGCUCUUCUAGGCCUCCAAGGAAGUUGAAAGGGACACCGAUUCUUCUAGAUCGAUGACUGCAACUCUUCAAGGAUGCAGAUUUUGAAAGCUCCGACUCUUCAAGGACGGAGUGAAAACUCUUCUAGGUUUUCAAGAGUUGAACUCUACAAGGUUCACGAUACUUGCUUCAAGCAAAGCUUUUCAUUCAUAAAAAAUUGUCUGUCUUCUACAAGGGAUUGGCUUAUAUCAUCAAAGAAAUAAAAAUAGAACGUUGAAAAUAGGAGAAAUAAAGACAAAGCGUAGAAAACUAGGAGAAAUAAAAACGGAGCAUUGAAAAUAGGAGAAAUAGUAAAGGGCAUGGAAACUAUAAACUAGUAAAAGCGUCACGCGAGCUUCCAAUGUGUCUUUGACUCAAGAUGUCAUUAUGGCUUCUCGGUUUCGUCGAGCUUUAAUGCGGGCCGAUCUUCUUGGUCGAGAGAGCCGGUCUUCAAUGUGGGCUGCAUCACAAGUUCAUCUUCAGAAUAGCAGAUUAGGACAGCCGCUCUCAUUAAGUCAGACCAAUAACUGAGAAUGAACCAGUCAUUGUAAAUAGACUGCUUCUGAUGACCUUGCUAGCAUCAAGGUGAGCUAAGAGUUGCCAAAAGCAUUAUUUGCACAUUCUUUCGGAAUCAUUGAUUUCUCAGAGUUCCAGUGGCAAUUUUAGGACUAACAAGGAAUGAGAUGGAUCGGUCCACUAUUAAUUAACUUGGUUUAUAGAUGUAAGUAGAGUAAGUUUAAAGUCAUCUGUACAAUAACUGGAAUCAGUGAACUCGUGAAGAAGAAGACUGGAAAGCAAGUUAUCUUGACAACUCGAAUAAGAACAUAUGACCUUAAAGUGAAUCCUGAGGCUAGUAUUUAUAGUCAAUAUCAUGUAUAUCGAUUAAGGAGCUAUCUCCAAGUACAAUAUCCUUCAAUACACGGAUGGCUUUUAUUUGGUUAAGUUGCAUAGCAAGGCCUCCAUCAUAAGAGGUACCCUUUAGAAAAUCAUUAUCUUCCAUAUCCGAUGAGUCCAUAAAAGUUUCCAUCUUUUUCUUCCUCCCGUAUAACCAAUAAGGCUUAGGACUUUUUCCUUCCAAAUAACGAGCAGACAUUUCUGAAUCAGCUCCGCACCUUCAUAAACUCCUCUGAAGAACACACUAAACCUCUUUCCCCUCUCAGAAACAUAGAAAACGCCAUAAUGCUUCAACAGGAGUCUCAUCAACUUCCGAGGCAUCACAAAUUCUUGUCGAAAGUGCGCGGGGUGAUUGGUUACCAACCUCUUUUCCAUUGUGAAGCUAAGUAACUCAUGCAUUGCUGCAAUGGAUCUCUUAUUGAAUUCUUUCAAUCCAGCUUGAAGGCCACAUGCAUUAGCGUAAGGAGUCAAGUAAGACCUUUUCUGAAAGUGCUCAAUCUUCCCUCCGUAGCUACACACCUUCUUGUAACUGGCAGGAAACUUGAAGGGGGAAAGAUAGGGAAAGCAACCCUGGAGUAUGAAAAGGCAAAUUCUGAUACCCCCAAUAUGGGCUUCUCCAACUCUGUGAUAGCCCAAGUAGGAUUCCACCCUAUGAGCUCGAGGUAAUCAACUUCAUCUGGAGAUUUAACCACUUUGAAGUGCUGCGGAUACUCGUGUACCCACUUGCUCCUAAAAUUAGCUGGCAAACCAGACUCUCUCCUGUAAUGAGCAAUUUUGUCCGGAGGAAGCCAUUUGUCGACCGACAUCAUCAACAUCCUAGUCACGUAUUCAACAGCCGUGCCAGAAUGUCCCCUAAUCAAUCUCUCCUCUUCCUCUAACAAGUCUUCAGCUUCUUUAGUUAUUUCCAAACCACAAUACCCCCUUCUGAUCUUUACACAACUCAAAACAAUUUUGGUGACUUUCGAAUAAAAUCCACUAUACUGUUUGCUUGGCUAUAGAUCCAGCGAUCUCACAGGGAUUAUCAUCUCGGGUUCCUUUUUCAACAUUUCCAUCAAAACCAACACCUUUGACACCACUUUUGCUUCUCAGUGGCAAUUUCGAGAUCAUGGACCCUCUUGUCCUUGUUCCUAUCUUGCACUCUCUUGCUGGUGUUCAUGAAUCUACGCUAUGACCAGUUAAGUAAAAUCUCGCCAAAACUCAAGUAUCCUCUCAGGGUAGGCGAAUGCACUGGUGAGGUGACAAAGCAACCAAACUCUCUUGCCGCGCUUCAUUCAUUCAUUCGAGAAAGCCACUGUUUUACCAAUGAUUUGAAAACGGGUCAUCUCAAGAUGGUAAUGCCUCGCUCCAAAUUCAAGAAACAAGCCCAACAAAAGCAAAUGCCUCUUGCUCAGGGCAAACAUCAAACGGCUUACGUGCAAUGGAACGAGGAACAACAAGAGCCCAAGACAAAAACAUUCGAGAAGAUCGCCGUAAAAGAAAACACAUGCUCCUGUCAUUGCCUUUUACUGAAUCAUUGAGUUACAAAUUUUAGGAAGUGUGCCCAAACUAGUCACGAGCAAGUUCUUAGCAAGUCAUUCCGGAUAACUCAAUUAUUCAUUGAUAUUUUCUUAAUUCCGUGAGCAAUAAGCGUGCAGUUUGAACAUAAUGCAACUAAACCAAGUAUUUACCACAAUAUGGAUUGAUUCUUUUCCUUUUUUAAGAAGAACUUAAUUCAGUUCAAUUUAAGAAAAUUAUAAGCUGAACAGGAUUAAGAUAAAUAUACAACCAAGCUAAAUAAAAAACUGAGUUAUUUAAUGUGAAAUAAAAAAAAAAAAACCAAACCAAUAUUUUCCUGUCCCUCUGUAGGAGUGUAUUUGAUAAAUUCUUAAAACAGAUCCAUUAAACCUCAGUCAAACCUCAGACUAACGAAACUCAGUCAAACCUCUUUUUCUUAAAAGAGAAAAAAGAAAAAAGAAAAAUAAGCCGAGAGCCAUUCACCCCCUGCGCAGAGUGAAAUUCCAUGGUCGUCGAAGAUGCUUUUGUCUCUCAGGUGAGUUUCACGAAGCUCCGCUUGAUUUCACCUCAUGUCCUUUUCUGCAGCGCGAUCGCCGGCGAUGAUGAUUCUGAGUUUCGUCUCGUGUUCAGAGCCGAAGAGCAGAAGAUCGUGGAACGAGAGGACGUAGACGACGGAGCAGAAGACCUGCUCGAAACGAUCGACAAACAAACGUGAGUUACGGCAAAACAGAGUGUAGGCAACUCCUCUCUGUUCAUAAUGCGUUUUCGUAAUGCGUUUCGGUACAUCCUUUGAUUCUGAGAUGAUUAUCGUGAUUUUCUGAUCCGUGCCCCGAAAGUUAAAAUUGAGAUGCAAAUGGUUCGAUGAAGCUAUGGCUGUGAUUAUCGUGAUUUACAUCUCGAGCUUUCUCUCAAACUUGCUGUGAUUUACAUAGAGUUUAACACGAUGGUUAAGCUCGAGUCUUUGUUGAAGGACGAUUCUGAUUCACUCAAAUCCAGCAAAGUGAAGAAUAAUGUGGAGAGAAUCGACUACUGGAAGCCAAGCCCUCGAUAAGCUUUUAGGCGGGAACAGACUUUCUUUUGCAGACUGUGUGUCUUUUUCUCCAUGCAUUUCAACGAAAACAAAUUUCACCGGUUUGGCAAUGUUUACAGGUGGUAUUGAAACUCGGGCAAUUACGGAAGCAUUUGGCGAACCUGGGUGAAAAUCACAGUCCAACAACGUUACCUUUGAUGAACUUUUAGUUGCUUUUGUUAAUUAGCUUUCUCAGAAAAAUGCUGCUGACGUCACUUCAGGUCUGGGAAAACACAGCUUGCAUGUACCCCAUGCGUUACUUCUCGGGUUGGUCUGAAUUAGAUAUUAGGUUUCUGUCUUGAACUUCUGUUGCAUUUUUUUUUUUUUUCUGAUGAAAAAUGCCAAAUAGUAACAUAAUGAUUGAAUUUCUAUGGAGUAUAAAGAUGUGUGUAUUAGGUGAUUCUGGAAGUACGGCACUCUCAUUUUCUGUAAUCUGCAGUCAGUAUACUGGAACGCAUGUACAGUGGCUCAAACCAAGCAGGAAAAAGGCCAGAAGAGUUUGUACUAUGUCACAACCGAGUAAAACCCUUAAUCAUAGUCAGACUCGGACUUGGGUUGAUCAUUAGUCGAAUGUGAUGCUUGAAGAUACUCUACUUUAUUUCCAAAUCCUACAACAGUAUUUACCCCUAUUUUCAAUCAUUCUUUAUUAAUGGUUUGUGGAUUCCAUGGCCGUAAAAUAUUUUCAGCUGCCAACUCACAUGAGAGGAGGAAAUGGCAAGGUAGCUUAUAUCGACGCAGUAGGAACUUUGUAUCCUAUUAUGAUCUGUCUGUAUUUUUCAUGACCUUGACAAAGAUACUUGUGUUUCUGAAUCAUCAUCUGUCCAUGUAAGCGCAUGUGCACUUUCUUAACUUAGUACACCUGCAGUCUUAGAUAAUGUAAGCAAUGCACUUUCAAUUUUAAUCAAAUUCUAGACAUUAAACAUGCUCCAUGUCCGUCACUCUUUACUAAAUCACCUAGUUACAAAUUUUAGGAUGUAUGCCGAUCUAGGUUCAACACAACCAAAUCGGUCAUGAGUAAGUGCUUGGCAUGUCAUUGUGAAUAAACUUAAUUGUUGAUUGAUAUUUUCAUGAUUUUAUGAGCAAUAAGUGCGGAGUUUGAGAACAAUGCAAUUAAACCAAGAAUUGACCACAAUGCAGAUCGAUUAUUUUCCUUUUCUAAGAAGAAAUUUAUGUGGUCCAAUUUGAGAAAAUUAUAAACCAAGCGAGACGAAGGUGAGUGCAAAAUUAAGCCAAAUCGAAUUAAAUUAUUCAGUCCGAAAUUACAAAAAAAAAAGUCAUACCCAAUUUUCUCUCAUCCUCUUUAAGAGUGGAUUUAAAAAGAUUUUAAGAAUUUAUCAGAUCCAUUAAAGCUCAAUUUAUAAUAACAAAACUCCAUCAAACCUCUUUUUCUAUAAAAAAAAAAGAAAAAGAAAAAUAAGCCAAUAGCUAUUCUUCCCACUUCCCGCCUCUAUAUCUAUAUGGAUUCCCUCCGAUUUGCGAUCGUUUCCAAAAUCCACAAAAAAUUUGAAAGUCUCUUCUCCUGCGCAGACGCACCGAACUCCAUGGCCGUUUGAUUCUGAAGUUGAUCAUCGUGAUUUUCUGGUCUCUGUUCUCAAGUUGACUGUAUAUCUCUUUGAAUGUCGAUGUUAAGUGACUCUGAAUACUGCUAAGUGCAUGAGCUUGAUUUCGGUUUCGGUUGCUCAGUUUAGCUCGAUUUUCCUGGAACAUCACCGUGAAUCCAUUGGCAUUUUUACAUCUCGGCCUUUCUCUCGAACUUGUCGCGAUUUUCUGCACGCGCACGAUAGUUUUUAGUUUUUGUCUUCUGAUCAUCCAAGAGCAAUUCAGCCUUCGUUAUGUUACGUGACAUCCACCGGAUGUCUUUUUUCCCGUGUGUUCGUGACGUAGCUGGAUUAAUAACGAAUAUCCUAAGCUUAAUUCAUCAAUAAUAUCUGUUGGAACGCUAGAUUGUCAGUGAUGAUCUAGGAAAUGCUUUUGUCCUGACAUUCUACAUUCACCAGAAAACUUAGUUUAACGCGAUGGUUAAGCUUGAGUCUUCAUUGGAGGACAAUUCUGGUUCGCUGAAAUCCAGCAAAGUGAAGAAUAAUGUGAAGAGAAAAUCAAAGACUAAGAUCGAACAGUAUCUCGAGCGUGUAAUGCGGAAAGCUGAUAUAUCUGCCGAGGAGGAUCUGGAAUUGGAAAGGAAGCUUGCCAAGAAGCUCUAGGUAAAGGAUGGAAAGCUACUUGGGUCAGACGAUGGAAUGAGUAUGUUAUUUAAAGGAAUUCCUUCUAUUCUUGAUUCUUUUGAACAAGACGCACCAGGGGUAAGAGAAAAUUGUAGUGAAAGAUUUGAAGGUAAAUCUUCAGGAGAAAAAAAAGAAAUGUCCAAGCAAGAGCAUAUGCAGGAUGAUGGAAAAGCUGUUCAUGUUAAGGCUGGAGCCUGUGACUCAGUAGACUAGAAACCCCUUCAUUUCAGCUCUCAAGUGAGUUCGUGAGCUCCACAAAUUUCAAUUCAUUUCCUUUUCGUGAUGCGAUUGCCAAGAAUGAUUCUGAGUUUCCAUUCGACUUCCUCUUGAACUUGUUGUGAUUUUCUGUGCAUACGAUAGUUUAAUUUUCUUUCCUUAAAUGACGAGAAGUAAUUUCCACCACUACUUGAAUAUGAUAUGUCUAAUUCACCUCUUCGACGUAUGUCUUCUAAAUUAUACAAGAGCAAUUUGGCCUUUGUUAUGUUACGUCACAUAGUAAUUGUACCAUCGGUACAUCUAUUAUCCAUGUAUUUACAGCAUAGAUGGAUUAAUAACGAAUUUCCUAAGCUAAAUUCGUCAACAAUCACUAUUGGAACACUUGACAUUCUACAUUCACCAGAAAAUAUAGAGUUGAACACGAUGGUGGGUUGGUUUUUUUUUGUUUGCAGGUAUUUCUCAGGGAAUCCAUGCUGGAGAUGUGAAAAAAGAUACAGGAUGCAGGGAUCGACACUUGCAAAUGUCUUGAUGAUGCAUACAGAGAAGGUAUAUCUGAUAUUCAGUUCCGAAAAUUAAGUGGAGGUAUUAUUUGGCUAAGGUGAUUUCCUCUGUCUUUGUUUUGUUUUUUUGUAGCACUUAACUAGAACCAAAGGUUUCUCUGAAGCAAAAGUUGAUAAGAUAUGCGUAUCAGCUGAAAAGAUAGUGGUUAGAGCUUAAUUUCUUCUUAUCCUGAGAUGGCGAUGUAAUCAAUUGCAAUUUCUAUAUGCAUCUCACAAUAACUUCUCUUUGUUUUCAUUAGAAUUCUCGUUUUAUUACGGGAAUUGAAGCUAUGCUCAGAGUAAGUCCUUAAUUCGGCAAAUUUCGAGCUAAAAAUGGUUCGGAAGACCUGAAUGAGUCAUUGCCCCUUGAAAUAAAGCCUGCAAAUUAGCAUAUCGACUGUAGAAAACUGUACUUGCUCUAAACACAAAGUACUUUCAAUGUCUUUAUUUUUUCCAGAGCAAGUCAGUUAUUUGCAUCACAACUGGAAGCCAACCCCUCAAUGAGCUUUUAGGCGGUAAUAGACUUUCUUUUGUAGAUUGUGUAUAUUAUUCUUCAUGCGUUUCACCGAAAACAGCUUUCCCUGGAUCUGCAAUGUUAAACAGGUGGUACUGAAACUCAGGCAAUUACAGAAGCAUUUGGUGUAUCUCAGUGACAAGCACAGUCCAAUAACGUUACCCUUGAUGAACUUUUAGUUGCUUUUGUUAGUUGGCUUUCUCAGAAAAUGCUGCUAACGUCACUUCAGGUCUGGGAAAACACAGCUUGCACAUACCCUGUUUGUGACUACUCAGGUUGGUCAGAAUUGCAUGUUAGGUUUUCGUCGUUAACUUCUAUUUCAUGUUAUGUUUCCUAGAUGAACAACAUAAAUAGCAAGAUAAUGAUUGAAUUUCUAGUAAAGAAUAAAGCUGUGGUUAAUAUUGGCAUCGGAACGUGUUUAUUAGGUGAUUCUGGAAGUUGGCACUCUCAUCUUCUGUAAAUGGCAAUCAGCAUACUGGAACACGCAAUCUAUAGUGGUUCAAACCAAGUAGGAAAAAGGCCAGGAGAGCGUACUAGGUCAUAACCAAUCGGAAGCCUUGGUCAUUGUCAGACUUGGACUUGGGUUGAUCAUCAGUUGAAUAGGAUGCUUGAAGUACUCUACUAUAUAUGCAAAUCCUACAACAUUAUUUUCUCUUCUUUCCAUCACUCUUUAUUAAAGCUGAUCCCGUUCCAUGAGAUGAUAUCUUAUGGUUUGUGGAUUCCACGAUCCUAACAAUUUUAACAGCUGCCAACACACGUGGGAGGGGCAAAUGGCAAGGUAGCAUACCUCGCCACAGAAAAAACUUUGUAUCCUAUUAUAAUCUGUCGGUCAUUUCCUUGACCUCAACAAAGCUGCUUUUGUUUCAUACUCGGCUUAUGUCCAUGUAAGUGCAUAUGCACUUUCUUAACUUGGUACACCUGCAGUUGCCAUGAUUGAAUUGUACAAAUAGCUGAAAGAUUUGGCAUGGAUCCUGGUGCCGUCGCACAUAAAUGCUUUCUACACUGGUGGCAAGUCUUCCUUCUUUUCUGGCUAAUGUACUUGCUGUAAUCUAGUCUUUCCAUGAAUUUGAAGAUCAUUUAUGCCUGUGCCUCUACUUCUGAGCAUCAGUACAACUUCCUUCUCAGUUUGGCUGCCAAAGUGUCUGAAGAACCAUUUAGGUUCCUGGUAAGACAGUGUUCAAGAAUCAAACUGCACACAUUUUGUAAGGUGUCGAUGGUUGACCUUAGCUGAGUAUAUCCUUCAGAUUGUGGAUUCAGUGAUCACUCUCUUUCGAGUGGAAUAUAAUGGAAGGGGAGAACUUGCAGGGCAUCAGGUCGAUUCUGAAACCAUGAAAUCAUGCGAGUUGCAAAUUUUCAGCUCAUCUAGUUUGACACUAAUAGAUUUCCAAUUGCAGCAAACAUUGGCACAAAUGCUCUCACGCUUACUUAAGAUAGCCGAGGAAUUUAAUGUGGCAGUGUACAUGACCAAUCAAGGUACCGCAUCACAUCUCAUUUCUCCCACCUAGUCAUGGAUCCUUUAAAGGAUCUUAUCCAAUUUAGCUCUUUGAUGGUUGCACACUGAAAAAUAGCAAUUUGGUGACUACACUAAGCUCAUACUAGUUCUCAUAAAUCUCAAGAACCAGUUAUUUGGUGUAAACUAGUGAUGCAUAUGGUAGCUGCAGUCCAUGAGUUAAGCAAAAAAGAUAAUUUUUUUGACGACUUUUUCUUCGAUUUCUUUGUUUCAGUGGCAUCAAAGAAGCAUGCAGGUGGGCAUGUUCUGGGUCAUGCAACCACAAUUAGGUUGAUGUUUACAAAUGGCAAAGGUGAGCAGUGGGUUUGCAAGGUGUUCAAAGCCCCAGACCUACCUAAAGCUGAAGCUAUAUCCUUUUUGUCUGGAUCUUUGUCUACCUAUACACUUUAUUGAAAUUUACCAGAUUACACUGCAGACAUUAAACGAAAUUUCUAGAAAUCUAAUAUCAAUCGGAGAGAAAGUCAAUACUAAGUCUAUAUAUGGAUAGGUGGAGACUAGAAUUUGAGCAGUAUACUUGUAGUAUACUUACAUGCGCUGCCUGUGCUAUGGAAAUAAAAUACCCAACCAUUGAUGAUGCCAUACUGCAGAUCUUCCUCUAGUUAUAUACUUCGUUGAAAUUUUUCAGACCAUGCUGCAGAGACCAAGUAAAAUAUCUGGAAGUCUAGAUCAAAAUCUGUGAGAAAGUCGAUAAUUAGUCUAAAUAGGGAUAGGUGGAUACCUGAUUUAAGCAUGAUACUCACUUUAUACUUGAUGUUGCCUGGAGAUCCAUGAACAUGUUGAAUACGAAUUUUGUCCAGAGGAAUUAAACAAAAAGAAGUAGCUAUUGAGAAUUUUCCUCAGUAGGACCAGUAUGUUAUUUUUAGCUGUGCUGUUAUGUAGAUGAUGCACAUCUAUCAAGACCAUCACUUAAUUUAAUCAAAAAAUUUAGGAAGAGCUCAUCUGUCAAUAAGAUGAGACAGAUAUUCCAUAUAUGUUGAACUUGACAGACACAUGUUUUUCAGAUAACACCAGGAGGCAUCACCGAUGCGAAGGACUGAAGGAGUCUCUCCAACCAGGAAGGCAGGCGAAGUGCUUUUUUAUUUUUAUUUUUAUGUUAAUCUGCAAUUUGAUGUUAGUCAUCGUAUUGACCGCAAGAGGCAUAUAAUGAUCUCCCAAGCACUUGUUCAUUUCCUUUCUCUGCAAUGGACACUUUGUCACCCUUGUCAUAGCUUGUCCCUAAGUUUCAUGUGCUCGACAACAAACCAUUCAUGAAUGACAUGAGUUACUUUCUCUAACUGUGAUGGUGACCCAAAAGAUUUGUCAACUACAAUGUCACCUUUGUGUAUCAAAUGCAAAAUAUAUCAUAAGGGUAAGGCCGAAGUAUCCUUUCUGCUUCUUCUAUUUAUGUUUAGCCAAUUGAAUGCAAAUAAUACAGCCUUAUAUUCUCUUAGGAACUUAAACGAGCGUGGCAUGUCUUAUAUUCUCUUAGGAACUUAAUAGAGAUGUAACCAAAAGAAAAUUAUUCAGUGUCAUUUCGAAUUACCUCAAAUGAAAUGAAAUUUAUCAAUCACCGUGUUUCGUCAUUAAGAAAAAUAAAUAAAGUUAUCCACUGCAAUAUGUUUUUAAUUACACAUAAGGUCAACAGUUUGUGGAUAUCAUGGUUUUUAUGAGCUUGAGAAGAAAUCUAGUCACAAUAUUUGAAAACUAAUUACCCAACAUCAUCUCCACUGAGUUCACAAUAAUUUUCUUUUGAUAAUUAAAAGAACUUAGUUGAACUUUCUUACACGAGCAAUCUGGCUUUUGUUUAUGUUACACGACAUUCAAAUCGCACCAUUGCAGUAGCUGCAGUCCUUGAGUUAAGGAAAAAGAUGAUUUUUGAUGACUUUGUCUUUGAUUUAUUUGUUUCAGUCGUAGAUGAUCUAGGCGGUGCUGUGUUCAUAUCAGACCCAAAGAAACCUGCGGGUGGGGAUGUUCUGGCUCAUUUAGCCACAAUUAGGUUGAUAUUUAGGAAAGGCAAAGGUGAGCAGCGCGUCUGCAAGUUGUUUAAGGCCCCAAACCUACCGAGCUGAAGCCAAGUAUACUGAGUCUACAUAUAGAUAGGUGGAGACCUGAUUUAAGCACGGUGCUCACAGUAUACUUGAUGGUGUAUGGAGAUCCAUGAACAUGUUGAAUACAAAUUUUGUGCAGAGUAAUUAAACAAAAAGAAGUGGAUAUCCAGAAUUUUUUUAAGCAGGAUUAGUAAGUUAGUUGUGCAACCUGUGCUAUGUAGACUGCACAUCUAUCAAAACCAUCACUUAUGUAAGAAAUUUUAGCGAGAGCUCAUAUGGCAAUAGGGUGAAAUCGACAAACGCACAUUUUUCAGAUAACAACAGGGGCAUAGCCGAUGAGGACUGAAGAGGUCUCUCCUACCAAGAUGGCCAGGUGAGGUGUUUUUUAAUUUUAUUUUUUGGGUUAAUCUGCAAUUUGAUUUUAGUCAUCGGAUUGAUAGCUACCUCUAUCUUCAUGUUAAGUUUGUAUUGGCAGGCAUCAAGCUCCUUUUGACAGCUUUAAGUUUAAAAUUGCCGGAGAGGUUACCGCUUUAGCCUUAAUAUCUAACAUGCUGUCAUUGUCUGUUAUUAAAGUUCACAUGACCCUUCACAAGGUGUUGUGUAAACUUGAUUUCCAUAUGAGAACCAGCACGCUCCAAGUUAUAAUGGUUCACAUUUGUUCUCAUAUGACAAUAUCGUCCUGGUCUAAUUUACUAGUAGAGAUUCUAUGCGGAAAAUAUUACAUUGGAUAGACUUUGCAUGACGGCUAAAUGAAAUGCCAGAAAGAUAUUACUGCACAAAGCAUGAUCAGGUUCUGUAAAGGCUUGGUUUUAUAAGUACAUAUAUAGCUGCAUAAAAACGAUGUCAUCUCAAACUCUCAAUAUAGAGCAACGGACCAUUAGAGCUGAAAAAAUUGUCAAUGUAUGAGAAAGGGCGACUGGGUCAUAAGCAACAGAAGGCCAUUCAAUAGCUAAUGGCCUGGCCAAAAGGGACCGCAAUGCAUAUGACUCGGCAGUGCAAGGACAAGUUCGCAGCACUCCCAACUCUAGGCAUACUGGACUCCUUAGUCUCUGCACCACUUUUCAAAUGUAGCGCUUUGUACUCAGCCCAAGCUAUUCACCCUAGGAACUGGCUUCACCUCAUUCGGCGCAUGCUCGUAACUCCUCAAACAUUUAGAGCUGGUAAAGAAGCAUCCUGAGUUGGAAAAGAAGGCAACGUUAACAGGUGAACGAUUCGGCACUCAAAAAUCAUUCGAAGAGCAACAUUGUACGUGAAAAGGCACAUUUCAAUACAAGGAUACAGGUAAAGAACACCAUUUUAACCUUAGAUUAUAAAUUUAUGUUCGAAACCAAUUUUUCCAAAAUGCUGUUACCCAACAACAUAACAUUCUCCUCUGAACUCUGCUUAAUAUCAUCAGAGCUCAUCCAUCCUUACUUUUCAGAUUGCAAUGCAUGGACCAAAUUCCAGUGGAGCCGCAUCAACAAACUGAAAAAAUAAUUGCCGCUAGGAAAUGGUGCAAAAGACUUCCCAAAACCCAUCUUCAUGACUUCUGCAUCAUCUGAGCGAACAAGACUGCCUCCAGAAUCAAUUCCCCAGAAGGAAGGAAAACUGCCAUAACAUCCUGAAUGAUUCAGAGGACAGAAAGGAUUAGAUAUAGAUCACAGGUGGAGGGAGAGAUUGAGAGCGAUGUCCCAGAAUGAAACCAAUGAACAUUAUUGUUACUCACACAGGCCAGAAAAGGGGUUUUAGAAGAGCUGUCGAAGAGCACAAAACCAAACUUCCUGCUGAUCUCUCUCACGACUUGAUCAGCAGGGUAGGCCGCCGAUCCCUCAGAGUUCAAUAAGCUUCUACGACAAUAAUGACCUCAUUAGCGGUUUUAUUCCAUCCAUAUUACUGCAACAUUGCCUCUGUCCUUGGAACAAGCAACCGAAAACAAUCUGUCACAGAGGGUAAGGCAUGUCAAAUCUCGAUGUGGGACGAGCUGAUUGAGAAGAGAAGACAGUACGGCAAUUUCCCUCAAUUAACAAUCCAAUAAAUUUCAUUUUCUGGCUUUCAAAAUGAACCAGAGACUCAAGUUCCACUAUCUCCUUUAGGCUGACAAAUGGAACCUUUCAUGAUAUCACAGUAAAGUCCAACAAAAAUCAGUUUGAUCUAACCGUUGCCUCUCUAAACAAUGAAAUCACGAUUAUUUUUUCUUUUUUGGUGGUUAAAGCUACCUUUAUCAAGAGAUGGAGUGGGAAUUUGCAUAGAAGAACGAUAAACUUUAUUCUUUGACCAGGUAAUCAGUUUUUAAAUGGGUUUUGGCCAACAUAAUUCAUUCAAAAUUUAGCUGUUUCAUUCACAUAUUCAAACCUCUGUUUGAAAUUUAUCCUUCCAUCUAUACAAUAACUGUUAUGGGAAGAAAGAGAGCUUCUUAUUUUGAAUAUUGACCUGUCAAUGUUAAAAGGAUAUUAUCUAACCAAUUCACAUACAGAAAUUCACAUUGUAUUUUGUGGCUCCUACAAUAUAGUCACUAAAAGCAAUUCUGUACUUAGAGUCAAAAGUACAACUUUUAACCUAUUGGCAAGUGAUACUGCAUAUUCAAUGUUAAAAACUUAAGACUCGUCCUUCCAUGAGCCCCGAUCAAAAUGACAAACGAGGGCCGCUGUUACUGUGAGUACAUCAUGUAUAUCAGCAGCAAUCCUCUCUUCAUCCUUUUUGGCUUUCUCUAUGUAACAAAGCCUCAUUUUAUGUUUUAUAAGGUAAUGUGAUGUGAUCUCAUUGAACCACUCUUGGCUGAUGACAAGAACUAAACUCACCUGAUUCGACCAGGACUGAAGUAUCUUAUUAUGAUCCUGGAAAUUCCCACAGAAAGGCGCCACCUUGCCUUAAGAAACCACCCAAAGCUUGUCCAUGCUUCCAGAUAUUGGAUGCUCAUCGUGACUAACCUGCAAAUCAAGGUGAAAAGAUGGCUAUUAGCUGUAAAGACAAUCCAUCAUUGGUCAAAUUGAAGUAUUCUGGCAAAAAAAUCAAUCUCACCAUCAGACAUCUUCCUUGGAACAAGACCAGCCCUCGAAUGAGCACCUCAACCACAUCCAAAUCCUGCAGUUUGGGAUAGUAAAAAACACAGAAUCAUACUCAUCAAUCCUUAGACAAGAAACUAGCAAUUUACAAAGAUAGAACUUUAGUAGUCAUAGGUCAUUAAAGUAGAACUUAAAGUCGCUUGGUGCAAGUGGAUCCACUCCACGUUCCUAAAAAGGAAGAACUUCUGGGUGGUUAAGAAGCCGACCUGUUGCUCUUGGGCCUGAAAGAAAAUUUUACAACUCAGAGUAGAAGUCCGGCUCAGUUUCUGGUGGAGAAUUGGGGAUGGCCUUUCUAUGUCACUUUGGUUUGAUAACUGGCAUCCUGAGGGCCGCUGAANNNNNNNNNNNNNNNNNNNNNNNNNNNNNNNNNNNNNNNNNNNNNNNNNNNNNNNNNNNNNNNNNNNNNNNNNNNNNNNNNNNNNNNNNNNNNNNNNNNNNNNNNNNNNNNNNNNNNNNNNNNNNNNNNNNNNNNNNNNNNNNNNNNNNNNNNNNNNNNNNNNNNNNNNNNNNNNNNNNNNNNNNNNNNNNNNNNNNNNNNNNNNNNNNNNNNNNNNNNNNNNNNNNNNNNNNNNNNNNNNNNNNNNNNNNNNNNNNNNNNNNNNNNNNNNNNNNNNNNNNNNNNNNNNNNNNNNNNNNNNNNNNNNNNNNNNNNNNNNNNNNNNNNNNNNNNNNNNNNNNNNNNNNNNNNNNNNNNNNNNNNNNNNNNNNNNNNNNNNNNNNNNNNNNNNNNNNNNNNNNNNNNNNNNNNNNNNNNNNNNNNNNNNNNNNNNNNNNNNNNNNNNNNNNNNNNNNNNNNNNNNNNNNNNNNNNNNNNNNNNNNNNNNNNNNNNNNNNNNNNNNNNNNNNNNNNNNNNNNNNNNNNNNNNNNNNNNNNNNNNNNNNNNNNNNNNNNNNNNNNNNNNNNNNNNNNNNNNNNNNNNNNNNNNNNNNNNNNNNNAAUUUCACCUUUGGCUGUCACCAGGCAUAGGCUUCCCACCCAAGCUUUCCUCCUCUCUUAUGGCAGGAUUGAUACUACUUUUUGCCCCUUCUGUGAGAAAGUGCCUGACUCUAUUGACCAUCUAUUUUUUAAGUGUCGGGUCACGGCUGGUUUGGCUUUCUUUUGGGCAAUCAGAUGUAACCUUCUGUGGCGAAACCGGUCUUGGGAUGAAAAUCUCCUUUGGGCCACAACCUUUCUUGUGGGCAAUGACUUCUUCAAAAGCAUGGCGCGAUUUUCUUUUCGCGCUCUUUGUCAUAUCAUUUGGAGGAAUAGGAACAAUAUUCUCUUCAGAGAUGAGCCGCUGUCCAUUCUAGCCAUGAAGAAUCAUCUCCUCAAAGUGGUCAAAGAUAAGGCACUCUUUUUCAGGGAUGUGGAAGAUUCCUUCAGAAAUAGGAGACUACAGCGCAGUUGGGACUUGGAUCUGAGUAUCUUUGCUCUGCGCGUUUCCCUCUCGGGUGACUAGCCGUCUCUAGACCGACUGAUGUUGGUCUUUGUGUCGUCGUGCUUGUCUGGCGGUUGUUCAUGCUGUCUGGGUCUCUUUCUUUUCUUUUCUUGCUCUUGCCACUUGGCCUCUUUCUCAGCUUCCUUCCACUCAUAAUGAGCCUGUUCAUCUUGAGUGCAAGUUUCUAAAGCCGGUUCGUUUUGUACAUUUUGGUCUUCCCCAUUUAUAUAUUGCUUAUUUUACCAAAAAAAAAAAAACAAAGAAAUUUCCACAUUAAUUAUGUGCAAAACCCAACGCUGCCUAUAGGAUAUUAGAACUACUUGGUAUUACAGAUUACUGCAAUACAAAAAACACCGAUCAUGCUAGCAUACAUGUUCGAUUCCCAAUAUUUUGCCAAUUGGAACAAUUAGAUUGGUUCUGUUCCAUUAUAAGUUAGAUGUAAGAUGGCAGAGGCUCCCUGUUGUGAUCACCAAUUGGUUCCAUUGUAUUUUCAAUGCAAAGACCAGAUUCCUAUAAGUUCAAAUAGUGCAAGAACAAUAUAACAAGCUAACUGAAAAAGUCAUCGAAGUCACAAAAUGGAGAAAAAUGAGUAAAACUUACCAGAUGAUCGGAUGGCUCGCAAGCAAAACUAUGUGAGGUUUCUCAAAAGUUAUCUUGGCAAAUGCAACACUGCUUUUCUGACCACCUAUUUAUAUGGGCAAAGAAUCAUGUUAUAUGUGCAAUAACAUUCAAAAAGCCUCAGAGAAAGUACAGUGAACUGCAAUUUAGAUUACAAAUUAACUCACCUCUAAAAGAGCUUCACGACCUCACACAAAAAUUGCUUCAAUAAAAUUUUUUCAUAUGCAACAGUAACAGAGAGGGAGGAGAUGUAUCAGACAAGGUUUGCAUUCGUCGAACUGCAAGAUUUCCAGUUACACCAAACAAACACAAGUAAGCUCGAAACUUUUGUUCUGGAACUCCCCACACGAAAAAUGCCACAUAAGAAGGUAUUUUCAGAUAAAAUAACAUAAUGUAAGACAAAAUAAUAUUUCACAUUAGAGUAAACGCACAUGACUGAUACUUUAAAGAACUAAAUAGUUUUGCCCCAGAGGUCACUGCUGACAACACAAUCACAGAAGCAGGUAGCGUAUCAUUUCAAUCUCAACCAAACAAGCAUAAGUAGUUUGGCUACAAAUUUCUUGCAAGCUUUUAGUAAUAGUUCCUAACCCACUAGAGAUCAAGACCCAAGCGGAAGGUGAUUUAUGGAAUAUCAAUGCUGUCAUGAAUUGGUGUGGCAUUGAAAGGUUGGAGCCAUGAGGCGCCCCAGAAUUUUAUCCCAGAUCGACUGGUUAAUACUACAAAGGAUCAUCAUCAACAAAAAGAAGGUUCUCAAUGAUAAAGGAAACCAUUGAAAAAAAAAAAAAAAAAGGAAGUGCAUCCCUUUUCUUCACAAUCAUAUCACAGCAUCCACAUAACUAAUCAUGUUUUUAGAUUUUAGAAAAGAUUAUUCUUAUUUAGAUCGAAUUCACUAGAAGAAAAUUUAGAACAUCUCAAUGCACCAUAUAAAAUGAAAUGCUUCUUUUUUCUAUUAUUAAAUUGCAAAAGGUGACACUUAACAUUGACAGCAUUAGCCCCACCUCAACAGCAUUCGCAAGUGAUCCUUCCAAGAGAUUUUGCCAAUACAGAUCACAGUGGUAUUUGCAAAGCACCACAGUGAACAAGCUUAAGCGCAGAAGAGAAAAGAAGUUGGGAAGAGAAAAUACAACAAACGCUGAAAAGCAUAGUGCAUUUUGAUUCACAAUUUGUUUGGCGGGUCACGCAAGUGCGAAAGUAAGCACAGUUUUUGGGCAUCAAGAAGAGUUCAAGAUAUGUCAUCAAUAUAGCAAGAUGCAGCUUUGUGAACAGUUCGUUCUACAUAUGUCAAUCUUUCACCUUCAGUGGCUGGUUUUCGAAAAUUUAUGUGAAAAAUCUGAAUGAGGAAAAUCAGUUCGUAUCAAGCAUCGAAUUUAGGAACUGGCUUCACCUCAUUCGGUGGGUGCUCAUAACUCCUCAAACCUCCAGAGCUGGUGAAGCAGUAUCCUAAGUUGGAAGAGAAGGCAAUGUUAAAAAGGUGAACAAUUUGGCGCUCAAAAACCAUUGGAAGAGCAACAUUGUAAGUGAAAAUGCACAAAUCAAACAUGCAUACAGGUAAAGAGCACCAUUUUAAACAUAAAUUAUAAAUUUAGGUUUGGAACCAAUUUUUCCAAUAUGAUGUUACCCAACAAAAUAACAUUCUCCUAGGCAGGCUUUGGUUGCCGAUCUCUUCUCUGAGGAUGGAUAAGCUAUCAGAUCAGAGAUUGAGUCUUGGGGUUCGCCGCUUCCUUCCUUAUCUGGAACCCAAGAUCGGUUCUGUUGGAGGGAGGACUCGACGGGCUUGUUCUCGGUGGCCUCGGCUUGGGAGGCCUUAAGGAGGAAGAAGGCCAGAGUCAAUUGGCAUUGUUUCAUUUGGAGUAAUGCCAUCCUGCCUCGCUACCAACUGAACCUGUGGCUCAUCACCAAGAGGAGGUUACCUACUCAGUCUCUUCUCAUGUCUUAUGGUAGGAUUGAUGCUGCUUCCUGCCCUUUUUGCAACGAGGUGCCUGAUUCAAUCAAUCAUCUUUUUUUUGGUUGUCGCAUUACCUCGAGUAUUGCCUUUUUUUGGGCUACUAGAUGCAAUCUCCCCUGGACCAACAGGACUUGGGAGGAGACUCUCAGUUGGGCCAUUACGCUGAGCAAGGAGUUUUAUAAGUGUGUUGCCCGGUUCUCCUUUGGGGCGCUGUGUCACAUCAUCUGGAGAAACAGGAACAAUAUUCUAUUCAGGGGGGAGCCGUUAUCUAUUUCGGCCAUGAAGAAGCAUCUCCUCAAGGUUGUUAAGGAUAAGGCCUUUACCUUUGAAAAUGUUGAGGACUCUCCCAGGAACAGGCGGAUGCAACGCUCGUGGGAUGUGGACCCCAUUAUCUUCGCUUCCUCUGAUUAUAGUCUGACUUAGGCUUUUCGGUGGUUGUUUAGGUGUUUUUGCCAGGCUUGUUUUGCCGUUGGCUUGCUGUUGGUCGUUUUGUUUGCUUGUCCGCGGCUUCCUUUCACUCUUAAUGAGCGUGUUCAUUUUGAGUGUAAGCUUUUGGAGCCGUGUUGUUUGUACAGUUUGACCCCUAUUAAUAUAUUGCUUACUCUUACCAAAAAAACAAAAACAAAACAAAAUAACAUUCUCCUCUGAAUUCUGCUUAACAUCAGCAGAGCUCAUCCAUCCUUACUUUUCAUAUUGCAAUGCAUGGACUGAACCCCAGUGGAGCCGCAUCAACAAACCGAAAAAAAUAAUUACCUUUAGGGAAUGGUGCGAAAGAUUUCCCAAAGCCCAUCUUCACGACUUCUGCAUUAUCCAAGAGAACAAGACUGCCUCCAGACUCAAGUCCCCAGAAGAAAGGAACACUUCCAUCAACAUCCUGCAUGAUUCAGAGAACAGAAAGGAUUAGAUAUCGAUCACAGGUGACGGGAGAGAUUGAGAGUUAUAUCCCAGAACCAAACCAAUGAACAUUAUUAUUACUCAGAGGCCAGAAAAGCGGUUUUAGAACAGCUGUCGAAGAGCACAAAACCAAGCUUCCUGCUGAUGUCUCUCAUAACUUGAUCAGCAGGGUAAGGCCUCCGAUCCCCAGAGUCCUAUAAGCUUCUAUGAUGAUGACGACCACAUUAGCAGUUUUGUUCCAUCCAUACUGCUGCUUAAGAAGAGCAACAUUGUCUAUGUGUCCUUGGAACAAGCAGAAGAUAUUAUCGACAACCGCAAACAAUCUGCCACAGAGGGUAAGGCAUGUCAAAUCUUGAUGUGGGAUGAGCUGAUAAAGAAGAGAAGACAGUACCACAAUUUCCAUCAAUUAACAAUCCAAUAAAUUUCAUUUUCUGGCUUUCAAAUGAACUAGAGACUGGAGUUCCACUAUCUCUUCGAGGCUGAUAUAUCGAACCUUUCAAAAUAUCACAAUAAAGUCCACCAAAAAUCAGUUUGAUCUAACUGUUGCCUCUCCAAACAAUGAAAUCGUGAUUCUUUUUUUUUUUUUUUUUUUUUGUGGUUAAAGCUACCAUUAUCAAGAGAUGGAGUGGGUAUUUGAAUAGAAGAAAGAUAAACUUUAUUCUUUGACUAGGUAAUCAGUUUUUAAGUGGGUUUCGGCCUGCAUGGUUCGUUCAAAAUUUAGCUGUUUCAUUUGCAUAUUCAAACCCCCGUUUUCAAUUUAUCCUUCCAUCUAUACAAUAACUGUUAUUAGAAGAAAGAAAGCUUCUUAUUUUGAAUAUUGACCUGAACAUGUUAAAAGGAUAUUAUCCAACCAAUUCACGUACAGGAUUUCAUAUAGUAUUUUUGGCUAGGCAUGGCCUACAAUAUAGUUACUAAAAGCAAUUCUGUACAUAGAGUCAAAAGUACAAACUUUUUAAGAUAUUGGCAAGUGAUACUGCAUAUUCAAUGUUAAAAACUUAAGACUCAUCCUUCCAUGAGCCCUAAUCAAAUGACAAACAAGGGCUACUGUUACCGUGAGUACAUCCUAUAUAUCAGCAGCAAUCCUCUCUUCAUCCUUUUUCGCUCUCUCUGUAACAAAGCCUCAUUUUAUGUUUUGUAAGGUAAUGUGAUGUGAUCCCAUUGAACCACUCUCGGCUGAUGACGAACUAAACUUGCCUGAUUCAACGAGGACUGAAGUAUCUUCUUAUGAUCCUGGAAAUUCCCAUGGAAAGGCACCAGCUUGCCUUGAGAAACCACCCAGAGCUCAUCCAUGCUUCCAGAUAUUGGAUGCUCAUUGUGACUAACCUGCAAAUCAAGGUGAAAAGAUGGCUAUUAGCUGUAAAGGCAGUCCAUCAUUGGUCAAAUUGAAGUAUUUUGACAAGAAAAUCAAUCUCACCAUCAGACAUCUUCCUUGGAACAAGACCAGACCUUGAAUGACCGCCUCAACCGCAUCCAUAUCCUGUAGUUUGGGAUAGUAAAAAUCACAGAAUCAUACUCAUCAAUCCUUAGAAAAGAAACUAGCAAUUUACAAAGAUAAAACUUUAGUAGUCAUAGGUCAUUAAAGCAGAACUUAAAGUCCACAUUUAUAAACAAAGAAAUUUCCACAUUAAUUAUGUGCAAAACCCAAUGCUGCCUAUAGGAUAUUGGAAAUACUUGGUAUUAUGGAUUACUGCAAGACAAAAACACUGAUCGUGCUAGCAUACAUGUUCGAUUCCCAAUAUUUUGCCAGUUGGAACAAUUAGAUUGGUUUUGUUCCAUUAUAAGUUAGAUGUAAGAUGGCAGAGGCUCCCUGUUGUGAUCACUAAUUGGUUCCAUUGUAUUUUCAAUGUAAAGACCAGAUUCCUAUAAGUUCAAAUAGUGCAAGAACAAUAUAACAAGCUAACUGAAAAAGUCAUCGAAGUCACAAAAUGAAGAAAAAUGAGCAAAACUUACCAGAUGAUAGGAUGGCUCGCAAGCAAAACUAUGUAUGGUUUCUCGAAAUUUAUCUUGGCAAAUGCAACACUGCUUUUCUGACCACCUAUUUAUAUAGGCAAAGCACCAUGUCACAUGUGCAAUAACAUCCAAAAAGCCUCAGAGAAAGUACACAGCGAGCCGCAAUUUAGAUCACAAAUUAACUAACCUCUAACAAAGCUUCACAAUCUCACAUGAAAAUUGCUUCAACCAAAAAUUUACAUAUGCAACAGUAGCAUAGAGGGUGGAGAUAUAUCAGACAAGGUUUGCAUUCGUCAAAGUGCAAGAUUUCCAGUUACACCAAACAAACACAAGUGAGCUUGAAACUUUUGUUCCAGAACUCCCUAUAGGAAGAAUGCCACAUAAGAAGGUAUUUUCAAAUAAAAUAACAUUGUGAAUAUUGACAGUGCACCUAAUUCUUUCCUCUUGCAAUCAAAAGGCAAUCACAUUGAAGUACUUUUCUCUUGCAAACUUCGCACAAUCGCAAAUUGCCCUUGCCAACGGCUUUGGCAAAAAUAUCCACCAAAUAUCACCAUGGCAAAGCAAGACUACCAAACACAACAAUCAUCAGUAUGGCCAAUUGAAGUCAUAGAACAAGAAAAAUCUAAGAUGAGAGUGGAUACAAGAGAAACCGAUUCCACACGAGGUCCACAGCAUAAGACUUCACAUCGGUAGCGAUUGAUUUAGUCAUCUAGUCAUAAAGAGAAACGACAACAAUGACUACCGCUUCAUUCAUUCAUUCUACCUCACACAGCACACAUUUCUUUCGCAGACAUUGUCAACAAGAGACGAAGAACAUAUCAAUUGUCAACCAAACAAAAUGUGCAGGACAACCUUGGUGAGAUAAAAAUGGAGAAGUCACAAAUACGACCUAUUUUAAUUUCACAAUAUUUACUCGAUUGCUUUAGGCGGUGCUCAAGAUUGGCAAAAGGAUUUUACCUGAGAACCCCUGCAGAAUGGCUGCACAGCAAAUCGAGAGCGUCGAUUGUGGUCAAAUGCUAAAGAUCACCUUCGAUGUCCUCCCCUCGAGCAGAAAUAUACCCUUGCGAAAUCAAUGGCUGGAUGAGACGAAGUAUGAAUUUUUCCUCAUUUUUUAUCGCACUCUUCGGAAUGAAGCGAUACACCCAAACCUUUCAGCGAUUUUUUUCAUGUCCCUCCCCAAAUCAAAACGAGUAUGGAAAUACGAUAUCCAAAAAUUAAAAAUACAAAAAUUAAAAAUACAAAAAUCUGGGAAACAAGGUCCCACAUACCUUCAGUGAAGAAAAUUAGGGCUAGAUCUGCAAAUCAAAUGAUAUGUUCGGGAUGUGAGCGACCUUGUCCCAGUCCUCGCCUGCUUGUCUUUUGCAACUCUCCUCCAAUUCUCCGCACUUGUAGAUGUUUAGGUGAGUAAGGGAUGUGAGCCUUCAUAUUGCUUGAGGGAAUGAUGUCAACAAGUUGCACCCUCUGAUGUCGAGAAUUUGAAGUGAUUGAAGGGCCUCGAUCUGCUCUGGUAUAUCCUUCAAAUUUUGGCAUCCCCAAAUUUCGAGACGCUCGAGAUUGCGGGCCUGUAGAAGCCACUGUGAGAGUGAUGUCAAUUUGGGAAGCUCAUAGAUUUCCACGGAGCGGAGACAGUGAAGGCCUCCAUGGAAAUCCAAGAUGAUGUCGCGGCUUUCGUCUUUGGAUAUAUCCAGCUCCUCACAGUCCCGGAUAGAGAGAUCCAUGAGGCUCGAUAGAUGACGCAUACCUUGCGAGAGGGAAGUCAACUUAUGACACCACGAGAUGGUAAGAGAUUCAAGGGAAGUGAGACUUUGGAAACCCUUCACAGGCAAACAUUUCGGUAACUCUACAUCCUCGAUAUUCAGUCUCUUCAACUUAUUAAGGCCAAGCAUCAUCUGAUUUAUCAACAACGCUCCGUUGGCACGUGUCAGAUCGAACUCCUCGAGAUGAGGAGUUAGUGGCAUGGCUUUUAAUUUUUCACAGUCCUCGAUCUCCAAUUGCAAUAGAAUAGGAAAUGAUGCUGGUGAAGGGGAUGAUUGGUCCGACUCAAUAUAUUCCAAUUUAGGCAUAAGAUAAAUAUGCAAAGACUUGAGGCAAGGUAGUUGGUCCAGUGGGGGGAGACGUUCACAUCUUUUGCAAGCAUUGAACGAUACGUCGACUAAAUGUGGCAAGAAAGAUACAAGGCUAUCCAUCAUCCACUUGGGAAAGCUCUCACCUUUAUAUUCCCAGAUCUCCAACCUUUGUAGAUUUGAGGGCGGCUUUAGUCUAUCAAACAGCACUUCAUCUAUUACUACAUCAUCAGUAUUGAACUCGCCCCAACUAAGUACCAAAAAUUCCAGAGAAUGCUUCUCCAUCAAUAUCUCAUCCUCGCAUUUGACUUCCGCAUUUGUUACGUAUCCCAAAUUUUCAAUUGAAAGUUCUCCCCGGAGGUUAUUAAGCCCCUUUAGCUCCCCAAGUCCGCAAUAAUUCUUAGCACGAGCUUUAUCUUUGGGCAAAAUGAAGUUCGUUAGCCUAUGCAAAGAACUCAAUUCCCCUAUUCCACAUGGCAAAUAACUAAGUUUCAAACAACCAUCUAUGUCCAGAUUUCGAAGGCCGACUAACUUCCUUAUAUCAUUUGGCAACUCUUCGAGGGCAUCACAGAAAUUGAGAUUAAGUGUUUGCAAGCUCUGCAAUUUCGUAAUGGAGUUAGGAAGCCUUUUGAGUGUGCGGUUGUAAGAGAGAUCGAGAUAAGUGAGAUACUUUAACUUAUAAAUGGACCUUGGCACCUUCUCGACCUCUGUGGCUUGCAGAUCCAAGAUGCGCAACCUCUUGAAAUUUUGAAUUAAUUGGAGUAGGUCUACUUCACUUGUUAGAUUUCUUCCCCAACCUCCAACCCUACGUUUGGUCGUCCGGAUUUCUAAUCGGGAUAGGAUUGGAUAGGAUAGGAUAUGAAAUCCUGGGAUUUUUUUAUAUCCCGUCUAGUAUUUGGUGAAUCGCAGUAUUAAAGUCGGAUAUGUUCACAUUAUGUACAUUUUUUUUUAUAUAAACGACAUAUUAUUAUAAAUGAACCUAAAUGUUCAUAAAUAAAGACGGUGAAAAUAUCUCGUAACAUUAUUCCUUAAUUUAUUUAUUAUUUAUUAUUUAUUUUAUUUUUUCUCUUUUUUUUAUAUUAUUUUCAUUAUUAUUUCUUUUUCCCCUUUCAUCAUUCUUUAAUAAAAAUUUAUCAAAUAGUAAACUGUACUAACAUACCUAAAAUACAAAAAUACCUAAAAUAUAUAAUAAAUAUAAAUAUUUAAUUUAUAGGUUGAAUGUUUAUUAUAAAAUAUAAUUAAAACUGAAUAUAGAAAUUAAAAUAAGAUUAAUUAAAAAUAAAUUUUUAUUUUCUUAAAUUAGAAUUCAAAUAUUAUUUAUAUUGAAAUAUAAUUUCAAUUUUUUUAAUUUAAUAAGUUUGUUAUUCAAGAAAAAUAACUUUCCUUUUAUGGACAUUAGAAAUCCUAUCCACCUUUAUCCCACCUCCCCCAUGGGAUAAUUUUAUCCUGUCUAUAUCCCCCUUAUAUCCGACUUUAUCCUAUCCCGAGUGAGCACCAAACGUAGGAUAGGAUAAAUUAUAUCCUAUCCCGAAUUUUAUCCCGACUGCCAAACGCAGCCCAAUAGUACACAAAAAUGUUCUCAACACACUUGGUUUCAAGCGUGAGAUUGGAAGUUCACCCAUCAAAUUGAAAGUCAAACCAUAGGAUAUAUGACGAGUUCUUUCAUUUAUUUGAUUUAUGUCAUCCCUUGCCACCCAACACUUGUUCCUUGCAACCGAGCAGGCUAGAUCAUGCAUCAAAUCAUGCAUCUUGCAAGUUUCCUCCUUCGUGUAUGGAUCUUUUUUUAAAUCUUGGAAGAAGUUACUCCAACAUAGAUCCAUGAAAUAGUCAUGACCAAUGUCUUCUAAAAGCUUACCUGAAUUUGAUGGCUGGAUAAAUCCUUCUGCCAUCCAAAGAUCAACUAAAGUAUGCUUCUUUAUCUCAAAAUCUUUGGGAAACAAUGAACAAAUGGUGAAACAUUGUUUCAAAUGUGAAGGAAGAUGGUCAUAACUUAGCCUGAGAAUAGAUAUUAUAUCGUCUUUCAUUUGAGACACUUUUGGGAGCUCAACAUCUUUAAAACGUAACCAUUCAUCUUUAGUUUCCUUAAAGAAUAAUAACCUCCCAAUAGUUCGAACAAUCAAUGGAACUCCAUAACAAUUUUUAACUAUCUCUUUACCAAUAGCUAGCAUGCUAGGAUCUUGUCUAGCCCCUUCUUUUCGACCAGCCAUUUGCAUCAACAAAUCAAGAGAAUCACUUUCAGAUAAGCCAUUAAGAAGAAGAGGCGGAGCAGGGGAGGUGAUCUUUGCAACCAAAGGAAGGCGUGUAGUUAUAAGGAUCUUGCUUCCUCUAGCACCUCCCAUCAAUAAUGAUUUCAAGUCGGGCCAUGUUUCUAAUUUUGCAUCCCACAAAUCAUCCAAAACUAAGAGAUAUCUCCUUUUAUCAAUUAUUGUCCUAAGUUUACUUUGCAACCUAUCCAUCACAUUGUGGUUUGGUGGUUCUGUCUCCUCCACACAAACUAUGAUAUCUUUCACUAUUUUUAUCAUGUCAAAGUCAUUAGAGACACAAACCCACAUUUUCAAGUGAAAAAUGUUUACUAAUCAUCUCAUCAUUAUACACAAAUUUAGCAAGAGCUGUUUUUCCAAGCCCACCAAUACCAACUAUUGGAAGGAUAGAAAUGUUCUCUUUCACAUCCAUAUCCAGUAAGAAUUUCAUGACAUUCUUUUUAUCAUUACCUCUUCCAAUAAUGUCUUCCUCACAUAUAAACGAAUGCGUCUCCUCUCUCUUCCUCCACCCUCUCUUUGCUUGCGAAUUCAUAGGUCCCUUGUCCAAGUAGAAGUUCUUUUCAGCCUCAAUAUCUAUCAAUCUCUCCCUCACUUCUCUUAUUUUUCUACUCAUCUUCAGUUCAAAAGCAAGCUGGUUUGAACUUGAGAAAAAUGUUCUUACUGCCUUGAUCAUCUGAUUGUCGCCCCUCAGUUCUCGUUGCAUAGCUUCUAUAUUAAAUUCUUCAAGCACGUCCUGCAAGUCAUAGAAAGCCUCUUUUAGUUUCUCCACCCAAUCUUUGAUUUGGGAACUCUGGUGUUGUUGCUCUUCUGCAUCGUCCAGCACAGAAUGAAGCAUGGUGACGGUGCUCCUGAGCAUCUGAAGUUCACGCUUGAUGCCCCCCUAAAUUUCCAACCUUUCCCAGUGCUUGAGUAAUCAGAUUGGCAAGGACGCUUCCACCAAUGCUGAUGACAGCUUCUGCCAUAUUUGUUCUCUCUAUCUCUCUUUCUCUAUGGGGUUGAGAAGAUUUUAGUCCUGUCGUUCCAAGGCUAGAGUCUUCUUAGAUGAUGUAUAAAAAGUCUGUCAUUGAGAUUAAAUAAGUGUACAAUAAUAGUAGAUAAUAGAAAAUAUUUAACUGACAAAUAGUAAUUCCAAAGCAUCCUAUGUCAUGUAAGAUUCCAUCCCAUCUAAUAAGUAAGGCGAGUUCCUAUUCAUACAUUCUUCUAGAAACAUUAUGUUAGAUUAUAUUAGAUUGAUUAAGGUUUUUUUCUACCAUACUGUUAAGUAAUAUGUCUAAUUAACAUUAAGGAAAUUGGGAGGUAAUUGAGUGAUGAUGUGGUUCGACCGUUAAGCUCCAUUUUGCUGGACUUUCUUCUUAGUUUGGUUUUAAUAUACGAUGCGUAAUAAAUUAAAACGAAACAAGGUAAUCACAAUGAUCGGAGGCUUUUUAAAAAAUAAAUUUAAUUUUGUGCUUUCUUAUGUAAAAUUCAAAAUGUUCUUUAAAUAUAAAAAGUCAUUAUUCAAAUUACAUAUUAAUGUUUACGUGUUGUGAAAAUUUCAUAUGUUUCAAGACAAAAUAAUGUAAAAUGUAGACCGAGACAACAUUAGAAGAAACAAAAAUAAAAUGUAAAAGUCUAUCAAGACAAGCCGUGAGCUAAGUUGGUGAUGCUCUUGAAAUCCGCUAGAGGUGUUGGACCAUGUCGUUGUCCUUUGUACUUGUUAUCUUUUCUUUUUUCCUUACUUUUUCUCUUUUUGGGCGAACAGAAAGUGUAAGGUAACAUGAUGUUGAAGCAAAGCCACAAUUUUUCACUUCAUUGGCCGACAAAUGAGAAUCAAAAUCCACUUACGAGGGCUACACUACAUCCACCACAAUCUGCUCAAGCCCGGAAACUAUCUCAUUGCAGCUUAGAAAGUUAUCAUAGCUGUCUUGAAAGGGGCAGCAGCAUAGGGAAUGCCCCGAUGGAUGCCCACUCUCUAGUGUUCAGUGGACAAGAUCAGCUUAUGCUAGGUGAUAAAAUGUUGUAUUUUGCAAGACCGUACGUGUCAGAGAACAAGACAAAUGAAGAUAUUGAGUCUCAAGGUCUAGCGUCCCUGUCAAUUUGUGCACAAUCUCUUUUGAACUCUUUACCAAGCCCCUUUUCUUAUUAGUGUUGAACUCAAGUUCUUCUAAAUCACAUCCAACGAGUACGAUAAAUGUGUCCCAAUAUAUGAACUAUUUGAAGAAAAAGUACAUAAAAUGGUCAAGUCCAUAUAAAUGAGUAAUAGCAUGAGUCUUAACAUGAUACUAAAUAUUUCAUGAAACAUUUGGCAAGAUGCUUGCGAUCUUUAAUAAGGAUAGCAGGUGUUGCAGGUUCUUAUUCACUGAUAAUCACAAUUAGUUGUUGUAUUUGGUCACUCCCCCUUCCAUGUUAGUUGCAUGUUCAUAAUUUCUAUGGAUGCUGAUUCAAUUAUAUUUAAUUCCAUUUCUUUCUAACCGCCCCUUGCUCUACCAGGAUUUUCAAAAGAAAUCAUGUGACUCUUAGUAUGUACGUAACGAUAAUUGUAAUUUUUCAUGUGAGCAGUAACUUUUUACAAGAUAUUCGACUUCCAAUAUAUAAAUAAGUACUCACCUAUUUACAUUAUUAAUAAUCACAAAAGGUAACCUAUCUACAUUGAUUCUUAUCGUCCCAUGUAUUUUAAAAAAAGGACAAGUUUGAAAAAAAAAAUUGAUGAUUUUUGCAAUGUAAUAGUAAAUCUUAAUUUGUAAGACCAAAAAUUUACAUAAAGUUUGUGACCUAUUCAUGGGACGAGUAAGUUUUGCUUUAAAAAAGUAAUUACCACCGACCCUGUUUAAUAAAAGAAAAUAUAGGAAUUGACAAACAAUAUUUAAGCCGCCCACGGGUCUAGAAAGUGAAAAUUAAAGUUUUUUUUUUCUCAGCAGCUGUAAAUGAAAAUUUCUCCCAAGGGGGCUAAAGAACAAAUGAGCCCGGCUUUUUUCUGAUGAUGCCCAUUUUCCUAGUUUCAUCACAUGCUUUCCUUAGAAAACAGUGCACGUUCACAUGCUUUCCUUCUAAUACAGUGCCGGUUAACAUGCAUGCCUCAGUUGUUUUGUAGUAAACACCGGAGUAUUAAGAUUUAAUAGAACUUGGAUCUUGAGAAGACGGAAAAUUAUCAUAGCUGCGGGGGCAACUUAAAAUCUAACUUCACAUGGUAAAAAAAAUUUAUGUUAACGAAUUUCUGCUUUUGUCUGAAUAAAAAACUGAAGAAAAGAUUAUGAAGUAUAAAUUGUGAAUGAAGUAGUAUGAAACUUUUGUGGGCAAGAAAUUGCAAAUUGGUAUAGAAGUACGAUGUGCAGUGGGAUAACAAAAAAGCAAGCUGAUGAGGAUGCUUUUGGACUUUAGAUUUUAAUAUGCGGAAUGGUAGAACGGCUCUUAAAGUUGGCUAAUCUUCUCUUGUGAAUUCCAUUUAGAAUUGGAAAUUGGGACAUGUUACAUCUUCUUAUGUGCCCAAUUUGAAGAAGGCUAAAUAUCCUAAAUAUGUAAAUCUUUACACCAUAUAAGUCAUUUUUAAAUCCAAAUAAAAGACUUCGAUAGUUUCCCUAAGCAUUCUUUGUUUCAUCAAUUUAUUCAUUUUUAGAAAAGCUCUCUGGUUAGUCUCUAUAAGAAAGAACGAACCUGGCUAAUAGUGGGCUGAUCAACGGCCGACCAACAAAGGCGAGGCCCCAACCGGCUAGAUCAAGAGAGGAGGACAGGAGACGGUGUCGACAAGAUCAAGAGAGAGAUGAGAUGAGAUGGCAUGGGCAAAGACUCCAAGAAUAGAGAGAUUAAGGGCACUGCUAGGGAAAGUCAAGAGACGAAGAGUCUGAGAGAGAGGCUAGCUAUGGGAGUGAGAACUAAAAGAGAGUAGCGAGGGUCUUUAAAUUUAAAAGAUUUAGCACUGCUUUGAACUGUUCCAAAUAGGGGUGAUUGGUCCAGGGUGGGUAGGUUAUAGACCUAGACCCUGUACCCGACCUUAUUAUAACCGGUUCCCCUUUUUUGGACCAUGUACCCGACCCACCCUAUUUUUUCGGUCCAGUUCUAGGGUUAACCCUGUUUAUAUUGGAACCUGUUUUGCAAUUGCCCAUCCUAUACGACUUCGAAUUUUAUAUUAAUACGCGAUAAAACAACAUAAUUCUUCUAAUUUAUAUUGAAACAUUAAGCACUUGUAAUUAAUAAGUAAAUAAACUUUUUGACUAAACAAAAAACUAAGGAUUCACAAGGCAAAUUAUCAUAAACAAAAUCAUAAGGAAACUAGCUCCUGAUAUGACGCCUCCCAUGAUCAAAUAUAUUCUCUAGGGGAUAUCCAAGGGUGAUUCAUUCAUCUCAGGAAGUCACUCCGAAGCUGUACGUUUAAUUUAAACAGAAUGUCUUGAAACCCAUCGAUCGGACAUCACUUAUAUAAGACAAGGAAGAAAAUCCAGUGCAGCUGAAGCCAGAUAAGAGAUUUCAGGAGCUUGAAAACUGCAGAUCCUACACCAUCAGUCUCAUUAGCAUUGUUUUCAAGAUCCAUCUCUCGAUUCCAUGACAGAAUAUCACUACAAUCCCUGAAAACCUAUACCUCAAACAGUUUACUUGACUGCUUUUUCGAAAACGUUGAUCCAGAGUUUUCCAUUGGCAGAAGAUGUAGCAUAGUUUACAUGAGACAAUCUACGGUGACUACUACCCCGAAUGAUUUUAAGUUUUCUUUUCAGCCUGCUUCAAUGGAGAACCAAACACUUCACCAUGAAAACCCAAAUCUGCUACGUUGAUUAAUUAAAUGGCAAAUUAUCAAUGCUUGGAAGGCAGGACCGAACCAUUAAAGCUAUUAGUAGACGCCCACUGAAAAGUUCACGACACAGCAGGCAAUGAUCCGUUCAAUGAAUCCAAAGCGCAAUACUUAUCGUUCAUACUUCAGAACUGGGAGUUGCAUCGAGACAAGCAUUGAUUGCAAGACAAGCAUUAACAAGGAAAUGGUUUGCAACAGCAUGACAAUUUCAAUUAAACUCUCUUGCACAAAACAAAAAUCAUUUUCAAUUCAAGUACAAAAAGAACCAAAGUGAACAGCAGUUUAAUAAUUUUCACUUCAAAUGUGUCAAUAAAUCAAAAACAAUUAGACAGACCCAUUUGGAAAAUUUGGUUUGGUACAGAAGUUUUUUGAGCUUAUAAGAAAAAGAGAGAGAGAGCAGCUUAAAGGUGCUUGAAACCUACAUAAACAAAUUGAAAUCUUAAAACCUAGCUUGAUAUCUACACAUCAAAGGCUAUCAUUGAGCUGAUCUACAUAGACUAUUUAUAAUCCCACUACCUUCCCCAAUGAGAAUAUUUAUAAUCCAAACUGUAUGGCGAUAUAUGUGGUAAAUUAUUAAAAUGGGACUCCAUCCAACCAAAUUCAACUACGUAACAAACAUUGAGAUUCCUACUAAAAUCAAUAAUCUUAAAGCAGUCUCGUCUUCCAAACCAACUCAAAAUUUGGAGAGAAAUAUAUAGAAAGUUGGGAAACCAAAAACAGUUCAUGCUGUCUAGAAGACCAGCUCGUGCGGCUUCAUGCCCGCCUUCAAGGAGAACCUGGCAGCUAAGUAUGUCUUCAAAUAAAGUAUGAAGACACAAGAACAUAAUANNNNNNNNNNNNNNNNNNNNNNNNNNNNNNNNNNNNNNNNNNNNNNNNNNNNNNNNNNNNNNNNNNNNNNNNNNNNNNNNNNNNNNNNNNNNNNNNNNNNUUUCUGUUCUUUUUUUGUUCCAGGGAACAUAAAUAAAAAAAGUGUUUCUGUUCCGGGGAACAAUUUUUGAACAAAAGAACGCGUUUGGUAACGUUUGUUCCGGGAAUAAAAAAUGAAUAGAAACACGUUUGGUAAAUUUUAUUCUUUUUUGUUUCUUUUAAUUUUUUAAACAUUUUUAUUUUAUUUUUCAUUUUUUCCUUUCUUUUUUUCUUUUUUCUUUUUUCGGCCGGUCCCCGGCCUCCGGCGACCGGCCGACGGGGCCGGCAGCCUCGCCCAGCCACGGCGAGGCUCGCCGUGGUUGGGCGAGGCUCGGCCUCGCCGGGGGCCGGCGACGCUCGGCCUCACCGGAUCUGGGCGAGGCUCGGCCUUGCCGGGGACCGGCGACGCUCCGGCGAGGUCGCCGACCCUCGACGGUGUCGCCGGCCAAAGAAAAAAGAAGAAAAAAAAGAAGAAGAAAAGAAGAAGAAAAGGGAAGAGAUAGAAUUUUUGUUCUUUUUUUGCUUCGAAGAAGUGUUUCUUUUCUCAGAAACAAUUUCUUUUUUUUGUUCCUAUUUCGUUCCAGGAACAAAAAAACAAAAAAAGAACAGAAACGCAACCAAACGCGUUUCUGUUCUUUUUUUGUUCCCGGGAACAAAAUCCGUACAGAAGUGUUCUAGAAACGUUUCUUUGGAGCGUUUCCAUGCACGCCCGAAAUGAACCUAGAGCUUUAUUUUGUAUGAUAAAGGAGAAAUUCAGCUUUCUGUCCUUUAGCAUCGCAGUUGAGGGGCAGAAGGAUCAGUACGAACCCAGCUUACCCGAGUUCUACGAUUUCUUCCCUCUCUCCCCUAGCUUACCCCUACUCAUUCACAAUGAGUUCCCAUAUGAACAAAAAAAUUCAAAAUUUUCCACCAAUUUGACAAGAAAUCCAGCUCAGGAAAGCACCCCCAAAGAAGAGAAAAUAUUGGCUGGGUUUUACCCUCCACGUAGGCGAUGGGUAAGACCACUCAGUGAUCGACACGUGGCGCCACGUAGCGACGGCGUCAGAAGUUUAAAAUUUUCGCGCGCCGCUCCUGAAGCCCACCACUCUGACACUCUCUCUCCUCUGUUCUCCUCUGUGACCUGUCCACUCGUCCUCUCUCUCCUCUCUCUCCCCGUUCUCCCCGUUCUCCGUUCCAUUUUGCGGGAGAACAAAAGUCGCAGGUGCUUCUUUUCGAAUGCUCUUCCCCCUCCUCUGCUCUCUCUCCUCCGCUGGCAACCCGCGACGCCUCGCCUACAAGCGUGAGCAUGUUGUUUUUCAGUGAUGUGNNNNNNNNNNNNNNNNNNNNNNNNNNNNNNNNNNNNNNNNNNNNNNNNNNNNNNNNNNNNNNNNNNNNNNNNNNNNNNNNNNNNNNNNNNNNNNNNNNNNNNNNNNNNNNNNNNNNNNNNNNNNNNNNNNNNNNNNNNNNNNNNNNNNNNNNNNNNNNNNNNNNNNNNNNNNNNNNNNNNNNNNNNNNNNNNNNNNNNNNNNNNNNNNNNNNNNNNNNNNNNNNNNNNNNNNNNNNNNNNNNNNNNNNNNNNNNNNNNNNNNNNNNNNNNNNNNNNNNNNNNNNNNNNNNNNNNNNNNNNNNNNNNNNNNNNNNNNNNNNNNNNNNNNNNNNNNNNNNNNNNNNNNNNNNNNNNNNNNNNNNNNNNNNNNNNNNNNNNNNNNNNNNNNNNNNNNNNNNNNNNNNNNNNNNNNNNNNNNNNNNNNNNNNNNNNNNNNNNNNNNNNNNNNNNNNNNNNNNNNNNNNNNNNNNNNNNNNNNNNNNNNNNNNNNNNNNNNNNNNNNNNNNNNCGCCUCCACCUCCGCCUCCGCCUCCACAGGUUGCCUCCGCCUCCACCUCCGCCUUCACAAGGGACAUCGACGACCUGAAGAUUGCUGUUACUAUCCCGUCAGUCCUUUCGGCACAAAGGUUAGUCUCAUACCGUAAGGUAUGAUGUUUAACAAAUGCUGAUGGUUCAAAUGGUCAAAUCUUAGAGUGGGAACAUGUACCUGCUAUGAUAGCUGGUAUAGUUUCUUUGGUUUGCACUUGAGUUUCCUCUUUGCAUGGUGGGUUCUUUCUGUAGAUUUGAGGUUUGUCACCAUGUUGCCCAUGAUAAUUCUGUUUUCUUAAUGUUCCAAUUAAAGAAUAAUAACAGAACAAGUGCUGGUUUUCUCACUGAUAAUUGUGUUUAUUUACUGAUCAUGUGUGCCUAAUAGGUUUUGUCUAGUAGCAAAAGCACCUUUGUGAAAGGAGCCUGUGGAGUUGGCUUGGCUUUUUCAUGCCAGGAUCUUCUAACUAGGACCGAAGCUGCUGAUAAUGCUGACAGAGAUUCCUACAAGAUGGCUGAAGUUGAAUUAGUAGGGAAUAUUAUCCGGUCAUUAUCUAUCACGAUCUUGGAACUUACAAAAUCAACAUCCCAGAUUCUUCAAAGUCUGUGUGAACAUUUUCCCAAUGACAUGUGUGAGAAUGGUAGAUGUCAGAAUCCUCAUUUCUUGAAUGAGGACAGUGAUCUUGUGGAGGAAGACACCUGGGUCUUGCUGGACUUGUUCUUGGUUUGGGCAGCUCUAUUAGUGCAGUUUACCGAAGUGGGGAAAUUGAUGUGACACUGAAGAUAAAGGACUUGAUAACUUCAUGGAUUCCACACACGGAGCCAUUUGUUUGGAGCUCUAACUCCUGCAAUGAAGGAUCUGAGAUGCUUCUAUCUGUUGGAUCUUGUCUUGCACUUCCCAUGGUUGUGGCUUUCUGCCAGAGAGUAGAAUUGGUGGAUGUUGGUGAACUAAACCAACUGAUGAAUAGUUAUAGAGAACUUAUAUCUGAAUUAUUGUCUGUUAAAAAGUCAGGUGCAUUCCACCAGAGCUUGUUGAUGGAAUCAUGUGCUGGAGCAGGGAGUCUCCUUGCCUGUGUUGUGAAGGAAGGCAUAGAUUCCAUUGAAGUUGGAUGUCUGAAAGAAUUACUGGAAUUGUUGAGGAGAUAUUAUUCCAAUCCUCAGCCUCCCUCCACUUAUCUGGGAGGGAUGCUUGGAAUGGUUAAUUCUUUGGGUGCAGAAGCUGGGUUGGUUCUGAUUCAUCCCUUAUCCUCCAAUUAUGGUCGUUACAGGCUGAAGGUGAUUGAGGAUUUUCCUCAACUAGCCUUCUAAUCAUUUUUCAUGGUCCUUGUUUCUUACAGUGAAAUGUUCUCUUGGCAGGAAUCUUCUCAUAUAAUACGUGCGCUUCUUUCAAGUCCUGUCUGCGAGCCUUUGUUAACAUCAUCAAUGCAAGAGAUGUUUCUUGUUGCUCAACAUUCUGAAGAUAAUCAGCUGCAACAAUACUCUGCGUGGGCACAUUCUCUUUUCUUCGACAUAGUCUGUGGUCCAAGGAAGUAAAUUCGGAUGAUCAUAUUCAGACUGAUACCACUGUCUCAGAAGUUGCUUCUCAAAGUUUCUCCAAUGACAGUAUAGUCAUUAAACUCUGCUCAUGGUUAACGAUUGUGAAUUCAUCAAAGAUGAAUAGGCCAAAUACAGAGGUGAUGAGCUCCAUUUAUUGUUCUUGUUUCAGAAUUCUUCAUGUUGAAAGUUUAUGUCACUCUAUAUAUGAUGAAGGACUCACUAUAAAACUUUAGUCAGAAGUGGUUAUCAUGGACUCACAAAAUCAACUUAUAUUUUGCUUUCUGAAGUGUUUGAUUUUCCCUUGUUGGUGUAUUUUCUGUUGUUGAGACUCAAAAUUCUUGAAUAGAACGAAAUGAAGACAUGUCCAACAUAUGGUUCAAGAUGACCUAUAACCUUGUGAAUGCAGUGGUGAUCAAAAUAGAAGUUACUAGAUUUGUUUGAUGGGUUUUCUUUAACAUUUGACUUGCAGACACAUGGAAUGUGCUUGUUGAAGUUGUAGCAACUUUACAACGUGCUGAAGGAAGCAUUAAAAGACAGUGGCUUGUUUAUGCAGUGGAGAUUAGCUAUGUCUCUAAUUUUCCCUCUACGGUAUGCAACUAUUCCCAUACUUUUUGACGCAUUACUAAUGAAAUGGAUAGGGCAUUAACUAUUGCUUCUGUUCAUAAGUUGUACGUGUCUCGGUUUGCUUGAAGGCUUGUCCAUACCCAGCAUGUUAUAUUAAUUGCAAUUAACAAUGAUGAAUAAAAAAUGACUUCAAAAGUAUUUAAGUUUUGACUUAUAAAUUAGAGUCAAACAACAAAAGAAGUCGGUCCUGCCUUUUUGUUCCCCCUUAACUCUCUUAGUCCCAUUCUAAUUAUCGAUUGAAGGUACUCAAGUAAUGUGAGUUGAAAGAGAUGCUUUCUUGUAUUCAGUGUGUUGUACUGCAUCGGGAUUAUGAGUGAUGAUGCUUAAGUGUUUAGUAAACACACCACUAGCUCUUUGUUUUCAGGACAGGUUUGCCUCUAUAGUAAGAUGUUAAGUUUCCAUUUUAUUACCUCAGCUCUGUUGCCUCGUGAUAAAAUGGGUUUCUGCUCAUGUGGAAAGAUGGAGCAAAUGGGAUUCGCUUAUUUGUGUUGCUGCUGUAAGAUUACAUGUCUGUUCAUCAUGCUUCUAUGUAACUUUCUUAAUCUCUUGCAGCCAAUGCAAUUUAUUGGCCUGCUCUCAGGCAGUUGCUGCAAAUACAUGCCUUUGUUGAUCCCGGAUCGCUUCAGUGUCUUGUCUCUCUGCUAAGGUAACAAUGGUAUCUCAUAUUUGAUUAGUUUUGUGUUGGUUAGUUAAGAAAGGUGAGAAUAAAUUCCCAUCUCCAACAGCUCAGUUUCAGUGAGGCUUUAUGUUUUGUCUCCUUGUCUAUGAGAUUCAUUUUGCUCUAUUGUAUAUAUUUCAUGGCAUCCGAGCUGUAACUAGUCCAAUGGGGUGUCUACUUAUUGUCAAGGUACUUCCUUUACUUUAUCCUAGAGUAUUUUGGCAUACAUGUAAACUUGUGUAUACAAGGGAAAAACUAAAAAUUUUGUGAAUGGCACUUUCAUUGCCACGGAAAUUCCGAGAGUUUAUGCAGUUCUAGCAGCCGCAUAGACCACAAGUACUUAUUUCCCUGUGCUAUGACAUCUGUCCAAAACAGAAGAUCUAACAGAAAAAGGAUUACAAUCUCCCUUUUGCAGAAUUAUACAGGUGAUCGCUUGAACUUUGGAUUGGCUGCUGAGCUGGCUAAAUCUGAAGGUGGAGAUAAACCAGCUCCUGAGCCUGAUCAUCAACACCUUCUACAGCAACAAGGAGACCUUCCUCCACGAGCUCAUCAGCAACUCCUCUGAUGUACGUCUCCUCCACCUCGCUUUGAAGUACUAGGUUGCCUUGUUCAAUGUCUUUUGUCUGUUAGGUGUUCGUAAGGGCUUGCAGGCUUGAAGAUUAGAGAGAUUUAUGUUUGCUUGAAGUAGUUGUUCGAUGCCUAGUGAAGACUUAAGCGUGUCAUUUUUAGUUGAUUGGAUGGCUCUGCCUUCGUGUCAUUUUUAGUUGAUUGGAUGGCUCUGCCUUAGGCAUUGUUGAGAAAUAAUCGUGAUUGAAAUGCGAUAUUGUGAUGCUGAAGGUGAUAUAUUGAUUCUGAUCUGUGAUCGGUUUGUGUGUGCUUUAGGCAUUGGAUAAGAUUAGAUAUGAGAGCCUCACGGACAAGAGCAAGCUCGAUGCCCAGCCUGAGCUGUUCAUUAGGCUGGUGCCGGACAAGGCCAACAAGACCCUUUCGAUCAUUGACAGUGGCGUUGGCAUGACUAAAGUAGGUAAUGUAAUUGGCUGACAGAGAUUGAUCAAUUUUCUUGCUCACGUCUUUUGGCUAUGGCUAUGUUCCUACGCGAUAACGGUUACUGUUACGUUGAGUUCAUUUAAGUUGUGAGACUGUUGGUAGAUAUUAACGUCUGAGAUGAAUUGGACAGAUCUUGUGAACAACCUGGGUAAGAUUGCGAGGUCAGGGAUGAAAGAAUUCAUGGAGGCAUUGCAGGCGGUAGCUGAUGUGAGCAUGAUCGGUCAAUUUGGUGUCAGUUUCUACUCUGCUUAUUUGGUGGCUGAGAAAGUCAUUGUGACUACUAAGCACAAUGAUGAUGAGCAGUACAUCUGGGAGUCCCAGGCCGAUCGUUCCUUCACCAUUACAAGAGAUGUGAGUGGGGAGCAACUCGGCAGAGGGACCAAGAUCACCCUCUUCCUUAAGGAGGACCAGGUGAGUUCAUUUAUGGUUGCUUUUAUGAAUUCGUGGAGAAGAUUUGCAUUGGUUUUGGAUGAUACAUGAUGCUGUCAGCGUCACGUCUCUGUUUUCCUCAGCUGGAGUACCUGGAAGAAAGAAGGAUUAAGGACCUUGUGAAGAAGCACUCCGAGUUCAUUAGCUACCCCAUCUAUCUAUGGACUGAGAAGACAACCGAGAAAGAGAUCAGUGAUGAUGAGGACGAUGAGCCCAAGAAGGAAGAGGAAGGAGAUGUUGGGGCCGUCAAUGAGGAGAAGGAAGAAAAGAAGUCCAAGAAGAAGAAGAUUAAGGAAGUUUCUCAUGAGUGGCAGCUCAUCAACAAACUGAAACCCAUCUGGUUGUGAAAGCCAGAGGAGAUCACCAAGGAGGAGUAUGCUUCCUUCUACAAGAGCUUGACCAAUGAUUGGGAAGACCAUCUUGCCGUGAAGCACUUCUCUGUUGAGGGGCAGCUUGAAUUCAAGGCUAUUUUGUUCGUCCCAAAACGUGCUCCGUUCGACCUCUUCGAUACUCGCAAGAAGAUGAACAACAUCAAGCUCUAUGUUAGGAGGGUUUUCAUUAUGAACAACUGCGAGGAGCUCAUUCCAGAGUAUCUGAGAUUCGUGAAAGGAGUUGUUGAUUCUGAUGACUUGCCCCUCAACAUUUCUCGUGAGAUGCUGCAACAGAACAAGAUUCUGAAGGUCAUCAGGAAAAAUCUUGUCAAGAAGUGCAUUGAGAUGUUCAAUGAGAUUGCAGAGAACAAGGAGGACUACAACAAAUUCUAUGAGGCCUUCUCGAAGAACUUGAAAUUGGGUAUCCAUGAAGACAGCCAGAAUAGAGCUAAAGUUGCAGACCUCCUCCAGUACCACUCGACAAAGAGUGGGGACGAAAUGACAAGUCUGAAGGAUUAUGUCACGAGGAUGAAGGAGGGUCAGAAGGAUAUCUACUAUAUCACUUGUGAAAGCAAGAAGGCUGUAGAGAACUCUCCGUUCUUGGAGCGGCUCAAGAAAAAGGCUAUGAGAUGCUUUUCAUGGUGGACGCAAUUGACGAGUAUGCUGUAGGACAAUUGAAGGGAGUAUGAUGGAAAGAAGUUGGUCUCUGCAACCAAAGAGGGCCUGAAACUUGAUGAUGAAAGCAAGGAAGAGAAGAAGAAAAAGGAGGAGAAAAAGAAGUCCUUUGAGAACUUGUGCAAGACAAUGAAGGACAUUUUGGGAGACAAAAUAGAAAAAGUCGUGGUAUCGGAGAGAAUUGUGGACUCUCCCUGCUGUUUGGUGACGGGAGAAUAUGGAUGGUCUGCAAAUAUGGAAAGGAUUAUGAAGGCUCAGGCUCUGAGGGACAACAGCAUGAGCUCUUACAUGUCAAGCAAGAAGACAAUGGAGAUCAACCCUGAUAAUGGCAUCAUGGAGGAGCUGAGGCUGAUAAGAACGACAAGUCCGUGAAGGACUUGGUGAUGUUGCUGUUUGAGACUGCUCUUUUAACAUUCGGGUUCAGUCUCAAUGACCCCAACACUUUCGCAGCAAGGAUUCACAGGAUGCUGAAGCUGGGUCUGAGCAUUGACGAGGAUGAGACUGCUGGUGAUGAUGUUGACAUGCCUGCCUUGGAAGAGGAUGGUGCUGAGGAGAGCAAAAUGGAGGAAGUGGACUAAGCUUCUGCGACAUCGAAGUGAAUUCCAUUUUGUACUAGUGCCAUAGAAAGAUGAGGGGUGUGUGAUAUGUUAAUGGAUAUAGUGCUUCUAAAUUGUUACUUCUAUUAUUGUAUCCAUAAGGCUUAUCAUCUGAAAGGAGUUCGAUAUUUUGUGCUACCAGCAGUGUGUAAAUGAUUUUGUUUGGCAGAUCUUGUUAUCGUGUUUGCGAUAGAAUUUCAGGGUAACAACUCCUUAAGGCGUCAUUGUUGCGUGAAUUGGACUUGGAAAUUUAAGAAACUCUCAAAGUUCGGUGCAUGCAGAGUCCCUAAGGGCAUGAGCCUAUUCGAACAGUGAGUGUGGAAUGGACUCAAACAUGGUGGAAGAAAUACAUAGCACUCUUUUGAGGCGACAGCUUCUUGAUCAAUUAUCUACCUACUCGUUCCUUACAUGUGCAUGGCAUUACCCACGAAAGGGUCCCCCUUCUCAAUAGUAGGAAGUCACGGUUGUACUAUUCUGCACCAAAGUUUGCGCAAAGAAUGAAAGAAAAGUUUACAUAGUUCUGUCCGUUGGCUUUAACCAUGUUUGGAUUGCCUCAAUAGAAAUGUGAUUGGCAAUCUCUACUGAUUCUGUAUGUUCAGGACUACCAAGCGAGCAAAAUAUAAGUAUGUAUUACAUCUGAUCUCCGGAAGAAACUCCUGAGUCACUCGUGCAUACAUGUAAUGUAAAUUGAAACCCAUAUCUUCAUGGGCUUUCUAGUUCAGCAUAAGCUCGUACAUAGCUCAAUGUUAUUGCCUUCCGAUUGAGAAAACGGAAGUAUAAUACAAGAAUGCGGGAUUCCGAAAUAGGUGUAAUGUAUUCCAUGUGGAUUAUCUACCUCCAAAUGAUGGAUUUUAUGUGUAAUCAAGCCAUCUUCAGUAAAAACCAGAAGCACAUAGCCAGGCAUUCCGAUGAGGUGCAUCGUUCAAAAGAGAGAUUCUAGUUAUAGCAUCUCUUGCAAAACGAGCGCCCUGUCCUGCAUUGAGCAUUGUUGCAGAAGUCUCUCUUUGGUUGUCAUCAUUCUGCAUAAGACAAGACGAUCGAGAAUCAAAUCACUCAGUUUAUGAAUCAAAUUGAUUCAGAAGCAAAAUCAUCAAGAACAUGCAUCUUCUUCUAACUGUCCUUCGAUUAUUAAGAAUAACGAGGCAUUACUUCAACAAUUAUCGAGUAACUUUACAAAUAGUCAUUACUAUGAUCCACAUUUAACCUUGUUGUCUAAGAAAGAAUAACAAGAAAACGUCUGUUGCUUUCCUAAGGGGAAAAAACAUAACAUGUGCGGCCAAGAUCAAAUUCUUCGGUUUAAGGCCCUAAAUCUCCCAAUAAUUACUAAAUUCCCACCAUACAAUCUUCAAGAAAAAGUAGUUGAAUAAAAAAUGACAUAAACAAUCAAAAAGACAUGGAAAUCACGUUGACCAUUUAGUAGUAGCCCAUAUAUUACGGGCAUAUGCUGAUCUUAUAUUAACAGCAGCAGAGCCAAAGUUCGUAGCAUCAAGCCAAAACGAAAAUUUGCUUGAUCUUUUAUCAAGGUCCAGAUGUUGGAAGAUCUUGCUUCUACAAAGGGACCUCGUGCAUCAAGUUCAUAAACAAGUAGCUGGCAGUCUUACAUUUUAAAACUUCAAUUGUAACAAAAAUAAUGAGUUACAACACCAGUAGAUGAUAAAAAGGACAAGAAAAUUUUCCACUACACUUAUUGUUUUAUUCUAUUACACCCUUGGGAUGAUACAAAAUACAAAAGCCAAAGAAUAAGCCAAAACAGAAAGCCAAUUCAAAAGCAUAACCUGUGCACAUCAAGCGCGCGGAACAAAUUUGAAUUUUGCAUAUUCAAGAGAAUUUCAAAGAACAAUNNNNNNNNNNNNNNNNNNNNNNNNNNNNNNNNNNNNNNNNNNNNNNNNNNNNNNNNNNNNNNNNNNNNNNNNNNNNNNNNNNNNNNNNNNNNNNNNNNNNUCCCACUCUGGUCAAUAGAAAUGCGACUUCCCAGGACACGUCGCCGACCCAUUCAUUUUUAUUGCACAUGCGAAAGCGAAACAAAUCCCUGACAAUAUUUAACUUGGGAUAGAAAAGCAGGCAAUCAAUCACAACCAAACAAGCUUUCUAUAAACACAUAGGUUUAUAUACAACACUGGAUUGUCUACAAAAUAGACAGGCUCAACAACUAGGGAACUGUCCUAUGACCAACUUGUCAGACACGUUCACCGAUUCUUCAGCCUCCACCUUUCGAACUCCAGGACUUCCGGUCCUCCACAACUGUCAUCUAGGGACUUGAAAUAUUAUCCCACAACCGGGAUGAGACUACGUCUCAGCGAGUCCUACCCUCUAAAACUCAAUUAGGAAGAAAAUACGCCUCAAGGCGCUCUAGCCACACAAAUAGGAUAAAGGGCUUACCUCGCCUCAGUCCCUUUCCUGCACGUCAGUACAAUUCAUAUUCAAACAAUGCUCGCACAAGCUGAAACUACCGACACUUAUAUCAGUCUAUCAAUUCAAUCAAUCCAAUCAUUCGCAAUGAUUCAAUUCCAUCAUACUAUCUAUCUUUCCAUUUCAAUCCGUACUAUCUAUCAACCAUUACUAUCUAUCAUUCAAUACCGUCUAUCAAACCAAUCGUUAAUACGACACAUGUGAUGUUGCUAGUUAUAAACACCUAGAGGGGGGGUGAAUAGGCGCACAAACAAUUUAUCGAUAUACGGAAGCAAUUCUUAACAAAUUGAAAUACGAUCAAGGUAGAAAGAAAGAAAUUGGAACACAUGAUUUAUAGUGGUUCAGCUUUUCCAAGCCUACGUCCACUCUUCCGCACUGACAGCCCACCGGCUGGAUUUCACUAUGAUCAAAAGAGUAGUUACAGCACAGCUUUGCCUUGAUUCCACAGUGUAGAUGUACUAUCACACCUCCUCAAGGUCUCUCACAAAUAUAAACUCUCUUUUGUAUACAAGUAUUCGCUCAAAGGAUUUAUCUAAACAAAUAGGAGCUUCAGACUUUGGAAUUCUUCUAUCGCGCACACCUCGAACAACUAAGGACGUCUUCCUUAUAUACUCCUUUAUGCCAUCAUACCCGUUGGCACUUACCAAAGGAAUUCCUCCAAUCUGCCCGUUGGACGGAAUCAAUUAGGAAGAUCGUUCGAGCUAUUAAAGGAACGUGUUGAUAGCCCAUCAAUCCUGUUCGCCCAUACAAUCAGGAUCUCGGUUUCCAUAAGUAGAACCUUUCGAUAAUAUUUAGACAAUCAUCGAAUCUUCAGUCAUUGAAUCAAACUUGAUCAAUCAAAGGAUUCUGAUACGUCUUCUCCAGCCACGAGAUCUUCUCCAGAUGAUAAGGUUAAAUCCUGAACAAAACAUCUAGUUCGGGAUAUCCUUUCUUCAACGGAUCAGAGACUGUCAAUGAGGAUAGACUUUGAGUCUUGAGUCUGGCUGUCCGGAAGUCUUCAGACUUUAACUAACAGAGUCUGCAGACCUUCAGACUAGACUGAUGGAAACGUUUUGUCAACUUCAAAACUCUUCAUGAGGAUUUCUCCAACAACAUGCUCUCCAAAGCUGUAAUAUAUAGACGGUAGCUCGCACAAGCUGUAUAGAUAGAUAGCUCACCAAAGCUGUAAUUGAUAGAUAGCUCGCACAAGCUGUAUAGAUAGAUCGUGCUCGCACAAGCUGAUAAAACGAUCUUAGCUCACCAGAAGCUGCCGCAAUAUUCAAUAUAGUAUACUAUAGCUCACCAGAAGCUGCCAUAUAUAUAUGCAUAUCAUAAUUACUCGCCUAAGCGGAUACAUAUAUAUAAACCAAUGCUCGCCAAAGCUGAUCAUUCAAUAAUAAACCAUAGAACUGGAUAUUCAAUCCAAUAAUAACCAACGAUUCAAACUAGUCAUACAAACCAAUUACGGUGCUAAAAGCCAACACCGGGUAUUUUCAAGUUAAAUACCACAACUUCAUCAAUAUCACUCAAUUCCACACUUUUGGAAUAAUUAACCAUAAUCAUCAAUAACUCAAUUUCUCAAUUUAAGCUUACAAUUAACACAAACCGACCACACGGCUGCGAUCAGCGCGAAAUUCUAACGACCGGCCAUCUCGGCAUAAUUUUCGAAAUUAUUAAAUAAUUAAAUUUAAUUCCGAAAAUUAAAUAAUUAAAUAUUAUAUUAUAAUAAUAUAAUAUAAUAAAAUAAUAUUUAUAAAUUCGAAAUAAUUAAUUAAUUAAAAGUAAUUAAUUAGGGCUUAAACAAGAUUACAAUAAUUUAAUCAUACAAUUAGCCCUAAUUAAACAUCCAUUAAACUAAUCAUGCAACUAAUCUAAUUUACAUUAAAAUAAUCUAAUUUAGUCACAUAAACCUAAUUAGACUAAAGCGUCAUUAACUCACUAAGCAAGAAUUAGAGGAUAAACUCACCGGAUUAACGUUCCGACGAGUCCACGGCGAAGGCAACGCCAAGGCGGGCGAUAAACCUCAAGGCGGCGACACCAACCAAGGCCGGGAAGACACCUAAAACGGGCCUUGAAGACCUCACGGCUUUCUGGUUUUCUGCUUCUGCUUCUGAUCUGGGUUGAACUGCAGAGAAGAAACCAGCAACUUCAACGGCGAAAACGGGCCGAUCGGAGCUCCGGCAAGCGGGUGGUUGGCAACCAGCGGCUCCCGGGGGUCUUGGGGAUCUUAUAGGAGGUUGGGAUGGGCAAAGGAAGGGUCGGAAAGGGGUGAAACAGCAAGAAAACGCGGAACAGGCGGAGCAGGGCGGAACCAGACGGUCCGGCGAGCGGCAGCUUCUCUCAGGAUUUCGGGACGACCGGAGAGUCGUUCCGGCGAGCGGCUGGAUGCUCCGGAACGGGCUGGAUGUCUUCGUCACGGACGUGGGUGGAGAGUUCGCUGAUUCAUCUGAUAAGUCGACUUUUAACUCGAAUCUUUGGCGAAAGGUCAGCUGGAGCAGAAACUGGAACGAGGAGAAAACAGGGGAGGAAAACGGCCGACGAUGGCCUUCCGGGCGUGUGACGAUGGAGGGGCUGCUGCUGCUCGGUUCCUCUGGUUUUUGCUGAGCUUCUCUCCUUCAACAACAAUGGAGAAAGCCUUGGAUUAAGGGAGAAGAAGCUGCUGAAGAGUGGGGGGUCUCCUUGGGCUCUCUAGAGCUCAACAUUUGCCAUCUUCUCAUUGGCUUUGCCCCCACCAUGACAUCACAUGACAUCAUCCACUCUCUCUCCUCAAUCUUCCUCCACAACCUUGCCAAUAGGUGCAAAAUAGCUCUCCCCCCCCCCAUGGCAUACGAAUUUGUUACAUUUCCCUAUUCAAUCUCAAUCAAUUUCAUCCAAUUCUCAACUAAACACAUCCAAUUGAAGCCUAAUUAAAUCCAUCAAGGUAUCCUCGUCCGUCUCAUGACUUUUUCCCAUCAAAUGAUCCAACUUGCAUCCCGAAGAUUCAAUCAAAAACGACCCUCUGAUAAUCUCGAACAAAAACGGCAUUACUUUGCUUUUCUGCCAAAAAUCUCGGUUUGUAGAAAAAUCUUCUGGAGAUGAGUCGGCAUUCCUAAAAUGAAUUGUGACUUGACAGAACUUCUCAUUUCUGUAAUCGGGUUCAAUUUCACGGUUAAAUUCAAUCUGGCGCGACUUUAGCGCGUCCUAAUCUACCGGGUAGCUUUUAGGAAUUUUCUGUGCAAUUGACCUGUGAUUGAUUAUUCUCAAGCCACAAAGUGCAUCUUCGACACCUUGGCGACUCUCGAUUGUCGUAGAAAUCUCGAGAUUUCGAUUACGGACACAGGGUACCCAAAACGACAGAAGACUCGGUCUAGUGCCGGUCGACGAGCAUAUUGCGAUCAGGUGGAAUCACCCACACUCUAAUCACAUAUCUCAGUCGAAUCGACCUAUUACUAAUCUCUGUUCAAUUCUGACAGUGUCGUAAUGAUCCUUGCAGAUUAAUACGGUCGAGUAGCCGAUUCAUGGUCGAAUUCUCAAGUCUAUUGCGUUUAGAUUCCUUAACGGCUUCACAUGAUAGACUAGUUAUUUCGUGAGUGGCCAACUCAGAGAAGAGAGCUAUAGACGCAAAGAUGAAAUGCCCGACUUAUUCAAUUGAAACCAGAAUUGGAAAAUCGAGAUGUCACAAAAGGAUGAGACAGUUGGCAUUUGAAGGGUAUAACAAUCACAAGCCCUGCAAAAACAUGAAUGCCGUGCACCCGAAAGAGUUUGACCUACCCACAGAAAGAAUAAAAAUUUGAUUUAGUAAUUCUCAUACGCUCUUGAACACCUAUGAAAAUCAUUAGAUCUACCGCAUGCUUCUUAGUAUUCAGAUUUCCCAUUGGGCACGGACAAGACACGAGUAUAGUUCUUUGAUGGCAAAGAUAUAAUUGCUGAAUUCGGACAGAAAUCAUCCAAAUUCAAGCAUCAAAACAUCUCAGUUUCUCAACCAUUUGCCAGGUGAUGAAAAGGGCAGCUUUGCAGCUUAACGCUUAAGUCAUCAUAAAUCCGUAUCAAUAAAAAACAAACCCUCAAUUCAUCUGCCCUGAAAGGGCUCAAUGACAAGAACCAAGACCUCAUAAACUCAUGACUUCCAGCUAUUCUUACCGAUAAGCAGGAAGGGCUUCAUACUCAAACCAAUCUUACGUAGUAAAGAUCUCUCCUCAUCACUUAUGGUUUCCAGAUCAACUGGAAGGUCUGCUGAUCUAAGAUUCUCCUGCACUUUUGCUAGAGCUUUCUCAGCCCUUUUGACCUUCCCUUUAGCCUGGAAAGAAGAGGAAAAUAAAAAUGGAAAAUGUGAUAAAUAAUUAAGGAAAUGGAGCAGAAUUUUAUAGCAUAAGUUUGUUCAAUCAAGAAUAUUACAAGAGCAAGUUUCUUCUCAAGAUAUUUCAAGAGUGCAGCGUGCUUAUUGAGUGAUUCAUCUCAACGCAUUUGCUCAACAUCUUUGCUACUUAUUUCAUUCCCCCACCGAGAGGUGCCAGCCAGAGUUUCAGUAAGAGUGCCAGCAACAAGUGGGCUUUUAGAAGCUUUGAAUUUUGAUUCAAUUGCAGCUGAGGCCCUCUGACGAGCUUGGUCGUCCUCAUUUGCCUGCACAUCUGUUAGUUUUUCUCUCUUUCAGUGCUUCUACCACCACAGGAGGCAAGAAGUCAUUGCCCCUAUAAAACACAAUAUAAUCUUUGUUCCUACAAAGUAGUGUUCCCCCAGUUAAAUUCUGCAUUCAAAAUGACACAAAUCAAUAACAAGAGCACCAAAUUUUCCUUACCUAAAGAAAAAGGACGGAAUAUGCAAUACUAAACAGAAGUUGAUAUUAUCAUAAUGCCAGAACAUUAAGGUUGGCAGGAAGAAGAUGAGUUAAAAAGAACUUCAGCCUAUCGUCAACAGGAAUUAAAACCAACAGGCAAAAAUAAUGCUUGAGACUGUAUCCAAGCUCCUAGUUUCUCUCAUUGAAAUGCCCUUCUGUAACUGCUGGAAAGACCUUACAAUAAGAUAUACAAGAAAUUCCUGCUUUACUCUAAUAACAGCCACAAUCAUAGCAGAAAGUUAAAGCCUGACUACAGAUUGAAGCAAAUGAGCUAAAGCCCGCAAAAAUUUGGAAGAACUCCAUACAUUAAAUGGUUGGAUGAGACUAAAUUCACCACAUUAUAAGGAUAACAAGUCUCAAUAGAUAACUUCUUGCCUCCAAACACUCGCCGUCUUUAAGAAUUAGAUCCUCCUCCUCGCAUUUCAAGGUGUCGGAAUCCCUAACAAUUUUGUUCUGCACAUGUUCAUAAACAAAAAAGUAUCAACACAGAAGCAUAACAGAAACAUAACAUUCAUACUAUAGCAUGAGGAACUGACAGCUUAAGAGUGAUGCCUCCGCAACAACAAAAGCAGGGUAUGAUACUUACACGAGUUUCUUCAACAUUUAGUUGCACGCAAGAAUAAAAUGCCGCUUUAUCAUCCUUAUUGACAAAUUCGUGUAAUGCUUUAUCCAGAUCAUUGAAUGGAAGUAUCUCCAUUUUUUGCAAGGCAUAACUGCAUAUUAAACUAUAUACAGACCUUAAGAAAACUAAGAGACUGAUAACAAUUAUCAGCAUGUCUUUCUAACAUUCUACCCAUAACAAUAUACUCAAGGAAGCAUAUCAGUUGAAGUUAAAAUAUGUGUUUGCAACAACAAAUCACAAUGCAAAGCACGUGUUAUUAUUAUGGAUUUCAUUGGUGGCCAUAAGAGAUUUAUACAAUAUGAAAAAUACAUUUAGAAAGCAUAAAAGAAUCAGGAUUACCAGACUAUUCUCGGCAACAAGCGCCUCAAUGUUUUGUUGAUUUAGCUCCUCAGGGCGAAGUCGCUCAGAAUCUUCAAAUUGUGCUACAGAUCAGGAAGACGAACAAUUUCAAUGACAAGUCAUUUCUUUAUUCAAAGGCAAUAAGAAAGGCAUACAAAUAUUGACUUGGAAAAAGAAGGACAAAUAGUGCCAAAAACAUAGCCUACUAAAUUCCAACUCUUUGACCCGAAAAAGAAAAAUCAUCAAACUCCACUUGUCAAAAGAUCUGUACCACUUUCACUCCGACCCUUUCUUGAAGCCUUAGAGAAGAUUAAAAUAUCUUGAGGAUUAGCAACCUACAAAAAGAAAAAUCAUUACUCCUUUUUGGGUAGCGCUGUCAAAGACUACACCGUGUGCACCUUCUAGUGUGCACCUUCUAAUAUGCAUUUACCUUUCCAACAUACUUUUGUCCAAACCUUUGAGGAUUUAUCGUCAUAAAUGUGAUUGUCAAACAUAAGUAUAUGAGCUUUUUUUCUCCUAUGAAAUUGUCAAACGUGAUUGUCAAGAUGGAACAUCCAAUUUAUUAAAAAGUUCUAAGAAAACUAAACUUACAAUAUUUAGCCCAUCUUGUUUGACACCUACACUAAUUAACUCUAUAUUCUAAGGAAAUAAAAUAUCCCAAUCAUUAUCGUUUAUGAGUAAAAUGACAUAAUCCUACUACUAAUAUGCAUGGGCUAAUAAUGAGUGACAUUGGGACUAAAUUCCACAUGAAAAACAAACAGUCACUUAAUAAAACUAGAUGAACAAAUGCCUCUAGCUUUGUCACCAACCAUCUCUACCUAUUACUCAUGCUACAUCAGGCGAAGAGGAAUCAGGAGCUUUUGUUGCCGCAUUCAUUGCCUUGUAUGAGCAAAACUCUACAAAAUUCCUAGGCUAGACUGAAGGUUGCCUAGCACUUUCAGGUAUCUCUUCAUCAAAACGAUGGCACAGUUCUUUAGUGGAACACUCACGUCCGCACAUGCAUGUGCACGUCAGAAACAGCUGACUGAUUCCCUGAACAUCUUUCAUCUUCUCCAAGUUCAUCAUUGUUUAAUCAGCACUAAAUAAAAGACCGAAGGCAAAGGGACAGAUGACUUAACAUUUAGUUACAGACACUUCUCAUGGGCAUCUCGUUGAGCGAAACCAUCAAUUACAUGCCUUAAACAUCAAGCCAGUAUGAACAACAUAUAGGUUCCUAACAAUCUCACGCGAACAUUUUGGCAGCAACUACAAUAGACAAGCUCAUGUACGAUUUCAGUCACUGCCUAAUGCUAACAUAGGCCUAAUAUCGAAACCACCAUUCAAGCCCAAUCAAGUCGGCACAAGCCAUCAUACAUUACAGCUGCCGUCACGGAUUCAAAUUUCACAAGCAUUCCUAAGUCUACACUAAAUUUUCAAAAAAUAAAAUGCAUAUCGCGGCAUAGUCUGAACCUAAAGCCGCCACCGCUCUUUCAAAUAUUGCGCACCGAGCAGCACAAACCUCUGCCGACACCUGGAGGUACGUUCACUCGAUAGAGAGAUCGAAUCUCCUAGGAAAGCACAUUCACUUUCAGGCCGGUCGGUCACGAGCGAGUGAGCGGAGAAAGGAAUCGGAAGCGGCGCUCACCUGGAAUGUAGGUGUUCUUGGUGAGAAUCGGCAGCAAAAGCAGAGCCAGAACCCCAGCAACGCAACAGAUGACACUGCGAAGAAGUCCACAAGGUCAAAGAAGCGCGUGAGCUCGCGCUCGAGUCGCCGGAACAUAUUCGCCCGAAUAACAACGAGUAGAGAUAAUCAAAGACCGAGAAGCUACUGCGGUACCUGACGAGGACGCUGUGAGAUAUGAGCAGAGUCCCUAGCCGAACGAUCGGUUGAGGCUUCGGCGGAGGUGGGCAUCGGCGUCGGAGUCGGGGGCGACGGAGUCGCGAGAGGGCGUUGGGGCGGAGGCGGAGGCGGAGGCGGCGUCGUCGGCGUCGAAGGCAACCGGCUUGAGGGCCGUCGGAGUCGGGGGCGACGGACUCGCGAGAGAGCGUCGGGGGCAGAGGCGGUGUCGUCAGCGUCAGAGGCAACCAGCUUGAGGAGCGUCGGAGUCGCAAGAGGGCGUCGGGGGCGGAGGCGGCGUCGUCGGCGUCGGAGGCAACCGGCUUGAGGAGCGUCAGAGUCAGGGGCGUCGGAGUCGCGAGAGGGCGUUAGGGGCAGAGGCAGACGCGGAGGCGGCGUCGUUGGCAACGGAGGCAACCGGCUUGAGGAGCGUCAGAGUCGGGGGCGUCGGUGUCGCGAGAGGGCGUCGGGGGCGGACGCGGAGGCGGAGGCGGGGUCGUCAGCAUCGGAGGCAACCGGCUUGAGGAGCGUCGGAGUCGGGGGCGUCGGAGUCGCGAGAGGGCGUUGGGGGCGGAGGCGGCGUCGUUGGCGAGGUGUCGGAGUCGAGAAUGGAGAGAGAGAGCUCGUCGGCGAGAAUGGAGAGAGAGCAGAGGAGGGGGAGAGAAGCAGUUGUGCGACUUUUGUUGUCACGCCCCGAACCUCGAGCGCGCGCACAUCCCUCGGUGGUCGAUAGAAUUUUGCGACGUUCCCAGGUCUCGUUGCCGACCCUUCAUUUUCAUUGCACAUGCGGAAGCGAAUUACUAAUCCCCUGACCUCAACAAACAUGGGAUAGAAAAGCAGGACAACAAUUUCCAAAUCAAAAUACACAUUCAUAAACACCUCAAGCUUAUACAAAAUGUCUAUGUCAUAAAGAACUACUGAGCCACCUAUGCUCCUGACCCUUCCGCUUCAAGCUCCUGGCUCUUCACACUAGGGACCUGAAAAUGGUUAUUCAAUAACCAGUGAGAUAUAAAUCUCAGCGAGUUCCACCCCUAAGCCCCGGUUAGUACACCAACUCAACUCGGGGUAUCUAUCUAGAACUACCCCACCACAAGCAACAACCAACGGUCAAUUCGCAUACAACCUUACCUGGUAUGCCAUACCGUGCACGUUAUAACUCAGCACAAUACACGCAAUACACAUGGUCAUUAGAUGAUACAGUUCAUCAAUCACAUACGAGUCGCGUCACCAGCGAUCUCACCUGGCCAUUGCCAUACUCUGCACAUUAUCGAUUCAUGCGUGUGUGCCAUAAAUAAUGUGCUUAACUCAUGCAUGACCGGAAUCAACAAUGCAAUGAUUCUCAUGCGUUAUUGCACAUUAUCACAGUUCAGAAACACAAUGCAUAUACUCAAUGCAUAUUCCAGUUACUAAUGACCUACCGGCCAUAGCUAACUUUCCAAUUGGUGCUCAUCUACCUCAACACUCAUGCGUGCUCCAGAUAAUAAUGACCUCCCGGCCAUGGCUAACUUCCCAGUCAGCACUCAUCCGACUCCCGCCGGGCUACCGAUAAAAAGAUCGGGCUUCGUCCCACCCCGUCGGGCACGGCUACGUCUCGAACUCCCGUUCAGACGGUUUCCCAAAAAGGGACAUCGGUCCAGAGUCUACUGCGACCGGCUUCCGACUCCCCGUCGGGUACCGCCCCCAAACUCCCAUUCGGUGGCGUUCCAAUUCAAUCUCGUGAGCACACCACUAAAACUCCAUUUUUCUCAUGAUAACGGUCCACUUCCACGGUCCCUCGGACAAUCCAUUUUCCCUUCUUUGUGGAAAAACUUACAAUUCAUGCGGAUGUUUAUGCAAUAACACACUCAAUCACUUCAUAGAAUCAACACACAUGAAUUUUAGACACUUUUCGCAUUCUGGAUGAACAGUGCACGUGAACAGUACUCGUGAACAGUAAAUUUCCAGAAUUUAAUAAACUAUAAAUUAAAUUCAUAAAUCAUUAAAAGCAUUAAUUAAAGAAAUCAUCAAUUAAUUAAAGCCAAGCAUACUUAAUUAACCACAUAAACCACAUUAAGCAAAUAAAGCAAGAUUAAGAUAGACUAAUCUAAUUCAUCCAUCUAACCACCUAUCUUAGGGCUAAUACAAAUUAAUUAAAUCACUUAAACUAGAAUUAAAUCUAACUAAACCAACCCUAAGCAAGUUUAGGCACUAAUCGAAGGAUUAGGAGCUAAACUCACCCGUUAAGCGGGCCGGAAACACCGACGCGGCGGCGACGACGGAGGCGAUGCUCUGAGACCUCUACCACAACGAUCCAAGGCGGUCCCAAGCUCAACACAGCAACCACAGCUCAGACUCCCUCUGAAACUUCUGAAAAACAGCCCUGCCGGAGAAGAAAACAAGUUGAACGGCUUGGCCGGAGCUCCGGCGAGGAGGGUGGCUGGCAACCGGUGACACCCGGGGGUCUUGGGAGUCUUGUUGGAGGUUGGGAUGAGCAAAGGAACGGCUGGAAUGGAAGAAAACGGGCUGCAAAGUCGAAACAGGCGAAGCAGGGCGGAACCAGGCGGUCCGGCGACCGGCGUCUUGAGACGGCUGUACAGGACGACCGGCAGCUCCGUUCGGGACGAAACUGGGCUCGUUGGAACGUUCUGUCUCUCCCGGUCACGGUGAUAGGUGGAUUGUUGGCUGAUUCAUCCGGGAAGACCACUUUUGACUCGAUUCUUUGACGAAGGGUCAGCUGGAGCAGAAACUGAAGGAGAGGGAAAACGAGGAGAGAGAGAGAGCUCCGUUCGAGGGAGGCCGAAUGGGGGAGAGAGAGAGUGAAGUGAGGGCUGUCAAGACUCCCAUAAAUGCUUGCUUCAAGUCCCCAUGCCAAGCCAUCAUCAUUUUAUCUCUCUUCUCUAGCCUUUUCUCCCUACAACUAGGGGUAUUUUGGUCAUUUCACCUUGCACAAAUUACAAAUCUGACCUUGGGCUGAAAUUGGUGGAUGGGCCUAAGGAUUGGGCUUGGCCAUGAAUAGUAAUGGGCUUGGGAAUUGGUUGGGCUUGAAAUGGCUAAGAUUUGGCCCAUGGGCUUAGAAGAUGAAUAGUAGGUUUGGCCCAAUUGACUUAUUUGCUUGACUUAGGCCCAUUAAGCUGGCUGUCCAACUUUGGGCCUAGGGCCCACACUGGCUUGGCCCGGCCCACGACCUCACGGGCUCGCUUCCUCGGUCCGAAAAUCCCUUUUCCAAUUGCUUGGCUCAACUGGCUCUGUCGACUGCUUGAUGUAGCUUCAUCCAAAGUCCGUCCCGGACAUUCCUGAUAAUUCGAAGUCCAAUCCUAAGUUCUCUUGCCAUGUCAAUUUCGCCAAAUGCCAUUUUGGUAACAACUCAGACUGACGGAUGGCUUUGAGGAUUCACGCGUGACCGACUCGUGCCAAACCACGUUCAAGACAUCUCGACGCAUGGAUGUCUUUGACUGCAUGAAAUUACGAAGGAUAGAUUCUUAUUUCAAAGUACACGAUUACUGAGGAUCGACACAGGGUUGUUCGCGGGUUCGAUAACGGUAAACAGAAUCACCCGUCGUUCCAUUAUGUUCUGUCCACGAAUCAACUUCUAGUCGUCCUUGAAAUCGGCAUGUCUAUCUACAGGAUCGUCCUCACGUAAGUCUCACGGUCAAGUCGUUUUCCCAGGUCGAGUCCUUUAGUCGCACGAGUUUUGUCCUUAUUAGCCUUUCCCCUCAAGGUCAGUAUCUCAGGAGUGAUCAAUUCCGAGUGAAAUUAACCAACAAUGCAUUGACGAAAUUCACAUUCAUUCAUCCCUUAUAGGGCUCAAAUUUCAGGAUGUCACAUUUGUUCUCCCCCGCAACGGAACGGAACGGAGAACGGGGGAGAGAGAGAGAGGAGAGAGAGGACGAUUCGACAGGGUGCAAGCGUCGCAGAGGAGAGCAGAGCAGAGGGAGCGUCAGAGUGGUGGGCCCCACACGCGGCCUGCGCGAAUUUUGAACGCCUGACGCCCUCGCCUACGUGGCGCCACGUGUCGAUCGUUGAGUGGUCUUACCCACCGCCUACGUGGAGGGUAAAACCCAGCCAAUAUUUUCUCCCCAAAGAAAACGAGAAGAACCCAGCUUCAAUCUAAAAGAAAAUUUUAGAAAAACCGAGGAAAUUUGCGAGCUUACAGAUGAGGAAGCCGGCGAUGGAUGAAACAGAGCAAGGGGGAGCUGGCGAUGGCGCGACGAGGAAGCAGAUGAACGCAGAUGAGGAAGCAGCGCGACAGGGAGCUGGAUCUGGCGAUGGCGCGACGAAGGAAAAUGCUGUGAAGUCUGUGUGUGUGAGAGGGAAAGAAAGUAAACAGGAGACAAAUUAGGGUUUUGGACUUUUGGGUGGACUUACAAACCGGUUCCCGAACCGGUCCGGUCGAUCUGGUUCCCGGGUGGUAAUCUCUUGGAAUCGGUUCCCGGACCGGUUCAAACCGGUUCUGAAUUUUGGGAAUAGGUUGUUCUGUUGAGAUAGGUCUGUGAGAAUUCCUCCAGGUGCAUAUGGUGCAGUAUUUUUUGAUAUUUUACUCAACUUUAGGUNNNNNNNNNNNNNNNNNNNNNNNNNNNNNNNNNNNNNNNNNNNNNNNNNNNNNNNNNNNNNNNNNNNNNNNNNNNNNNNNNNNNNNNNNNNNNNNNNNNNCCGAUAGCAAUUGAUAUUAUCAGGUGAUUGCUUUUGCUGUGACACCCAUAUGAUGUUCCAUUGGCCAGAGAAUGAUAAAGAUGGUAAAGUACUUCAAAUUUUCUUACGAGAGAAAGUAUUAAUGCUUUGAAUUUGCAUGAAUGAAGCAUGUUUCCUCAUUAUGUUGUUGAAAUUCAUCAGUCCCAUUUACUACUAACCAAUAGCUAGGGGAUUUAUCUGGUUUAUGGUGGCAUAGUGCUAGUAUCUACAGUUUUAGCAUAUUUUCUGUUCAUUGAAGUAGUUUCUUUGUGCAUUUCCUGUGCAGCCCAUGCUGAGAGCCUUCUGAGUAAGAAUUGAAGAUGGUGGUAUGCCAGUGGUGGUUCUUUGCAAAGUGCACUUCCAAGUAUCAAAGUGAACGAUAAACAGUGUCCUUUUGGAGAUCCUGUUGCUCUCUUCGAAUUUUAAAUAUCAUGGAUUAGGCUAUGCUUUAGAAAUGCUUUGUACGUUUUUGUUGGAGUUGGGCUUUGUGAACAUCAAGUGCAAGAUGGUUGUUGGUUGCUGGUGACUCUUUUAAGUCCUGCGUCUGACCUUAAUGCAUGGCUCUUGACUUUAUAUGUGUCUGGUUUUUCUUUAUUGUCGGUUUAAUGUGUAUUCCUGGGCUUAGCACCAGAUAAAUGUGUG